UGUUUUAUUUAUAAUAUGAUAAUAACAACCACCUAGUGGUAGCUGAUUUAUUUAUUACAUGCUAAUAACAACCAUGAGUUGAUAGUUGAUUUAUUUAUUAUAUGCUAAUAACAGCUAUCAGCUAGUGGUUGAUUUAUUUAUUAAUUGCAGUCUUGUUCAUUUACUUCAGUCUUUUUAUUUAAUUAUGUUAAAUCAUAUGUGAAUCCUAAUUUGUACUUGUACUCACAGAAAAUAAACCUAAGAAUUCAUCAAAGGAAAUAAAAGAUAAACGACAAUACAAAUAUUGCGUUUUGUUUUGUCUUAUUUUUUAAAAUUUUAUUUUCAAAUAUAUACGCAUGCAUGAUAAAGAUUCACAAUUAUAUAUAUAUAUAUAUAUAUAUAUAUAUAAUCCGUCGAGGUGUUUUAGUUGACUAGCUAGUAUAAACUACCAUCUACCAAAUCGUUAUUAGCUAACGAGCUAGUGUAAAUUUUCAUCUUGGAAGCUAGUAUAAACUAUCAUCUAUAAAAUUGUUAUUAGUAGAGGAACUACGAAUGUAAACUAUCGUCUAACAAACUGUAUUAGUUGAUGAGCUAGUGUAAAUUACUAUCAUUUACCAAAUAGUUAGAUAGACUGUUGGCUACAGUCAAAUGUGUUUUGGAUCAAUUCCUAUAUAUGUGUGUGUGUGAAAAAUUCAUGAAAAUCUAAAACUUAGUUGUUUUGGUACUAUUGAAUUGAUUUAUCUUUUCAUCUUUAUUUUUUUUUAAUUUACUACCCGACCCAAAUCUUUUCUCUUCUCGUAUCAAUAGUAAGUUUAAGAUUGGAUGAUAUUUUUGUCCCUUCAUUUUUUGUCAAUUGAGUCCUUAAAGUGGUCAAUUGAUGUCAAUUCUGUCUCUUUUCUCCAAAUUAACCCAAUUUCUUCUAAAUUGAAGUACAUGCUCGGCAUAUAUAUGCGAUUUAAGUUGGGGCAAAAAUGUCUCCUAACACAAUAAUAAUAAUAAUAAUAAUAAUAAUAAUAAUAAUAAUAAUUCAAAAUUAUCUAAUGAAAAGACAUAAUUUAAGCAGUACCAUCUUGUAAUUUAUGUAAUCACUUUAUUUAAUAUCACAAUAAACCAGCUAGUGAUAGUUGUUUUAUUUAUAAUAUGGUAAUAACAAGCACCUAGUGGUAGUUUGAUUUAUUUAUUACAUGCUAAUAACAACCAUGAGUUGAUAGUUGAUUUAUUUAUUAUAUGCUAAUAACAGCUAUCAGCUAGUGGUUGAUUUAUUUAUAUAUCGUGCUAAUAACAACCAUCAACUAGUAUAUAGUUUCUUGAUUUACUGUUGAUCGGAAGAUUACUGAUCGUUCAUUUAGGUGUUGGUGGGACUAAUGUUAACACCAUAGAUAACUAAACCUGUCUUCAUAGUCACGUUUUCAGUCCCGUCAAGAGCAAAUAUGAUAUCUCCAUAGUCAAACUUAUUGAAGAAUUCCCCAGCUUUGAGCGAAAAUGGUGUGUUUCUCGGAUAAUUCAUCAAUCCAUAUCCGUUCACUUGCGAGGAUCCAUUCGGAAGAGUAAGUGUAAGACUCACCGGACUUGCUAUGUUAAAGUUGUCUUUCAGCAGCACCACAAAAGAUACCUCAUAAGAUAAAUUUUCAAGCUUUUCUGUCAUAUAGUUUCCGUCAACAUGUAGGACUAAGCUACCAAUUAAUUCAGCACUGUCAGGACUGUACAAAAUGAUAGUAGAAUUAAAGUCAGAAACUUUUGAUAUAAGGAGCUUAAAUUCAUUAGGUGAUUUUAUUGAUUUAUUUAUUUUUUGCUGGAAUAUUUUUAAUGCGAGUCCUUCUAUCUAACUAGACUUCAAUAAAAUUUCUAUAGUCCUUCUAUCACUUUAAUUUAAUGACAAAGUUGCUUAUAUAUCCCUAUUUUUAACUGAAUAAAAUUCAGGUGUUUAAACACAAAUCUUGACCUUUGACGUCAAUUAAGUUAACUAAAUCUUAUUUCUACUUACGUAAACUUCCAGCCUGAAGGGUUGGCAUAAUUGAGUUUACUGGCAGGUACAUAAGCGCCAGAACUCUGAAUAAGACGAGAAAAAAAAAUUCAUAUCAUCCAUUACAAAAAAAUUUCACUUGCAAAAUUUACAAAUAUUAAGGAUUAUUUUUGUUCUAUAGCCAACUUUAGCUAUAUAUAUGAUGUUUGUUUACAAUUUCAGUAGACUUACCUUCUGGCCUAUUCCGCCGUUUUGGAGCAACUCCAUUUCCUUGGCUUGGGACAACAAUGCCUUGAGGUCAACCUCAUUAUGCCUCACUACUUGUGCCAUCUCCUCGAUCGAUCGAUAACUAUCCUUUAAUUCUGCUAUAUAUAUAUAUAUAUAUGUAUUUUCUGUUUCUAUUCUUGAUGUCUAUAUAUCUCUCUUCCAAAGGCUAGCUCUAUUUAUACUGGCACAAACAGAGGGUACUGCGAUUAUUAUAUCCCAUAAUAUCCUAUCUUCAAAUAUUCCUUCCCUUUUCAAAGUAGGGAUCCGAUCCUGAUAAGUUUAACAUCAUCAUCAUCAUCAUCAUCAUCAUCGCCAAGGAUAUAGAGCAGCAGAUUCUGUUUAAUAAUUUUGUUGGAAUAAUUCUUUUCCAUUUCCCAGUUCAAUAGUUCUUUCUUUAGCUUGUUGCGCAGGCAAAAUUCCAUGAAGGCGAAAGGCACGUAGGCAUACUAGUUGUGGGCAAGGAAAUUGUACCUUGCUAGGGUUAGGAUUUCGUGUUGGCUGAGGAGGAGAGAAAUUCACGAAGAGCACGGAAUUGAUUGGUUGAUUGAAGAGGGGAGAACGACAGGUGGGCGAUUACUCCAACGACGUGUGGCAGAACCCCUAGAAUCCAGGAACCGUGUUAGGGUAGUAGGGAUUCCAAGAGCCUUCUUGAGUCCUUCGUUCUUGAGAGAAUGUCUAAACCCCUUUUAGUGCUUUUAGGUGGAAUCUCCGAGCCUUUAAGUCACCAAAAAGGGUUCUUUGAUCUUCCGAGAGUCCAAGUCUUGAGUCUAAAGAGAAGUCUCUUUCCCAAUGGAAUGGAAGGGUAUUUAUAGGGUUUUCUGGAAAGUAGUCAUGUGCGAGGCACAUGCUUUCAGGGAAAUUCCAGAAAUGCCCUUUAGUCAUUAGAAUAAUGCCCAUGUUGCCCUGUCCUUCUAGCCACCAAUCCAAUCCCUCAAUUAAUUCCCACAUCGAGCCGCCUCCACGAGUCUUCUGCCUCGGGACACGUGGAGGCUUCUCCCGGGUCUAGCACAUUUAUUUAUGACUUUUUCAUCUUCAUUCCAUUCGGUUAUGCGAACACUAAUUUGCACAUUUAAUGAGGCCGUGGAACCCUAAUUGCGCAUUUAAUUCAAUUAGGUCAUGUGAACUCUAAUUUUACACUUUGGCCCACAUUUGCCCCCUGCGCGAGAGUCGCAUUUUCAAAUAGACGAUCGUGCAAGAAAACUGCAAGCCUUUGAAUGAUUUUGCGGGACUUCACUUUACAUGUCUUGAAGACAAUAGUCCUAGAAGAGGGAACUCCUAGGGAGCCAAACCCUUAGAGUUAAACCCUAGGAAGGCAAGACCUAGCGAGGCUCUUCCUUGGACAUAUUGAAAAAUCUUCUGAAAUCUUUCUGUAUUUUGCCCAAUAUUUAUUUCCAAUUCCGCAAGCAGAUCAACUGUCCGAGCAGCCUCAAUACGAACAGAAACAGAUUCCGAUAACUUGGAAUGGAAAAUAGAAUUAAGACCAGGCAAAACAUUGAAUAGAGCGAUGUAGAGAUCUAAAAUUUCAAACAACUUGAGAAACGAUGGACGGGUACUACUAACGCCUUCUGCAAAGUUAAUCAAGUGCAAGGCGGAUUCUUUAACUAUACCCAUAAAACACACAUCAAAUGUGGAGUUACCAAGUCCACUAAAGAUUUGUUCACAGAGUUUCUUCUCCUUUAUGAAGAGAUCUUCAAAACAAACACGAGAUGCUCGUAUCCACAAUUUGAUCUUUGGUGCCAACAUAUCCCACUCCAAACUCCGGAACUCACCGAUGCUAUAUUUACCGACGCCGAGGUGUCGAAAUUCUGCAUCCACAAUCAACUUCCUUGAAGUCCUGUAGAAUUCAACGCAGUCGCCAACAUUACCGGCUGAGUUCAAUCGUUCAAUGAUACUCCUAAAACCAUAAACUUCGUCAAUAUGUCCAUCAUCCUGUAAUUCAUAGCUAAAAGUAUCGGUUAUUGUACUUGAAAAAAUGGUAGAACUCCUAUCGGCCAAGAAAGCAUUGUGGACUCUGUUGGUUUGUCGGGUCAAUAUGACCCGAAACUCUAACGGAAGGGUUUCCAUGCCCGUUUAGAUCAUGUUUUGAUGCUUUCAGUUUGGGGAUCUGAGAUUAUUCUCGAUCGUCUGAAGCUCGUCAAAAGUACUGAUCAAUCUCAUGGCGGUCUCCGUCGAAGUCGAAGAUGAUGAAUUUAAUAAUUCCGCCCGAAUAUUUUGUGUUCUACCAAUUCCAUUCAGACAAUACAAAAGAGAUAUAUAUAUCUGCCUAAAAAUUGAAAACCGAAAAUCAUCUCUGAACAGCAGGCUUUGAAAAUUACUCCUACUAGUAGUUUAUAAAUAUAAAUACUUUGAAGAUUGUAAGAAGUUCAUAGCCAUCCACUAGUAAAAGUACUUACCAUUACUAAUUGAUGUCACGUUACCGCAAUUAGGACGGAGAGAGAAAGUCGGACCAACUCUUUUUUUUUUUCAAAUCAAACAUUAAUUUUUUAUUUCCAAAAUCAAAUCUUAAUUUUUAUUUUCAAAAUAAAAUCAAAUCUUAAUUUUUUAUUUCCAAAAUAAAAUCAAAUCUUAAUUUUUUAUUUCCAAAAUAAAAUCAAAUCUUUCUUAAUUUGAAAAGAGAUUUUUUUUUUUUGAAAAUGAAAUAAAAUAAAAUCUCUCUUUUUUUUUUUUGGCAAAUCAAAUCAAAUCAUUUUUUUUUAUCAUUCACGCAAAAGAUUUAAGUGCAUGAAUAAAAUAAAAUAAAAAUGCAUGAAUUUAAGAGUCAUAUAAUCUCACAGAUCUAAUGAAGGGGAAUUGCCACAUGCCUACGACAUUCUCUAUGAAAAAAAUGAUGAAUUAAGGCAAAACGAGAUCCAAUCAUGUAUUAUUUUUUUUUUGAAAAUAAAAUAAAUCUUAUUUUAUUAUCUUUCAAAAAAAUAAAAUAAAAUCUUAUUUUAUUAUUAUUAUUUUUUAAAAUAAAUAAAUAAAUAAAUAAAACAUUUACUUAUCUUAUUUUUAAGAAGUAAGGAGUCGAUGAGAAUGUCUUGUAUCCAUAUUGAAGCCUUUGAUAAUUCUUUGAGCAAAGAUGAUUAUAGCUUUUUGAUGAUUCUGACAUCUUUUAUAUGAGACAAGUCUUCACAUGCUUCCGAUUUUUAUUUGCCAUAAAGAAAGAAUCCAUUAAAGCUUCACAUGCCAGUUGCCACUCCUCUGUUAGCCAACAAAAAAAAAAAACAUUGUUUUGCUGCUUUAUUUGGGUGUUAUAGCCACAGGCAAGCCUCUUUCUAUCCACGCCGAACCCUACUGAUUCAAUUUUUUAUUAUUUUUUUUUUAUUAAAAAAAAUCAAGAACUUUUGGAACACUUAUAUUUAGAAGAAGCUUGUACGUAUGGGAAUUGAUGAUCCAAAAACCCACAACCCAAUUCUUAAUCUCAGUUUCUUUCUUGCUAAUCUUUCUCAGUUGAUGAACCCUUUGGAUAAUAUUAACGAUCCUCUUAGGAGGUUGCAAUAUUCAGAUCCCACUCAACUACUAGCCAAAAUCCAAAUUUUACAUAACCUAUUGCAGGCCAUAAAUGUGAGUCCUUCUUUCCCAAAUAUUAAAGUAGUAAACGUGAAUAAUCUCUUGGGAUCAUAUAAUUAUCUUAGCCAAUUUGAUGGAGUGAUCACGAGUGAAGCUAUCAACCCCAUGAUUAAUCCUAUCCCCAACAACCGGCCUUUAAUAUAUAUACUCCAAUCCCAAACUCAUUUGGAUUCUUUAGCCCACAAAUAUUUAACAAUGUUAAUAGCUUAAGUGGUGUUGCAUGCAAUAUUACUCAUCAAACUGAAAAUCAGCUUCCGGAAAGUUCCAAUACCAAGGAAAUGGACAGUAUGAAGCCUACAAACAUCCCCUCCGGUUCAACCAACUCUGACAAUAUCUUUGAGGUUUUGGAGAAAUUUGUUGAUUGUGAUCAAGCCAAUAGUACUUCCUUCUUGCUUCUUUUUUUUUUUUAUUCAGGUAACUCUAGUCUUUCUUUUGUCUUCCGAGCCCCAUUACCUUGAUCAUAUCUUGGUUUUUUCCCUCGGAUCAUAAAGAAAGAUUGGUAUUUUUUUUUUCUUGCAGGCCCUCCCUGUUGAACAUUCUGCAGACUUGGGAACAACCAAGGAGGCCCCGUUUCUCAAUAAUUGGGGAAGGGAUCCCCUCUUUUGGUCUUUCCGACGUCUUUUGAGAGCGAGUCUAGACUUAUAAUCGUACAACACUUCCUCCGCCAGAGAAGAAAGGCGUGUUUCUUUAUGUCGCGGCUUGCGGAGGUUUGGGUGACUUCCUCCCUUCCGAUCGCAUUCUCCGCAUGUGCAUAGAGAAACAAGAAUAGCCUUUCAGUCCCUUUCGCUUCCUGUCUGACUCAUCUGACCGCCUUCAAGGAUGGCAACAUUGGACCGACUUCCCGUUGUGUGCUCUUCUUCAUACACAUUCAUUACUACUUGGGGGGGAAUUCACCCCUAUUCUAGAGGAUGUCUCUGCCCUCCACCAGUAGGUCGUACUUCGGUUUGCCCCCUGCACGUGAGUCACACCUUUGGUGGGACAACCGUGCAUAAUUUCUCCAGCAUUGAAAUCUUGCUACAAAUUUCUUAAUGAUUCGCGGAGCACGAUGGUGCAAGCCUUGAACAUAAAAUCCCUAGGAGGGGAGACCUGUAGGGGGCGAGCCCUAGAGAAGCUCUCCCUGGCUAUCUUGGAAAAAAUCUUCUAUCUUAUCCUUCCGAAUAUUACUUUCUUUUGGAAGUUCUCUCAUUUUCAAAAUUAAGAAGUCAACGAGAAGGCACCGAGUGAACAUACUUCAAAUUGGGGUGAACAAGCGAUGAAGGAGAUCUUUCCUCUAGGUACCCGAAUCCUGAGCGGCUUCAUUCUGGAACAUUGAUUAACGAGCUAGGAGAAGUAAAAGGUAAGAGGGGAGAGCCUCUGUAGGUGUUUGAACCCCAGGGGCCGAACCCUAGAAGACUGCCUAUUCCUUCACUCUUUUUUUCCUUCUUCCUUUCACUUGAAUCUUGGUCGUGUCCUAGCUUGGUUCCCCAAUAUAGUUGAUCGGAUACAUCUUCAUAGGACCCUUCUCCAGAUUUUCUUGCUCGAUUGUCUUCUGAGACUUAUUCUCGAAAUGCACAUUCUCUCUCUAUUAUCUGUGAGCAGAAGACUUAGAGGUGUUUUAGUUGUGAAGUUGAUGACUUCUCGAUCCUUCUUGGGCCUUGACAUGUCUCCCUUCCGUGCUAAGCUGGAUCUCUUCACUUUCAGUUAUCAUGUCAUUGCACUUUGUUCGGAGGUCACUUCACGUCCUCAUGAGAAUGACUUUCUUUAUGUAAGGGCCUCAGGAGCUUCAGGACGUCAUGGAUAGAUUGAAGGCCAAGCUUCGGGAAAUUGAUUCAUCUGCCCAAGACCUUAAGGAACUGUUAGCCUGAAGUUCGAAAGGCUCGAGAUACUGCCAUUGUCGACUUGGAGGCUUUAGCUAUGCCCCCAGUUCAGUUUGAUGUAUCAUGACCUUUGGAUCAUGACUUCAUGUAGCUUUUAUUUCUUCCAUCACUUUUGAAGAUAAAGUGUAUUAUCGAGGAUUUCAGGGUCAAGUGUCUCAAUCACUUUUGAAGUUGAAAGUAUAACUCUUUUUUUUUUCUGGAUCGAGGGCUGAUUAAUCAGGUGCCUCAUUACUUUUGAAGUUGAAAGUAUAACUUUUUUGGGUCGAGGGCUGAUUAAUCAGGUGCCUCAUUACUUUUGAAGUAGAAAGUAUAACUUUUUCGAGUCGAGGGCUGAUUAAUCAGGUGCCUCAUUACUUUUGAAGUUGAAAGUAUUUUUUUUUUGGGUCGAGGGCUGAUUAAUCAGGUGCCUCAUUACUUUUGAAGUAGAAAGUAUAACUUUUUCGGGUCGAGGGCUGAUUAAUCAGGUGCCUCAUUACUUUUGAAGUUGAAAGUAUAACUUUUUUGGGUCGAGGGCUAAUUAAUCAGGUGCCUCAUUACUUUUGAAGUAGAAAGUAUAACUUUUUCGGGUCGAGGGCUGAUUAAUCAGGUGCCUCAUUACUUUUGAAGUUGAAACUAUAACUUUUAAGAAAUUUGCUCUGAUCAAAAUUUGAUGUAUUUAUUUAACGAUCAAGAUAUAAUACAUUUUUUUUUCAUUUUCUAGUCUGCUAGGGCAGUAGCUUAUUCAGCAUUAUGCUUCUUAUUAUAGUUCGAUUUCACCUGCCGCUAAUUUUUCAUGAUAAAUUCUCCUCAAAUUACGACAAUUCAUGAUGGAAUGUCCUGGGUAUUGAUGAUACACGCAAAAGUCUGAUCUCUUCUUCAUCUCCUCGGUCACAACAAAUCUGGGUUUUGGAGGCUUCACCAUUCCAUUUUCUACCCAUUUCUCAUACAAAUCUUUAAAUAUCUCCUCACCACAAGUGAUAGCUUCGGGCUCUAGCGAAUUUAUAUUCUUUUUGAUUCUUUCCCUCUUGCCCCCCUGUGGCUCUGACUGAGAGUCUGUCAAAGCCGUAGUAGCUGUCCUCUUACUCUUCCAGGUAGCAAUCGGAUGGUUCACAGAUACUGCCAUAAUUUCUCCAUGGUCCUGUGCAAAGGUGGAAAGUGUCGCAAAGGAAUCACAAGACUUAGUGAUCAAGUGGGGCUUGAAGGCGUCGAGGGCGCCGUUGUUGCAAAUACUCACUAAAUUCUUCUCUUCGAUUGGCUCCACACACUUCCGCGCCUGGGCCCGAAAGGUGGAAAGUGUCGCAAAGGAAUCACAAGACUUAGUGAUCAAGUGGGGCUUGAAGGCGUCGAGGGCGCCGUUAUUGCAAAUACUCACUAAAUUCUUCUCUUCGAUUGGCUCCACACACUUCCGCGCCUGGGCCCGAAAUCUGUCAACAUAAUCAGAUAACUCCUCAUUCGAAUUUUGUUGAAUUCUCAUAAGCUCUAUAAUUGACACUUCCUUCUGAACAUAAAAGAAUUUUUUGAAAAACUGGUGUUUCAUAUCAUCCCAAUCUCGAAUCGAACCCUUCUCCAAAUUGUAGUACCAGCUGAAGGCACCGUUAGUGAGCGUCUUGUUAAACUCCCUCAAUAGAAUAUUGUGGUUGCUCACUUCAUCUAUUCCCAACCACGAGGACAUCGACUCCACAAAUCUUGCAAUAUGCUCUCUCGCAUUCCCUUUCUCUCCACUAUACUUAGGGAACUGAAGUGGAUGUUCAAUGUACCCAGCAGGGUAUGGCUGUCUUCUCACAUGCGCCGGGUAUGGUGGGGUGAAAUCCAGUUCCGCAGGCCUGACUGUCUGUCUACGCAUCUGAUUGAUUACAUCCAUCAUGUCUUCCCUUGUCGCAUAUUGACUGGUUUCUGGAGCCUUUUGGGACGUCAUCGCAUACUGGUUUAUCUGAGGUGUAUGUGGAACACAUGUUGAUGCACACUUGCCUCAUGUAAGAUUGGUUGUACUUGCUGGAUUAUUGGUUGUAUAUGGCUUGGGAUGGUUGGUAUCUGCACUUGUGAAAAUGCUGGGAGUGUAAUCGGGAUGAUGUUUAGCUGAGGCUGGCUAGCUUCCAAUCUAAGUGGUGGUACAUCACCACUGUUCUGGGGCUCCAAGUUGAUGACUGGAAUCGGCUGACUCUCCAUUGCUGGAGGUAUAAUCUGAUUCUCUUUGUUGUUGUUGUUGUUGUCCUCCACUUCUCCUGCUCGUCCCCCUUGCGAACUUCCUGGGAACAUGGUCUUGAAAGUGGGGAUUUGCAUCAACUGCUGGCAAAAAUUCUCCAUUUCUUCUUGCUUUCUCUGCAUCUCUAGCAUCAUGGCCAUCAUCAUCCCUUGCCCUUCUCGUGCUUCUUUCAAUGCUUUAAGCAUCUCCAGUUGCACAGCAUUCGUCUGGUCUCCCCCUGCAUCUUCGCCUUGCCUUCUUGCAUUGGUUUGUUGUUGAUUGGCCAUAUGUGGUGAUGUCGAACUCCCUUCCAAAGCGUCUUCAAUAAUUGGUUGGUCAAAAUCCAGGUUUGCGCCUUGGAAAACUUGAGUUACUUGUCUUGGAACUGGAUCCGGUGACGUAAUGCUAUUUGUUGGUGAAGCAGCUCUUCCUGUAAUUCUCCCACUUCGAGUCGUGGGCAUACCCUUCACGAAUUAUACACCUCCCCAGCAGAGUCGCCAAAGAAAUGUGGGCAAGGAAAUUGUACCUUAGUAGGGUUAGGGUUUCGUGUUGGCUGAGGAGGAGAGAAAUCCACGAAGAGCACGGAAUUGAUUGGUUGAUUGAAGAGGGGAGAACGACAGGUGGGCGAUUACUCCAACGACGUGUGGCAGAACCCCUAGAAUACAGGAACCGUGUUAGGGUAGUAGGGUUUCCAAGAUCCUUCUUGAGUCCUUUGUUCUUGAGAGAAUGUCUAAACCCCUUUUAGUGCUUUUAGGUGGAAUCUCCGAGCCUUUAAGUCACCAAAAAGGGUCCUUUGAUCUUCCGAGAGUCCAAGUCUUGAGUCUAAAGAGAAGUCCCUUUCCCAAUGGAAUGGAAGGGGUAUUUAUAGGGUUUUCUGGAAAGUAGUCAUGUGCGAGGCACAUGCUUUCAGGGAAAUUCCAGAAAUGCCCUUUAGUCAUUAGAAUAAUGCCCAUGUUGCCCUGUCCUUCUAGCCACCAAUCCAAUCCCUCAAUCAAUUCCCACAUCGAGCCGCCUCCACGAGUCUUCUGCCUCGGGACACGUGGAGGCUUCUCCCAGGUCUAGCACAUUUAUUUAUGACUUUUUUGUCUUCAUUCCAUUCGGUUAUGCGAACCCUAAUUUGCACAUUUAAUGAGGUCGUGGAACCCUAAUUGCGCAUUUAAUUCAAUUAGGUCAUGUGAACUCUAAUUUUACACUUGGGCCCACACUAGUAAAUGAUGAUUUUCUUCUAACCAGAAGUAUGAGCAGGUUAAAAGUAGAAGAAUAAGCAUCUCGCAGGCCAAAAAUCAAUAAAAAAACGAAAAGAAGAAAAAGAAAAGAAGAAGACAGCAAUAGCAAGACCAUAUUUUUCUUCUUCUUUCUUUUUAUCUUUUCUUUCUUUCUUUUUUGUUUCUUUUUAGACGGAGGGUUUUAUUUCAUCUUUGAAAAUAAACCUAAGAAUUUAUCAAAGGAAAUAAAGGAUAAACGACAAUACAAAUAUAUAUUUUUAUUUUAUUUUCAAAUAUAUACGCAUGCAUGAUAAAGAUUCACAAUUAUACACACAUAUAUAAUAGGCUACAACCAACAAUCUACUAAACAAUUUGUAAACCAUCGAGGUGUUUUAGUGACAACCUACCGUCUACCAAAUCGUUAUUAGUUAACGAGUUAGUGUAAAUUUUCAUUUUGGAAGCUAGUAUAAACUAUCAUCUCUCAAAUUGUUAUUAGUAGAGGAGCUACGAAUGUAAACUAUCGUCUAACAAACUAUAUUAGCUGAUGAACUAGUGUAAACUAUCAUUUACUAGAUGUAUGAGCAUGUUAAGAGUAGAAGAAUAAGCAUCUCGCAGGUAAAAAAAUAGGAAAAGAAGAAGACAACAAUAACAAGGCCACAUUUUUCUUUUUCUUCCUUUUUAUCUUUUUUUUUCUUUUUUGUUUGUUUUUAGACGGAGGACUUCAUUUCAUCUUUGAAAAUGUGGGUAAAGAAAUUGUACCUUAGGUUUUCAUGUUGGCUGAGGAGGAGAGAAAUCCACGAAGAGUACGGGAUUGAUUGAUGAAUUAAAGAGGGCAGAAGAACAUGUGAUCAAUUACUCUAAUGACAUGUGACAAAACUUUUAGGAUCCGAGAACCUUCUUAGGGUGCCAAAGAUCCAGGGAGUCUUCUAGGGUGUGCUUCGGGUUGAGAGAGAAUCUCCAAGUCUUCAAUCUUUCGAAAAGCCCUCUUCUUCAUAGAAUAGAAGGAGUAUUUAUAGAGUUUCCUGGAAAGUGGUCACAUGACAGACAUAUGACCUCGAGCAAAUUCCAAAAAUACCCUUAGUCACCAGAGUAAUGCCCAGAUCGUCCUGUCUUUCUAGCCACCAAUCCAAUUCCUCAAUCAAUUCUCAAAAUGAGUUGCCUCCAUAAGCCUUUUACCAUGGAGGCUCUUCCUUGAUCUCAUGAUACAAAGCUCUUAUUGCUCAAACCAUGCUUACUUGCUCUUCCUUCUUUAUUUAAGAAUCUCGUCGCCAGAAAUCAUCGGAAGAACUCUGCGCAAGACCCGGGAAGCCGCGUGUUACAAACCAGUCCCACAUCGAAAGAUAUGGAAAAAAAUUAGUCUAUAUAUAAGGAAUUAUGUUACUACCAAUAAUAUACUUUUAAGUCAUGACCUUUUGGGUGAGCCUGUGGUGGGAUAAGAUGACCCAAUAAUAUACUAUUGGGUCAGUGGUUUAAGGCCUUGGGAUUCGGACUUGGGAUUUGACCCAAGAUUUGUUUUGGGCAAUUUUACUCAGGUUGUUACAUAUGGUAUUAGAGCCGACUCUCGAAAGCUCGGGUCGGAUCAUCCGAUCGGGUUGCCGGAAGUGGGGACACGAAACCAGCCGAUAUUAUCCCACAAUGGCUAAAGAGGCAAAGAUCUGUGGAACGUAUAUGUGAUCGAUUUUGAUGGAGAUGUCAAAAAUUUAAGUGGGGUAGUUUAUAACACCUCAGUCCCACAUUGAAAGAUAUGGGAAAUACUAUUGUGCAAUGAUUUAAGCUAUCCAGCUAUAUUGUUAUAGUUUGGAUAUAUUCCAGUAUGAGAAUUAACAAACCCUGAAAUGGGAUAUUUUUAUUGCACUCUGGGAGUGGUGACGUUGAACAUGGAAGUUGUUCUGGAUAAGAUAGUAUUGAUUAAUAAAGGGCAUAUAUAAAGGGCUGAUCAUCCAUCGUGCUCAUAAGAUAAGAUGGUUCACAAAUAAAUUUUUAAGAAAACCUUUUCAAGAAAAGAAAAAGCUUGUUCACGGUCUUAUGACCUCUCAGAUGUUCAAUAUUGAUAUGAUAUUCCAGGAAUAUGAAUGAUUCAAGAUUUAAUUGCUUUACAGUUUUGUUUCACUGUUAAAGCAUGUCUCAAAGAAAACAUUUAAUUAUUGUUAAGAUAUUAAAGAAUGCUAUUACUUAUUGAGCAAUUGAAUGCUCAUUCUUGUUUUGUUAUAAAUGUUUUCAGCUAAUCAGGCUCCAACGGAGGGGUCUAAUAGAGACAAAGGAAAAGGAAAAGCUACUGAGUAGUAGGUAUAUGUUGUAAUAAAUAGUUUAUAUGUUUGUAGAUAUUUAACUAUCAUGUAAUAAGCACUUAAUGGUUACGUACCUGGUAUUAGAAGAACUCUGAUAUAAUAAAUCUAUCAAGUUUGAUAUUAUAUUAUGUUGAAUGCUUGAUAUCUUGAAGCACUGAAUAAGGGUUUAAAAUACCCGAAUUUGGGGGCGUCACACGCCCGAUUCGCCUCCUUUGCGUAUGUUUAACAUGCUCAUACAACUUGUCUAAUACUCCAUUGAUUAAUUCUAAGUAUCAUUAUAUUUCAUAACUUUCAUGUUUAAUAACUUAGAAUAACAUAUUUUAUCGUCAAAAGCAUCCACGUAGUACGAGCAUGCCCGACGCCCUCCGAUCGCCUCCGAUCGAAUGCACAAUAGUCCUAAAAAUAGCCAUUUUAGCCCCUUCUCCCGACCUCAAAUCUCAAAACUUAUAAAAUAAAAGUUUUAGGUCAACUUCUAAUAUUUUCGAAUCAUCUUGAAUCACCUCAAUCAGAGUUCGUAUAAAAAGGUUAUGCAUGUUUUACUAAAGAACGUCAAAGCUGACUUUCUGCACUUUUGGUUCAGCGCCCAUCCUAGGCCUAUUUCCAACGCCCCGGGGCUGGACGGCAGUACGUUCUCAGCCAAAAACUUCAAUUUUCAAAAAUCUUCAGUUUUGAAUGAUUUCAACAUGUCUACUUUGAAAUAUCAUAAAUUUCUCCUCCGAUAUCGAAAUGAGCUCGUUCUUAAUGGGUUGAAAAGCUUGCAACACCCUCUACAAAUUUCUCAGGACAAAAUAAUUUUCUGGAUUCUCUAACAAUCCUUUAAACUUUCUCAAAAGUCCAUCGAGACUAAGAUUUUUAUCAUUCAACAUACUUUACCAAAAUUUUCUGCCAUGACUUCGUUUUAACAUAUUUUUACUCCGUUCCAAUUAGAAUAUCUUCAUAAAUUCCUUAUCUAUAAAUCCUUAUUCCCGAAUUUUAUUUAUUACAACCCUAUCAACAAUAUUAAAAUCCAAUUUAAGUACUCUAAAUAAAUAAUGUCUAUCCUUUAAGCUUUGGCCUACGAUUCCAUUCUUGUUACCACUUCUUAUGCAAUUUAACAAGUUAUUUAUCAUGAUCAAAGCACACAUAACUUUAUUUACUCAAGGUCCUUCAUACUCUUUCAUUAAACAACCAUCGCCAACAACUAAUGAUUCAAGAAAGACUUCACAGAAAUGAAAAGAUGGAUGGUUCUUACCUUCUUAGUUAUUCUUCUUCUUCCUAGCUUAUGCUUUGUUAGCAUGAUAUACAUUGUUGGGCCCUCCAUCUACCAACUUAAGCUUUUAAGAUAAGUUGGUUACUUAACAUGGUAUCAAAGCUUUGGGUGUGCAAGGUCUUGGGUUCGAAUUUUUCCAGCUGCACAAUUAUCUUUCUAUUAAUUUAACAGUGCAAAUGCACUUUAAUUUCUCCCUUCUCUAUAAAAAAAAGUUGCGUUUGAGAGGGAGUGUUAGCAUGAUAUACAUUGUUGGGCCCACCAUGCAUCUAACAGCUUAAGCUUUUAGAUGAGUUGGUUACUUUGCUCUUCUUUCUCUUCUUAUUGGUAUUCGGCCUCUCUAUUUCUCUCUCUCUCUCACUCUCUUGUUUUCUUUCUCUUCUCUCUAGUUUGCCCUCUCUUCCUUUUUUUUUCUUGCAAAUGAAAUGAAUUGGCUAAGUGAAAAAUCCUCUAGAUCAAUUGAAUUCUCCACUAACUAACUCAACCAUACUUCUAAGGUUAGGUUAACUCGUGUAGGGUUAGGGAAUGAUAGGAUGACACUUGUAAGCUUAAUGUUUAAGGAUGACAAGAAGAUAUAAGCUAGCAUUAAAUUAAAUUUUCACCUUGCUAGAUGAGUCACACAUACUCUCCCUUUUGCUUCUUUAAUUGGUUGGAUCACCCCUCCCUUUCUUAGCUCAUAUUUUAAUUAUCCCAUGUGGGAUAAACAUCAAUCCUCUCCCUUAUCUUACUUUUUCACCCAACUUAUCUUUUAUGAGAUAACUACUAAGUCUCAUUCCUUAUCUUUUCUUCGAUAAGCCUUGUCAUUAAUCCUUAUCUCUUCCUUGUUUUCCUUCAACCCAAACUUACCAUAAAUAGAAAGUUUCCAUCUCACCUUCUCUCUUCUCCUUGUCCAUAUUCAAAUCCCCACAUGUUUAAUUCUAGCAAAUGACACUUGCCCUCUUAUAACUUUGGCUCCUAGUUUGGCUCACUUUUUGGCUCAAAGACCAAGCCAUGGCUCCUAUCCUUUGACUCUAAGCUUAAGCCACUCAAACCUUAGGCUCAACCCUUAGCUAAGCCCCUUUAAAUUCCUAACCAAGUCAUUUAAACCUUAGGUUUGGUUAGACUAGAAUUAAUUUAAUUUCUCUUUUUCUUUUAAAUUAGUUAGAUUUCCUAAUUUUUUAGUUACAUUUUUCGUAAUAUGCUUGGUUAGCUGACAAUCCGACUUUUGAUUUUCAAAAAUCCAAUUUCGCCACCAUUCCUUCUUUCCCGAAUAAACGCUAUGUAGUUCUUCGAAAUUUUAAAAAAAACGAAGUUGGGUUUUUAGCGUGAAUAGUUUUUUUUCAUACGACUUUUUCUAGAAAAAUAUUUUAUUAGAGAUUUCAUCUCGCCUUCUCAAAUAAACACUAUGAUGUAAUUCAAAAUUCUCGAAAAAGUAUGUUUAUUAGCGUUUUUCUGUGAUUUUAAAAAUAGUAACUUUUUCGUCUUUUUCUCGAAAAAAUUAUAUUCUCCCAAAACUCCCAACACUUAUACAUAAUCACGUAACACGUAAACUAGGUCAUUAAUCGACCUAAAUCAUGUAACACAUAAUAAUAUCUAUAAAAUUUUAUUUUAUUAGAUAUUCACAAAUAAAACCUAUUUUCAAGCCUAUCUGAAUUCUCGGGUCGUCACAUAGUAUUUAUAGAGUUUCAUGGAAAGUGUUCACAUGCCAGGAACAUGACCUCAUGGAAAUUCAAGAAAUACCCUUAGUCACCAGAGUUAUGCCUAGAUCAUCUUGUCCUUCUAACCACCAUGCAAUCCAAUCCCUCAAUCAAUUUCAAAAAUGAGUUGCCUCCAUAAGCCUUCUGCCUUGGGACCCAUGGAGGCUCCUCCUCGAUCUCAUGCUUCAAAGCAAUUGUUGCUCAAACCAUACUUUCUUACUAUUCCUUCUUUAUUUGAGAAUCUCGUCGAUGGAAAUCCUCGGAAGAACUCUGCGCAAGAACCAGGAGGCCGCGCCUUAGGGGGGCAAUCCUUAGGGGGCGGAACCCUAGGGAGCUGAACCCUAGGGGGGCCUCCUUCAGUUCUUUUCGUUCGUUUCAACCUUUCUUGGUCAGUUUUCAUCAUUUUCUCAUGAUUCUUGGUCCUGUAAGAAGCCUUUCUUGUCAUAGAGAUUAUAAGGCUAAUCAUUAUUUGGAGUUUCACAAGAUUUUAGUUUAUUUUUGUAGUCCAGGCUUAUUUCUUUGUCAUUGCAUCGAUGAAACCCCUUCUAGCAUGCCAAUCGAGAAAAUGAGGUAGCAUAUGCCCUAGGGUGCCGAACCCUAAGAGGUAAUUUAGAUUUCUUUUGUCCAUCUUUUGUCUGUUUUCCUUUUUUCAUUACGAUAGUUCCAACCAAAUCCAGUCGGAGAAGAAAUUGGUUUUAUCUUUUCUUUAAGGAGAAGUCAUCUUGGAGUGGUUGAACCAUAGGGUGGCCGAACCCUAAGGGGCCAAAAUCCUAGGAUUUUUCCCUUUUUGCUGAUUUAAUGCUUCGUUCAUUAAUUGAAGUCUUGUUCAUUUACUUUCGUCUUUUCAUUUAAUUCAAUUAAAUCAUAUGUAAACCCUAAUUUGUACUUGGGCUCACAGAAAAUAAACCUAAGAAUUCAUCAAAGGAAAUAAAAGAUAAAUGACAAUACAAAUAUUGCGUUUUGUUUUGUCUUAUUUUUUUAAUUUUAUUUUCAAAUAUAUACGCAUGCAUGAUAAAGAUUCACAAUUAUGUAUAUAUAUAUAUACAUAUAGAUACAUAAUAUGGUAAAUAAUAGGUGGUAGUUGUUUUAUUUAUAAUAUGGUAAAUAAUAGGUGGUAGUUGAUUUAUUUAUUACAUGCUAAUAACAGCCAUGAGUUGAUAGUUGAUUUAUUUAUUAUAUGCUAAUAACAGCUAUCAGUUAUUGGUUGAUUUAUUUAUAUAUCGUGCUAAUAACAACCAUCAACUUGUAUAUAGUUUCUUGAUUUACUGCUGAUCGGAAGAUUACUGAUCGUUCAUUUAGGCGUUGGUGGGACUAAUGUUAACACCAUAGAUAACUAAACCCGUCUUCAUAGUCACGCUUUCAGUCCCGUCAAGAGCAAAUUUGAUAUCUCCAUAGUCAAACUUAUUGAAGAAUUCCCCAGCUUUGAGCGAAAAUGGUGUGUUUCUCGGAUAAUUCAUCAAUCCAUAUCCGUUCACUUGCGAGGAUCCAUUCGGAAGAGUAAGUGUAAGACUCACCGGACUUGCUAUGUUAAAGUUGUCUUUCAGCAGCACCACAAAAGAUACCUCAUAAGAUAAAUUUUCAAGCUUUUCUGUCAUAUAGUUUCCGUCAACAUGUAGGACUAAGCUACCAAUUAAUUCAGCACUGUCAGGACUGUAAAAAAUGAUAGUAGAAUUAAAGUCAGAAACUUUUGAUAUAAGGAGCUUAAAUUCAUUAAUAUAGUACAAUUAAUGCGAGUCCUUCUAUCUAACUAGACUUCAAUAAAAUUUCUUUAGUCCUUCUAUCACUUUAAUUUAAUGACAAAGUUGCUUAUAUCCCUAUUUUUAACUGAAUAAAAUUCAGGUGUUUAAGCACAAAUCUUGACCUUUGACGUCAAUUAAGUUAACUAAAUCUUAUUUCUACUUACGUAAACUUCCAGCCCGAAGGGUUGAAAUAAUUGAGUUUCUCAGCAGGUAUAUAAGCGCCAGAACUUUGAAUAAGACAAGAAAAAAAAAUUCAUAUCAUCCAUUACAAAAAAAUCUCACUUGCAAAAUUUACAAAUAUUAAGGAUUAUUUUUGUUCUAUAACCAACUUUAGCUAUAUAUAUGAUGUUUGUUUACAAUUUCAGUAGACUUACCUUCUGCCCUAUUCCGUUGUUUUGGAGCAACUCCAUUUCCUUGGCUUGGGACAACAAUGCCUUGAGGUCAACCUCAUUAUGCCUCACUACUUGUGCCAUCUCCUCGAUCGAUCGAUAACUAUCCUUUAAUUCUGCUAUAUAUAUAUAUAUAUAUAUAUUUUCUGUUUCUAUUCUUGAUGUCUAUAUAUCUCUCUUCCAAAGGCUAGCUCUAUUUAUACUGGCACAAACAGAGGGUACUGCGAUUAUUAUAUUCCAUAAUAUCCUAUCUUCAAAUAUUCCUUCCCUUUUCACAGUAGGGAUCCGAUCCCGAUAAGUUUAACAUCAGCAUCAUCAUCAUCACCAAGGAUAUAGAGCAGCCGAUUCUGUUUGAUAAUUUUGUUGGAAUAAUUCUUUUCCAUUUCUCAGUUCAAUAAUUCUUUCUUUAGCUUGUUGCGCAGGCAAAAUUCCAUGAAGGCGAAAGGUACGUAGGCAUCCUAGUAAAUGAUGAUUUUCUUCUAACCAGAAGUAUGAGCAGGUUAAAAGUAGAAGAAUAAGCAUCUCGCAGGCCAAAAAUAAAAAAAAAAUCGAAAAGAAGAAAAAGAAAAGAAGCCACCAAUAGCAAGACCACAUUUUUCUUUUUCUUUCCUUUUUAUCUAUUCUUUCUUUGAUUCUUUUUUAUAAUUUUUUUUAGAUGGAGUCUUUGAAAAUAAGCAUAAGAAUUCAUUAAAGGAAAUAAAAGUGUUGAAAGUUGUCUUGCAUUAGUCUUCUCCAAAUUCUGUUCCCCUUAGACUUUAGAAUUUAGCCUUUCCCAAAAUUCUGUUCCCCUCAGAUUUCGGAAUUUUGCUUUCCUCAUUUCUUGUUCUCCUCUCCAGAUUUCUCCUAUAAAAGGGAGCUUUGGUGUAAGACCCCAACUUUUAUGAAUAAAGACGAAUUUUUCUAUAAAUAUAAUUUUUGAUUAUUAAGAUGUGAAUUUGAAAAAAUAUUAUAGUUGUGAGUAAUAUUUAAAAAUUUUACAAAGUAAACAAGGUGUUAUAAAAUAUUCGGUUGGUCGAGGAAUAUUCGUUUUAACAGGGAAUAUUCAUACGACGACACAAUCAUUGGUGGACCCCACAACGAAAGUAUUGUCGGAGUUAGAAAACGACAGAAAUAUCUUAUUAUGAAAAUAAUGGCGAAAAUUUUACCGUUAACUGUUGAAAUACCCGUUAGUAAAAGUACAGUAAUACGUAUGGUUGCAUAGUAGUACACGGUAUUAAUUAUUGAUGCUUACGUGAGAAGUCACUCAGUUAUACUCAAUUAUUGUUACAGUAAUUGUUGUAUCAUAUCUCUUAUAUUAUUGAUUCAAUUAUUGUCAGUAUCAUCUGCAUAAUAUUUUAUAUUAUUAAAUCAAUAAUUGAGACGAUAAAGUUAUUCAUAUUAUUAUUUACAAUAUUGACGAUGUCUAGAAGUUCUGUCAAGGAGAGGUUAGGUCAUUUAAUUGCGCGCCAAUAGGGAGAAAUCCUUAUCGGAAAGCCCCUCUUUCCUGAAAACGAUCUGGUUGUUAAUAUUGCGAGUUAUAAUAAUGAUGAAUAAAUUGAAGGAAUUUUAUGAAAUAUUUGUUGUAAGUUUUGCUUAUUAUAUGGACCCCCAUUUAACCAUUUUUCAAAAUAAUCGGUAAAAAAUUAUUCAGUAUUUUUUUUAAUAAAAAAGGUGGGGCCACAUGUGGGGCCCACUGAAAGAAAAAUGGGGGGGGGGAGAUGUUUAUGUUUGUCAUGGGUGAAGGUUUGAUUAUAUAUAUAUAUAUAUAUAUAUAUAUAUAUAUAUAUUAUAAUAAGUCUUUUUUUUAUGAAAAAUAGAAUAUAUUAAAUUUUAUUUGCAUAGUAUUUUACUAUGCAGUGCACAGUAAAGUUUUGUGAAUUAGAAAUUCGGCGCCCGUGAAAUUUUCGAUUGUUUUGUCCGUGAGAAUUUCAAACAGUACCCCUUCCAUCAUCCUAUAAAUAUGACGCUUAUUUUGAAUUGAAAAUCACACAAGAAUCAGAGAAUUUUUUUCUAUAAUAUUGAGUAUAUUUCUUUCGAGUUUUAGAAAGUUUUGAGUGUAGAAAACAGUGAAAGUUUUUUUCAAGAAUAUCCCCGCUAUACCAGUCGAAAUACUCUUCUUAGGAUGUUUUUUUGUUCAAUAUUCGUAUGAAAUAAUAUUUUCUUCCAUACUCUGUAGUAUGUAAAUAAUAUUAUUUCGUUUUAGAUUUCGAAUUCUAUAUCCAUUUUGUUAAAGUUUUGGCUCCUAUACUCCAUGAAAUUAGUAGAAUAUCCUUAAAAUUUGCGUUUCAUCCAGUAUCUUUUCAUGGAAAUAUUAUUCUGAGCAUUCUUGAUAAGUUUUAAUUUUUUCAUGCCAGAGUACUAUAUACGGGGUACUAUUCUCAAAUUACUAUUCACGGGGUACUAUUCACUCGGUUACUAUUCAUCCGAGGCACUAUUCAUGACAAAAAUUAAUUUUUUUUCGGUCCAAAUCAUUUUUGUUACAAUAUUAUUCGUGAAUUUUACUCCAUAAUGCAGUAUCAUAUUGACAAUUUGGACAUUAUUAAAUUAUGGAUAAAUUAAAUUAUAAAUCUUUAAAAAUUUAUCUUUUGCUUUCAUUUAAUUGAAUUCUUAUAUCAUUGUCAUCAUCCUGAUGCUUAUAUUAUAAUGAAAGUCAUUUGUGGCCCGUAGUGCAUAGAUGGACUUGGUAUGAUUAUGACCAGGGAUUAUUUGGUAUAAUCAUGACUGUAAUAUUACAAAUGAUGUGGUAAAAGUCCUCAUUGGCCCGUAGUGCAUUGAUGAACAGUUGUUUUCAUGAUCAUGACCAUUGAUGAAAACACGAAUAUCUUUGGCCCGUAGUGCAUGAAUAAUUUGUGGUUGUGAUACUAAAGAAUAUCCUUGGCCCGUAGUGUAUGGAUAAUUCAGUGAUGUGUAUUAUUUAUUAAGCUGAGUCUCAGCGAUACAAUUGAUGAUAAACCUUUUAAAUAAUAGAAGAUAGUAGAUUUUAUGCUCUACUUAACUCUUCUAAUAGAUUGCUUGUUCCUCUGCAAUUAAACUUGAUGUUUAUUAUAUUUUAUCAGUUUAACAUUGUUGAAGGCUAAUGAUAAUUUAUUCUGUGUUAUCUUAGUCAUAAUAUUUCUUACUGGCUAGUUGAGCUCACCCUUUACUUUCAUUGUUCUCUUCAGGAAAUGAGAAUAUAGCUGGGAUCGACUAGUCGGGGAACGGAGUGACGGUCCAAAUGAUAACAUUAGUAGUCCUCACUAUUCUGUGAAAUAGUGUGAUAAUAAAUGUAAUGAGGACUUAUUUUGAGUUUGAAUACUGUCUAGAAGACAAUAUUUGUAUUAAAACUCACAACUCAUGUUAUAUAUUUAAGUUUAUAUUUGUAUUCUGUACCAUGUAUUUAACGAUUCAAAAUGGGUGAUGUAUACCUAUUCUGGGGGCGUCACAGUUGGUAUCAAAGCUUGGGGAUAUGAUCCCUGGCUGAGAUGAGAGACUAGAACUAGGAGGGGAGAGUCAGGUAAUUCCUUUGCUAGUAUGACCUACCUAAGUUUAUUUGUUAUUUAAUUAGUCGGUCAGAAUAUAGGGAUAAUAUGUUGCAUGUCAAUUAACCCUUGUUUUGUGGCAGUAUUUGAAAAUGACAUCCGAGAAUGUUGAGAAUAGCAAUGGAGUACAUGAGACCGUUGAAUCACCAACGAUCAAUAACCAGGAUAAUGUGCAUCAGGAAGGCAAUAAUCCUCAUGCAAACAAUAACUCCAACAAAAUAAUGAACGACAAAAUGUUUAUGAGCUUUCUUCAAUUCAUGCAACAUCAGGCAAGAGAGACUCCUGUUCAAAAUGUAGGUGGAAAUACCGGCAACUCUCGAACGGUCACCGCUAAGCAAUUCAAGGAGCUGGGACCACCGAAGUUUUUGGGAAAGCCAAAACCACUUAAGGCGGAGACAUGGUUAAAGCAGAUCACUAAGAUAUUUGAUGUCUUUGGAUGCUCCGAGGAGCAAAAGGUUCCCUUUGCCACCUUCAUGUUGCGAGGAGAGGCAGAUCAUUGGUGGAAAUCUGUAAAAUGUACCCAGCUUGCCACAUUAAAGAUGUCUUGGGAGAAGUUUCAAGAACUGUUCAACGACAAGUACUUUUUCGAAAGUAUUCGUUAGAUGAAGGAGGUGGAGUUCAUCAGGUUGGAAUAAAACAAUAUGACCAAGACGCAGUACGAGGCUAAGUUUGCGGAGUUAUCCCGGUUUGCAUCUCAUUUGGUUGUUAAUGAGGAGAGAAUGACGCGGAUAUUUUUAAGAGGUUUGAAACCUGAGAUAUGUCAAUAUCUCAUUCUCACAAACUUUGCUUGUAUUCAGAUGUUGUGAAUAUUGUAAUAACUCGAUAUUUUCUAUAUAAUUAAAUCAGAAAUUUUACGUAUGAAUUUUUUUAUUUAAUUAUUAAAGUUGGAAAUAUGUGCCAGGUAAUGUGUAUAUGUAUAUAUGUGAUAAAUAAAAUAUAUUUAUUACAUGAAUAAUUACCAAUAGUUUUAUUUUAGAAUUAUUGCUCAUUAUAAAUUAUAUUAUAAUAAUAAUUAGUUUUAUACUAAAAAUGUUUUCAUUAAUUCUAUUCUAUGAAAAUAUGUUUAUAUAUUAUUUAAAAAUUAUAUGAAAUGAUUAUAUAAUUAUUAUAAUGAUUAUUCUAUUUUAUUAUAUGAAUUUAGUUCAGAUUAUUUAAGUUAAUUAUUUUAACUUAAUUAUUAUUGUUAUGUAUGCAAGAUAAAUCAGAUAUGGAAUCCAAACCCUAAUUUUGGAUUUUGAACAAGGAAUGAGAAUAUUAAUAUAAUAUUAAUUAUAUUUUUAUUUUUCAGUGCUAUAAAUAUAUAUGUUAUGUUUGUAAGGUUAAUCUGGGGAGCAAUUUUCUUAUGACCUGAUAAAACCCUAAUUUGAAAGUCAAUUACGACUGUAAAAUUUGUUAAGUCAUUGUGAUAUGUGGUCUAUGAUUUGUAUUAUAAGUAUUAAUGUUAAUUCUAUAAAACCCUAAUUAGUAAUUUAAAACUCUAUUUUUCUUAAAUUAGGAACCCUAAACAGUACUUAGCUAUCCGCUAAGUGAAAACCCUAAUUUAAAACUCAGCUAUGAGUCGAGACUGUUAUGUAACUGUAUUAUUAUGUUUAAGGUUAAGUAUUAUAGAAUUUUAUAUUAAUUAAAGAAACCCUAAUUAACAUUUAGAAAUUCUAAUUUCUAGAAACCCUAAUUUCUAAAUUAGUAACCCUAAUUUGCUAAAACAAAACUCUAAUUGUUAAUUUGGCACGCUUAAUGAUAAUUAGUAAAAUUUAAACCUAAUUUUCAAGUCUAUGUAAUGAGGAAACCAAAUUAAUUAUGAAACCUUAAUUUGUAUUUUUAGAAACUAAAAAUUUCAAUUUUUUUAAAAUUAGAAAUCCUAUAACACUUUGUGCUAACCCUAAGGGUCAAACCCUAAGGGUUUGAUAAGUUACUAGUUUGCCCUUAAAUUGAUUAGCCAAAUGACAAAAAUACCCCUCUUGCAUUAUUGGACAUAACUUGUAAGACUAGCCAAUUUUGAGUUGCUCAACAACUCUUACCAGCCCCAUGUGACUAAAAUGCCAGCAAUCAAGCUCUAGAUAUCAGCCAACUUGAUUUCAUGUUUUAUAUAUAUAGACAUCAAGAGAGAGAAAUUUCAUUUAUUAGCCACAUUUGUACACAAACUCCUUACCAACUCUCUCUCCCAAAACCCAUGAAAUGUUGUAGUAGAUCAGUCCCGUAUUGAAGCCCCACUAACACACUUAAGCAAAUCAGCAGCCAGAAUCAAGAAUUGAUGCUUAAAGGUAUAAAAUCCUAAGUCAAAUUUUGAUCUUGUAUGCUAUAUUGGAUUUGUGGUUUUAAUGUUUAAUCAUGUUGAAUAAGGUGUUAAUAGGUGAUCUGGGUUGGCACAUGUUAGAUCCAUAACAUCAAAGUGCUCGAAAUCUAAGUUUUUCAAAAUAUGGAAAUUUUUGUUUUUGUUGUCUGACAGCGAAUGUCAGGCCUUGUAGAUCUGUGCUUAUUUAUUAUUUUGAUGAUUUAAAUGUUUGAAGUGGUAGUCUGGUAUGAGGUCUUUCAUAUGAAAAUGGAAUCACUGUUAUUGGAUGUCUAGAUCGAAAAUUAUUGAUGGUCAAAGGUCGUUGACUGACCAUGACCGAGUAUGAAUCUGGGCAACCUUGAAAGCUUUUUCAGCGUCUGAAAAUGUUUUGGAAGGCUUAGAUCUGUCAGUGUGUAAAUGAUUUGAUGAUGUUAUAAUAUCCAGUUUAUAGCUUGUCAUAUGUAAUUUAUAUUUGUGGCUUUAUAUCCUUUAAACAAACAAUUGAUCGAACUUAGUGGAUGGUCAAACCUGGCCCCUCGGUCACGAUUUCAUUUCUGGGAAUUUCCAGAAAAUCGAAAGAACAGCCCUCUGACAGGGUUUGACCGAGUAAUAUCUUGUAGAUCUGUUGAUGUUAAACUGAUUUGUUGUUAUAUUAUUGUUCCUGGACAUAAGGACUACAUCUUUGAGGCAUUAGAUCACUUGAAUCAUGAACGGAACCUAGAUUAAAUCGAGGAUGAAAGUGACUGGUCGACCACCUGGGUUUCUGGAAAACCCAGGAAUGCUCUGACAACAUAUUUGCAAGCCUAGAUCUCCUUGUGUGUUUGUUGUAUGACCUAGAUAUUGAUUGCUAGUUAUAGUGUUGUAUAAUGACUUCAAUAUUGAUGCUUAAGUUUGCCCAAAAACGAAUUAGACAGAGAAUUAUUAGUGGUCAAAGUUGACCCCUCAAACACGAAGCUGUCAGUGUUCUUGAGCUCAAGAACACCAACAGCGACGCUUAGUGUCACUAAAGGCCAAUAGCGAUGGUUUCUAAUAUUUUUAAUUUCUGAUUUUCUAGAAAAUACUUAAAAAUAGAAAAUAAAUUAUAAAAAUUACAAAAAUGGUUUUAAAAAUUAUUUUAAAUUAUGAAAAUUAACUUUUAAUUAUUUGGGAUAUUUUUUAUUAAUAUUUAUAAUUAUUUGAAUAUUAUUAAUAUUUAAUUUAUUUAAUUAGUGUAUUAAAUAAAUUAGAGAAAAAUGAUUUUAAUGUUAUAAAAAUCAAUUUAAAUAAGAAUAAAGUGUUUAAAAAUAUUUUUGAGUUAUAUAUGUAACUUUUAAUAUUUUUGUGAUGAAUUUCAUUAAUUAAUUAAUAUUAAUGAUAAUUAAGUUAUUUAAUAAAUGUAUUAAAUAAAUUAUGAAAAAUAGAAAUUAUGAUUUAAAAAUCAUAUAAAAGUGAUUUAAAGAUUAUAAAAAAAUAUUUUAAGUUAUAAAAUAUAACUUUUGAUAUUUUGUCAUGAAAAAUAUUAAUAAUUUUAUAUUAAUAAUAUUAGAUUUAUUUAAUGAUUAUAUUAAAUAAUUUAGUUUAAAAUGAUUUUAUUAUUAUAAAAUUAUUUUAAAUGAAAAUAAAGUGUUUAAAGAUAUUUUAAGUUAUAAAAUAUAACUUUUAAUAUUUAAAGGAUAAUUUCAUUAAUAAUUUAAUAUUAAUGAUAUUAAUUUAAGAUUUAUUGAUAUUAAAUUUAUUCAAUAAUUAUAUUAAAUAAAUAGUUUUAAAAUGGUUUUAUUAGUUUAAAAAUUAUUUAAAAAGGAUAUAAAUGAAUUAAAAAUAUUUUAAGUUAGAAUUAAUAACGUUUAAUAUUUGGAUAAAUAGUAGAUUAAUAUUUUAAUAUUAAUGGUAAUUAUUUAAAAAUGAUUUUAAAUGUUUAAAAAAUUAUUUAAGGGUAAUAUUAGCACUUUAAAAAUAUUUUGAGUUAUUAUUAAUAACUUUAAUAUUUUGGCAAUGGUUUCAUUAAUAGUUUAAUAUUAAUUAAAUAUUAAUGAUAAUAUGAUUAUUUACUAUUUAAAUCAUUUAAUUAUGAUUCUAGUGUUUGAAAAUUCAUAAUAAAUUAUAAUAAAUGUUUAAAAAUUAUUAUAAGUCAUUUAAAAAUAAUAUGACUGAUAUUUGUAGAUAUUGAGAUACAGGAUAGAGUCUUAGACUCGAUAUUUACCUGAUAAAGCCGUCGGUAGACCGACAUGUUUCAAAAAUUGAUCUAGACUUAGAUAUUUUGACUGUAUUAAUAUUUGUUUGUGAUUCAAUGACUGUUGAAUAUGUGUGACAAUGUGAUUAGGUUAUAUGCUGACUGCAAUAAGCAGUGCUAUGUUAUUCUAAUCGAACGAAUGAUCUUAUUAAUGAUAGAUUUUGGUAUUAAAGAUAAAACUAAGUUGCGUAUUGUAAGCAGCAGACCAGGCAAGUAUCAUAUAUUUGCAUUUUGUUUAUGUGACGCCCCCAAAUCCGGGUUAUCUUUAACUCGGGUUUGGUGCUUACGAUUCUAGAAUACCCAUUCAUACUAAAAAUAAAACUGUCUUAUAUUACAUAAACAUUGAACUUAAAUCCCAGGUUCUAGAGACCUUUACAUACAAGCCAAAUAUUAUUACAUCAUAGUGCUACAGUAUUUAUUACAUGCACUACUUAGGUUCAUUUAAGCACAUGCGCUUAAUAAUUGACUACUCAACAACCUUGCCCUUUCCUUUGUCUUUUCCAGAUGGACCGGCAACCUCAAUUUUAACUGAAAACAUUAUAUUUAACGCAAGGGUGGGCAACAAGUUUGCCCAGCAAGGAAAUAAGCAGCUAAAUAUAAGAGAACAAAAAUAUUACAGUAAUGGGGAUAUCAUACAGAAGGUAUAGAACAAAGUAAUUCUUAAGAGUGUUGAGUCAAAAGUCAGGAUUUAUCAUGCUGUAAGGUCAAAUGACCAGUGAACACUAUACUAGAAUUUACAGUAAUAAUACUGCAAUCUAUGAAUACAAACAGUUAUAAAGCUGUUUUAUAUCCUAGACUCGUACUUCAGGGGAUCAGCCUAAGUACCCUAUAUUGUGCACAACAUAACAGUCUAAUAAAACUUUACAUGUCCUUCAGAAUCAUAUAUACGGUACAAUACGCCCCUAAAAAAGGGUUGUUCGUUCACAGCAUUAUAUAAGAAUCCAUACCACAAUAACAAAAUGGUUUGGAAAGAAUUAACUGAUAAAUUCAUAAACAAUAUCAAUAUAUCUCAACCUUUGUCCAAGCGAAGUAAUGGUAUUGACAUACUUUCAAUAUAACUUUUAUUCAAGAUAGAAAAGUUGAUAUACUAUUCUUUUGAAGCUGAUUGGAAUAAAAAGGCUAUUUAACCUUAUAUUAUUCAUAAAUAAGGACAAACAGUUCAGAAAUUAAAGAACCUGUCCACUGCAGAAUAUUUGCUCAAUAAAGAGUAAGGAUUAGAAACUUGCCUUGUUUGUAGUCUAUCGUUUAGGAUUUCAGCUUAAUUGAAGUAUUUCUCAAAGUCCUACACAGUUAUUUGUAUUAACAAGCAUGUUAAUCACAUAGCUAUGUUAUAUAGUUUGUAAGCUCACAUAUCACAUAAUUUCAGUGAUUAUGGUUGUAGUUAAAUUAUUAUUUUUGAUACAUUUUUCAAAUAUCUCAUCCAUGCUUUCAAGAGACAUUUUUCACUUUGAUGGGUUUCAACAAGCUUUCAACAAGUAAUAGAAAUCAUAUUACAGUCAUCAUUUGCAUUAACCAAGUAUGUUAGCCACAUAGCUAAGUCAUAUAUCAUGUAGUUUUAAUGGUCAUGGUUAGAUUUCCUAUAUUUGAUACAUUUUUCAAAUACCUCAUCCAUGCUUUCAAGAGACAUUUUUCACUUUAUUAGUGUUCAAUAUGCAAUACUUUACAACUACCAUCUCCAUUUCCUUAGUAACAUAGUAUAUAAUCAUUUUAUGUUUCCUUUACUUAAUUUCUAGCAUAUAAGGUGUUUUCAUAGCUUAUUGUCGGUUUUGAAGGUAUUUCUUAUAUGUAUGGUUAACCUAUAGUCUUCCUCAUAGUUUAUAGAUUCAUUUUGACACACCAGUGUAUCAAUUAUCACUGUUUUCACCUAUGAUGCUAAAACAGCCCUUUGAGGCUUUAAUUUUUUUAAACAUGACUUAAUGAUCCCAAUUUAGGUUUACUGUUUAUAUUAGAUUUCAUUUAGAAUUUUUCUCCUACACUUGCUUGCAUCAUAACUCUACUCAUUUAGAGAAACAUAAUCUAUCCUUUAUAGAUAAUCUGGUUACUAAAACUAAAUUUGGAUUCAAACAUGAAUUUUACAAAACAGUCAUUAUUGUAGCUGCUAUACCACAACUGUUGUUUCCCAUUCUACUUGUUGUGGCUAUUGGUAUCAGCUAUAUGCUGCCACUAUUAGGCAGUAAGUCACAUCACUCAUGCCCAAAAAUGCUUCUAAAUUAACCUUUUCAGCUGGCUUUGCAGGCUUUGCAGCCCUUAAUUGAGCCUUACAGCUCAAUAAUCUCUGUAACACAUUUCAGUUAUUAGUCUUAUCUUAUAACUUGCUAUUCCAUUAACAUUUUCUAUGUAUGAAUGCACUGCCAACUGCUACUGCUGGUGUUGCUGUUGCUGCCAAUGGGCAGCGACUAUUAUUUUCUUACCAUAAGCUGUUUGGUCUGUUUCAAGUGCUGCAGUCACAUGUCAUCAUGCUCCAUCAACUAGAGUAAACAAAAAUGCAUGAACUUAACUUACUAACUGCAGCCCAAGAAAAACAAACUCAGCUGUCAAAAUGACAGUGCAGUCAUCUACUUGAAGUUGCCAAGGACAACAGCUAUCCGAAGCUUUUUGCUACUGUCAUUAGCAGCCUCCCUUGCUCCUUAACCCAUUCCCAACAAUCCUCUAACCUCAGUUUUGCUAUAUUUCUAGGAAUAGGCCUCAUGGCUAUAAUCUUUUAGAGUUAUAAGGUUAUCCCAGUUGGCCUAUUAAGCUUUGGCUCCUUGGUUUAGUGACUGUUUCAACAGAGUAGGCAAAGGAGUUUGUCAAGCUAGAAUUACUUAGCCUAAAAACUGAACUAUGCUAAAAAUUUCUAUGCCAAAACAUUACAGUCAUCACAUAUGUUGGGUAAAUCAGGUAAAUAGUGUACUAGUUCUACUAUUCAGUUUCUUUUUACUAAAACAGUCCUCUUAGGUCUUUUAUCAAACAGUUGGUGGGCAUGGUUAUAAGCUACUAGUUCCAUAGCCAUUUGUUUAUAUUCCAACUCAUAUUUUCCCCUUAUUACUCCACAGCCCACUUAUCUCCUUGUGCUUAAAUUAUAACAAUAUCAUAAUGGCAUAACAAUCAAUGAAAUGUUACAACAGUUUAUAUAUAGCAGCUUAACACCCACAUAGCAGUCCUCAAAUCCAUACUAGGCCUUUUAGGCUAAAUGAUCAAAACAGUCCUUAAGUUUUUAACACAAGGAUUAAUAUAACAUGUACAUACUAUGUUUUAUGGUUUAAAGACCCCAAUACCAACCAUCCUGUCUUGACACUAUAACAGCUUUAGACUAGCAAUUUGGUCAUGGUUUAUCACACCAAACCAAUAGCAAGCACUGAUAUGUAUGCCUUUCUAACACUAAAACAUUUUACCUACCAUAUUUUCAUGGUUUAAAGCAUCUAGAGGCAAGGUCCUUAAGUUUAAAAUCAAAACAGCCUCUCAUAGGCUUUUAAAGUAAUAUAAGAUAGCAUGCUUGGGCAACAUGAAAACAAGGACUGCCUACUAUGAAUAUAUUAGAAGUAAGGCAUGAUCAUCAUAAUAAACUUCUAAUAACAGUCCACAUAAUGCAAUAACAGUUCAUAUAAGGCAAUAAUAAUUUAUAUAGCAACUAAAGUCCUUCUAACAGUCAUUUAUGCUUAUUCUAGUCACCACAACAAGUAUACUGUCUUAGUCCAUUCUGUAUACUAGUUCUGGGCAUGGUAAUAUAUUUUACAAUCAUAAAUAACCAACCAUCUUGGACUCCUUUCCAGCCACACUGUUUUGCCAUUAUAGCAGUUUUAGACUAGCACCUUAGGCACAGUUCAUCACAGCAAAACAGUAGCAACAUAGCAUAGCGUAUCAGUCCAGUUAUUACAAUAACAGUUGGUAUAUCACAAGGAUGAUGCUACAGCUAUUCAAGUCUCUUUUAGGCCAUUUUGGCAAGGUUUUAGUAAUAAGUUAUCAAAGCGGUCAUUAGUGUGCAAUACAAAGAUUAUUACCUCAUGUACAUGCUAUAGAAUAUAUGUUCAUGUUUUAAGAGCCUAUAUACAAGGUUUCUUGCUGUUAGUUCAUAACAAUCCCUUAUAGGCUUCAAUUUAAUACACGGAAGCAUGAUCUGAAAAAUUUAGUUAUCAAAAUAACAUGUUUAAACAUAAACAUAUACUCGAGGUAUUCUUUUUCUUUCUAUAUAAUCAAGUAGACAUGCUAUUAGGCUCUAUUUACAGCUAGCAUACCUUGAUACCAUAACAGUCCAAUUAGAGCAAUAUUUUAGGCAUGGUCUAUUACAACAAAAUGGUAGCAAGCACUGACAUGUUUUCCUUUCUAACACAGGCACCUUUUAUUUAUCAUAUAUUCAUGAUUUAAAACAUCUAAAGGCAAAAUCUCUUUGCUUUAAGCCAACACAGCCCUCUUUAGGACCCACUUUCCAAAAAUAACCAUGGUUUACCCUUAUGUUUACAAGGAUAACAUGGAUGUGCAACAUAGAAGUUUAGACUAUCUUCUUUAUAUGGUAUUUAAGAUGCAAAAAUAUAUUUGGAUGUCAUAGAAUGCCUUACCCCAUAUAUAUCAGUCCUUAUUAAGCCUCAAAUCUAGCAUACCAGUUUCUCAGAAUAGUGGCCAAGUCUUGGUUAAUUGCUUAGAUUACAUAUAUGCUAGUAUACAAUAGUUAUACCCAAUACAUCAUGCCACAUAUAACAUAUAAGCAGUCCUUUAUUAAUAAUCAUAGCAUAACAGUCCAUUUAACAUCAUAGCAAUUCAUAUGGUAACACAGAUCAUGCUAACCGAAAUCAUAAUAUCAUUAACUUUUUAGCAGCUCCUUAGCUUGACAAAUUAUCAAACACCUAGAGUGCAGUCUAUAUACUUGCACUUAAUACAUAAUUUCUAGCCCUCUGCCCCCAGCCGUAUGGCUUAAACAAUAUCAAGCAUAAGACCACACUUAUCAGUACCAAACCCAGCAGUUCAAAUAACAUGAAAGCAGUCAGUUAUCAUAACAGCCAUACACGUUUUUGGUCAUUGACAAUUCAUUUUACUAAUUAAUUUAAUAGCCAUCCUAAUCAUUUAUCAAUUCAGUUGUUACCCGGAAUGAAUGGAAAGAUUAGAAAGGCCAGAAUUGGCUUACCUUGCUGAUUCGAAGGUAUCAAGUGGUUGAGCUGCUUAAUUCCUUUUCCCCUCUAGCCGAACUCUUCACUCUUACUCUAUAUGACCGUUGCUGCUAAUUCUUUUGGACUCAGUUAAGUGAUGAGGCUAAUUGAUUUUGGGUAAUAACCUGGCCUUUUUAUGGCUGAGCUUAGCUUCCUUACAGUUGAUCGCAUCACCUUCUACUUGCCCCCUAACAUAUAAUCUAUUACCUCUAGCAGUUAGACUGCUCUGCAGCCACCCUACAAGACCCUAGUCUCUCUGCCAUGCCUUAUCUGUUGCUAACCUGUCUACUAACUAAUAACUGACUAACUUAUAGACUAACUACUGCUAACAACAGAACAGCCUCAGCUCCUAAGUUUACCCCUGUGGGCUGUUGGAAAAAAUCCUAAGGCAAGGCUGGGCAGUGGUUUCAUUUUGGGCCUAGUCCCUUUAACCCAAAGUUUUACUUGUUAAUUUGCUAUACUCCAAUGGGUUUACAGGAUUGGGUUUUGGACAUCCAUUUCACUCUUUAACACUUGGAGCUGCCGAAUUGGGCUAGCAAAUAGACUACAUGCAACGAUCAUGGCAAAAUUAUUAAGGCCCAAUAUUUUAAUAUGGACUCUUGUUACAUUAAAACACAUGGACUAUUAUUUUCUCUAGCAACAAUAGUUAUAACAUAUAUCAUUAAAAUGACUAUUCUAUGUAAUCUUAAAUAAUUCAUGAUGGCACAUAAUUUCUUUGCCCUUUAUAACUCAAGAUGCUAAACGAACUAUUAAAUAAAUAAUAUUUUUAUCACAAUGAGAAUUAACAUAUCAUAAAAAAAAAUUUAUACUCAAAAAUUGACAUUACAAUAAUUAAAUAUUACAUAGGAUGAACUACAGGCCAAUGAGGACUUUUACCACAUCAUUCGUCACAUUACGGUCAUUAUUAUACCGAAUCAUCCCUGGUCAUAAUCAUACCAAGUCCAUCUAUGCACGUAAGCCAAAGAUGACUUUCAUCACAAUAUAAGCAUGAGGAUGAUGACAAUAAUAUAAGCAUUAAUCAAACGAAAAUAAUGAUAAAUUUUAAAGACUUUAAAUUUAUCCAAAUGUUUAUCAAUCACUUAAUAAACUCAUAAUCUAAUAUUAUUAAUAUUAUAACAAUAUUUUAAUCACUUCUUGAACUUAUAAACAAUUUAUUCUAAUUGUUUACACUUUCCCAAAUAAUACAUUUUAAUCAUUCAAAAAUACCAUACUCAUAAGAUUUCAUCACCAAUGAUCAAAUCCCUUAUCAAAAAUCUGCAUAUACCUUAUAUAGGAUUUCCAAGCCAUAAAAUCCAUUUUACCAAUUUUUCAACUUCACAUAACAUAUUUAAUUCAUAUGUUCGUAACUAAACUAUUUUCAUGAAAAAUACCAAAUCAGUCCAAAAAAUUAUUCUUUUUUGGGAUUUAGCAGAAUAUAGUCCCAUAUUGAACAUAUAUUUUUCUCAUAAUUUUUAAAAUUCAUUUACUAUUUUUCAUAUGGCCAAAACUGCCGAAUAUUUAGACAUUUAUCAUAAAUUGUACUUUUGUCCAAAAAUUCCGAAAUUUACAAGGUAUACUCCUAUUAUAUAUGUGUACUCCCAAUAAAAAUUUAACCAAUUUUGGAGUUAACCACAAGGAGUUAUAAGGGUUUACUUUUAAAAUAGUUUUUUCCCAUAAAAUUCAUAACUCCUAAUCUAUACAUCCAAAAAUUGCCAUUUUUGGACACAAUCUAGAAAUCUCAACAAACUAUCAUUUCAAAUGUUUCCAAAAUUUUUGAGGGUCAGAAAAAUUACGAAACUGCAAAUAGAUUUUCACCCGUCAUUCGGUAAUCCAGGUAGACAGAUCAUUUCCACAAUUUAAUAAGGAAUGAAUACAAAGGAUCAUUCACCAUGCAUGCGGUAAUCCACAUAGACAGGUUAUUCCAACAGAAUAAUAAAAAAUAGAAUAACAACAGAAUUCACCAGGCAUACGGUAAUCCGCGUAUACAGGUUAUUCCAAUAGAAUAAUAAAUAAUGGAACCAGGUCAUGCGUAAUCCGCAUAGACAGGAUAUUCCAACAGAAUAAUAAAGAAUGGAAUAACAACAGAAAUUCACCAAGCAUACGGUAAUCCGCGUAUACAGGUAAUUCUAACAGAAUAAUAAAGAAUGGAAUAACAAUAGAAUUCACCAGGCAUACGAUAAUCCGCGUAUACAGGUUAUUCCAACAGAAUAAUAAAGAAUGGAAUAAUAGAAAAUUUUCACCACGUAUGCGGUACUUCGCAUAGACAGGUUACUCCAAUAUAAUAAUAAAGAAUGAAAUAACAAAAGAAUUUCACCAUGUAUGCGAUACUUCGCAUAAACAGGUUAUUCCAACAUAAUAAUAAAGAAUGGAAUAACAACAGCUCUCUUCAUGAAUACGAAAGAAAUAAUAAUACCCCUUACCUUAGAAGAAACUGGAUACUGGAAUAGUGAGGUAGCAGGCUUCUCUUCUUCUUUCUCUCUAUAAUUUCUCUCUAUAAUAAUUGCUCUAUAGCUUUAGUGAAUUGGUGAGAAAUGAAGGAAGAAUGAGCUUCUGUUUAUAGGAAAACAUAGUUUCAAUAAUUGCACAUUUUGGGGCUCGAAAUAUUACAUUAUAAUACCUUCCUCUUUUUCUUUAUUUUUAAUUUAGCCCUGCAAGUAUUAUCAAACUUGCACCACCUCCUCUAAUAGUAAAUCAUGUGAAUUAAUAGUAAAUCAUGUGAAUCAAUAGUUCUAGACAUGUGAAAAUACGAAUUACAGUAUAGUACCUCCAUCUAUACCUCUAUUUUUAACUUAGUCAUGCAAGUAUUAUCAAUCUUGCACCAACUCCCCUAAUAGUACCAUAAUGUGAAUCAAUAGUACACACAUGUGAACAAAUAGUUAUAAUCAUAUGAAUUAAUAGCAAUUAAAAGCUCAUUUAUCCGGAUAAUUACCCGAUUGGUCAAUAUAACCUCCAGACAUCAAUUAUCAUCGAAAUAAAUGUCGAUUCCCACUAACACUAAUAAUUCCAACACAAUGGAACUAUCAAUUUCAUCUUUAAUCAACACAAAUUUAUUCAUCAUUAAUAUUAUAACUCAUAAUAUUUAACAACAAGAUCGUUCCCAGGAAAGAGGGGGCCUUCCGGUAAGGAUUUCUCCUCACUGGUGCGCAAUUACCUAACCUCUCCUUGACAGAACUUCUAGACAUUGUCAAUAUUGCAAUUUAAUAAUAUUAAUAAGUUUACCAUCUUAAUUAUUUAUUUAAUAAUAUAACAUAUUAUGCAGAUGAUACUGUGACAAUAAUUGAAUCAAUAAUAUGAGAGAUAUGAUGUAAUAAUUACUGUAGCAAUAAUUGAGUAUAACUGAGUGACUUCUUACGUAAGCAUUAAUAAUCAAUACCGUGUGCUACUCAAUUCGUCAGCUACCACGUUCGCUCUUUCAUGAUGAUAUUGAAUGGUACGAUCGUAAUCUUCUACAGCUCAAGCCAACGUCUUUGGCACAUUAUACGAUUAUUUUAGGUAAAGAAAUAUUUGAGGGUUUUAGAAAUGAGUUUUGUACUUGGGUCAAUACAAAAUAUGAUUUCACGCUCUGGGGUAGGCAAGGAAGUUCUUCGAGAAUACGUCAGAAUAUUUAUUAACAAUAGAAAUAUCAUUUAAAAACUGUGACUCUCAUCCAAGACUUGGACAACACAUGAAAUGAAGGUUUCUACUAACGAAGUUUCAACCAAUAAGUCAAAGUCUAACUUCUCUGGGGUCAAAUUUAAAUGUUGAGCGCAAGCAAGAGAGAUAAAAGAAUGGGUAGAACCGGUAUCUAAUAAGGUAUAGACUUCGCAAAAAUUUAUAAUUAACUAACCCGUGCUAACUUCGUUCGGGUUACUCGCUUUUUGAGAAGUCAUGAAAAACGCUCUUCCUGAAACCACCGACUUUGUUUUGUCCAUAUCCGCCUUUGGUGCCACCGUCCCAGCUGGACUUGACUUUGGUGCACGACAAAAUCGGGCUAAGUGUCCUUUUCCAUAAUUAUAACAUGUUUUGGACUGCAUCACGCAGUUUGGACUGAUAUGUCCCUCCCCUCCGCAUUUGAAGCAUACAAUUGGUGGUCGUUCUCCUUCCUUGAAAACGGGUGUUGGUGCUGCUGUCUUUGCAUCUUUGUUGAACCUUCUCUUCUUGAAAUUUCCACUCCUAUUAUCUUGGUCAUGAUUACCACCGAAGUGGUUACCAUUCUUGGUGUAAGACCCCAACUUUUAUGAAUAAAAAAUGAAUUUUCUAUAAAUAUCAUUUUUGAAUAUUAUGGAGUAAAUUUGAUAUAAUGUUAUAGUUGUGGGUAAUAUUUAUAAAUUUUGAAAAGUACGCAAGUUGUUAUAUAAUAUUCGUUUGGUCGGAAAAUAUUCUUUUUGUCGGGAAUAUCCGUACGACGACACAAUCAUUGGUGGACCCCCACAACGGAAGUAUUGUCGUAGUAAGAAAACGACAGAAUUAUCUUUUUAUAAAAAUAACGGCUAAAGUUUUACCGUUAAAACUGUUGAACUACUCGGUAGUAAAAGUACAGUAAUACGUGUGGUUGCAUAGUAGCACACGAUAUUGAUUAUUAAUACUUACGUGAGAAGUCACUCAGUUAUACUCAAUUAUUGCUAUAGUAAUUGUUGCAUCAUAUCUCUCAUAUUAUUGAUUCAUUUAUUGUCACAGUAUUAUCUGCAUAAUAUGUUAUAUUAUUAAAUCAAUAAUUGAGACGACAAAGUUAUUAAUAUUAUUAAAUUGCAAUAUUGACAAUGUCUAGAAGUUCUGUCAAGGAGAGGUUAGGUAAUUGCGCGCCAAUGAGGAGAAAUCCUUACCGGAAGGCCCCCUCUUUCCUGGGAACGAUCUUGUUGUUAAAUAUUAUGAGUUAUAAUAUUAAUGAUGAAUAAGUUUUGUUGAUUAAAGAUGAAAUUGAUAGUUCCAUUGUGUUGGGAUUAUUAGCGUUAGUGGAAAUCGACAUUUAUUUUGAUGAUAGUUGAUGUCUGGGGGUUAUAUUGAUAAAUCGGGUAAUUUAUCGGAUAAAUGAGCAAUUAAUUGCUACUAAUUCACAUGUUUAUAUAACUAUUUGUUCACAUGUGUGUACUAUUGAUUCACAUUCUGGUACUAUUAGGGGAGUUGGUGCAAGAUUGAUAAUACUUGCAUGACUAAGUUAAAAAUUGAGGUAUAGAUGGAUGUACUAUACUGUAAUUCGUAUUUUCACAUAUCUAGAACUAUUGAGUCACAUGAUUUACUAUUAAUUCACAUGAUUUACUAUUAGGGGAGUUGGUGCAAGAUUGAUAAUACUUGCAGGACUAAAUUAAAGAUAAAGAAAAAGAGGAAGGUAUUAUACUGUAAUAUUUUGAGCCCCAAAACGUGCAAUUAUCAAAACUAUAUUUUCCUAUAAAUAGAAGCUCAUUCCUUCAUUAUUUUUCACUAAUUCACUAAAGCUAUAGAGCAUUUAUUAUAGAGAGAAAUUAUAGAGAGAAAGAAGAAGAAAAGUCUACACUUCACUACUCCAGUAUCCAAUCUUCUUUGAGGUAAGGGGUAUUAUUCUUUCGUAUUCAUGAAGAGAGUUAUUUUUUUUCAAUACUCGUUAUUCCAUUCCUUAUUAUUAUGUUGGAAUAACAUGUCUAUGCGAAGUACCGCAUACAUGGUGAAAUUCUUCUAUUAUUCCAUUCUUUAAUAUUCUGUUGAAAUAUCUUGUUUGUGCGUUUUACGCAAGACCUGGUUCCAUUAUAUAUUAUUCUGUCAGAAUAUCUUGUCUGUGCUUUACGCAUGACCUGGUUCCAUUAUUUAUUAUUCAGUUUGAAUAACAUGUAUACGCGGAUUACCGUAUACCUGGUGAAUUUUGUUGUUAUUACAUUCUUUAUUAUACUCAGUUGGUUAAAGUUUUGGCUUUUAUACUCUAUGAAAUUAGUGGAAUAUCCUUGAUAUUUGCGCUUCAUCCAAUAUCUUUUCAUGGAAAUAUUCUUCUGAGCAUUCUUGAAUUUUACAUCACAAAGCAGUAUCAUGUUGACAUUUUGGACGUUAUUGGUUCCUGGAUAAAUUAAUUCUUGAACUUGUUUUAUUGAAUUCUUAUAUCAUUAUCAUCAUCCUCAUGUUUAUAUUCUGUUGAGAGUCAUCUGUGGCCUGUAGUGCAUAGAUGGACUUGGUAUGAUUAUGACCAGGGAUUAUUCGGUAUAAUCAUGACUGUAAUAUUACAAAUAAUAUGGUAAAAGUCCUCAUUGGCCGUAGUGCAUUGUUGGACAAUUGUUGGUAUGAUCAUGACCAUUGAUGAAUACACGAAUAUCCUUGGUCGUAGUGCAGGGAUGAUGUUGAUUAUUUAUUAACCUGAGUCUCAGCGAUGAAAAUGAUGAAAAACCUUUUUAAAUCAUAGAAGAUAAUAGAUUUUAUGCUCUAUUUGACUCUUUUAAUGGAUUGCUUAUUUUCGCUGCAGUUUUUGAUCUAAAACUUGUUGUUUAUUAUAUUCUAUCAGUUGUUAUACUGUUGAAGGCUAAGGAUAAUUUAUUCUGCAUUAACUUAGUCAUAAUAUUUCUUACUGGGCUUGUUGAGCUCACCCUUUUCUUUCAUGGUUCUCUUCAGGAAAUGAGAACGUAGCUGAGACUAGUCAGGGAACAGAGUGACGGCCCAGAUGUUUGCAUUAAUUGUCCUCACUAUUCUGUGAAAUAGUGUGAUAAUAAAUGUAAUGAGGACUCCAUUGAGUGUGGAUAUUGUCUAGAUGACAAUAUUCUUCUUAAAACUCUUAGAUUAUGUUUUGUCGUAUUUUACACGACUGUUGUAUAAUUAAGUUGUAUUUGAAUUUUGUACCAUAUAUCCGGCGACUCAAGAUGGGUGAUGUAUACCUAUUUUGAGGGCAUCAUAGUUGGUAUCAAAGCUUAGGGAUAUGAUCCCUGGUUGAGAUGUGAGAUAAGAACUAGGAGGGGAGAGACGGGGAAUUCCUUUGUUAGUAUAACCUACCUAAGUUUAUUUGGUAUUUAAUUGGUCGGUCACAAUAUAUGGAUAAUAUGUGACAUGUCAAUUAACCCUUGUUUUGUGACAGUAUUUGAAAAUGGCAUCCGAAAAUGUUGAGAAUAGCAAUGGAGCACAGGAGACCGUUGAGUCACCAUAGAUUAAUACCCAGGAUAAUGUGUAACAGGAAGAAAAUAAUCCUCAGGUAAACAAUAACACCGAUGAAAUGGGGAACGAUGGGAUGUUCAGAGGCUUUAUGCAAUUCAUGCAACAUCAGGCGAGGGCGGCUCCUGUCCAAAAUGCAGGUGGAAACACUGACAACUCUCGGACGGUCACCGCUAAGCAGUUCAAGGAGCUGGGACCACCGGAGUUUUUUGGAGAGCCAAAACCACUUAAGACAGAGACGUGGAUAAAGAAGAUCAACAGGAUAUUUGAUGUCUUGGGAUGCUCCGAGGAACAAAAGGUUCCUUUUGUCACCUUCAUGUUGCGAGCAGAGGCAGAUUACUGGUGGGAAUCCGUAAAGCGUACUCAACUUGCCGCACUGAAAAUGUCUUGGGAGAAGUUCCAAGAACUGUUCAACGAAAAGUACUUUCCCGAAAGUAUUCGUCAAAUGAAAGAGGUAGAGUUCAUCAAGCUUGAGCAAAAAAAUAUGACUGUGGCGCAGUACAAAGCUAAGUUUGUCGAGUUAUCUCGGUUUGCGUCCCACUUGAUUGAUAAUAAGGAGAGAAUGACGCGGAUGUUUUCAAAGAGGUUUGAAACCCGAGAUACGUCAAUACCUAAUUUCUCACAAACCGUGUUUGUAUUCAGAUGUUGUGAAUAGGGCUCAGUUAUUGGAGCGCGAUAAUGAAUCAACCCAACCAAGAGAGAGCAGCCGACAAGUCGAUAAUACCAGUGGUAGCAGUCAUCGAAGCGGUGACAACAAGCGUGGAGGGAAUCAACAUGCCAAAAAUGGUAAUCACUUCGGUGGUAAUCAUGGCCAUGACAAUAAGAGUGGACAUUUCAAGAAGACGAGAUUCAACAAUGAUGGAAAGACGUCAGCACCAGCACCUGUUGUUAAGGAAGGAGAACAAUCGCCGGUCGUAUAUUAUAAAUGCGGAGGGGAGGGACAUAUCAGUCCAAACUGCGUGAUGCAGUCCAAAGCAUGUUACAAUUGUGGAAGAGAAGGUCACCUAGGCUGAUUUUUUCGUGCACCAAAGUCAAGUCCAGCUGGGAUGGAGGCAUCAAAGGCCGUCCCAGACAAGACAAAACCGGUAGUUCAACGGAGAGCGUUUGUCGUAACCUCCCAAAAAGUGAGGAAUCCGAAUGAGGUGAUCACGGGUAAGCUAAUCAUAAACUCUAGCAAAGUCUAUACCUUAUUUGAUACCGGCUCUACCCAUUCUUUUAUUUCUCCUAUUUGCGCUCAACGUUUAAAUUUGACUCCGAAGAAGUUAGACUUUGACUUAUCGGUUAAAACUCCAUUGGGAGAAACCUUCAUUACAUCCACUAUUUAUAAGUCUUGUUUGAUUCAAAUCGGUAACCGUACAUUACCUGUCGAUCUUUUUUCUUUGAAAAUACUUGCAUUUGAUGUGAUUUUAGAGAUUAAUUGGUUAACUACUCAUCAUGCUAAAAUCGAUUGUUUUCGUAAGGUUGUUAGCUUUCAUAUUCCUAACCAACCUAUUAUGCGAAUUCAAGCAACCAAACAACUAAAAUCAAUCACUAUCAUAUCAAGCCAUAAAGCUAUUCAUUUAUUAAAAAAUGGAUGUCAAGCUUUCUUAGCCCAUGUCACGGAUUUAAAUAAAAAUACGUCAGAUUUGAAUGAUAUUUCUAUUGUUCAUAAAUUUCCUGACGUAUUCCUUGAAGAAAUUCCUGGCCUACCCCUAGAGUGUGAAAUUGAAUUUUGUAUCGACCUUGAAUGUGGUACAAAACCCAUUUCCAAAGCCCCAUAUCGAAUGGCUCCUAUUGAACUUCAGGAGUUAAAAACCUAACUACAGGAAUUAUUAGACAUCAGUUUCAUUCGUCCUAGUACAUCUCCUUGGGGUGCUCCUGUUCUAUUCGUGAAGAAGAAAGAUGGAAGUAUGCAACUUUGUAUUGAUUAUCGGGAGUUGAAUCAUGUCACCAUCAAAAAUAGGUACCCGUUGCCUCGCAUUAAUGACCUGUUUGACCAGUUGCAAGGAGCUAAAUUCUUUUCAAAGAUUGAUCUUCGUUCCGGAUAUCAUCAGUUGAAGAUUAAAACUGAUGACAUUCCAAAGACUGAUUUCAGAACUCGGUAAGGGCAUUAUGAAUUUCUAGUCAUGUCUUUUGGAUUGACUAAUGCUCCUGCUGCCUUCAUGGACAUGAUGAACCGAGUAUUCAAGGAAUAUUUGGAUCACUUUGUGGUCGUCUUUAUUGAUGACAUCCUCAUAUACUCCAAAAGCCGUGAAGACCAUGAUCAACACUUGAGGCUGAUACUUCAAAAACUUCGUGAGAACAAGCUUUAUGCCUAGUUAAAGAAAUGUGAGUUCUGGCUUGAGGAAGUUGCAUUCCUUGGGCACGUGAUAUCAAAUCAUGGAAUAUCUGUUGAACCAGCAAAGAUUGAAGGAAUCCAAAGCUAGGAGCAACCAAAGUCAGUGACUGAAAUACGUAGCUUUCUUGGCUUAGUUGGUUAUUAUCGGAGAUUCGUGGAAGGAUUUUCUCGAAUCGCUACUCCAUUAACUCAGCUGACUCGAAAAGAUACAAAGUUCAGUUGGAGCGAGAAAUGUGAGAAGAGUUUUCAAGAACUCAAGAGAAGACUCAUUUCAGCACAUGUUCUGACAAUACCAUCUGGCUCGGAGGGAUUUGUCAUCUACAGUGAUGCUUCAGGCAAAGGGGUUAGGAUGUGUUCUCAUGCAACAUGGAAAAGUCAUAGCCUAUGCCUCACGACAACUCAAAGAAUAUGAGAGGAAUUAUCCUACUCAUGAUCUAAAGUUGGCAGCAGUCGUUUUUGCGCUUAAGAUUUGGAGGCAUUACCUGUAUGGAGAGAAGGUGGAGAUCUAUACGGAUCAUAAAAGCCUCAAAUAUUUCUUCACUCAAAAGGAACUCAACAUGCGGCAAUGACGAUGGCUUGAGCUGUUAAAAGAUUAUGAUCAUACCAUCCAAUACCAUCCUGGAAAAGCGAACGUAGUAGCUGACGCAUUGAGUAGAAGAUCAUAUGCGGGUACGAGUGCAAUAUUGUCAACGCUAAGACCCAUUUUGUAUGACUAACGAAGGAUGGAGAUAGAGUUAAAAACUCCAGGGACCCAUGUGAUAAUGACGGAUAUACGAGUAGAACCGACUUUAAUCAAUAAAGUUAAAGCUGCUCAAGCUACAGACCUGGAGCUGAUGCAUAUGAGGAAGAAAGUGCAAGAAGGUGCUAUUCCAGAAGCAAGAAUCGAUGAAGAAAGAAUACUUCGAGUCAACUCCAGACUUUGUGUUCCUAACGAUUUUGACUUGAAGUAUAAAAUCAUGAUGGAGGCAAACAACACACCGUUUGCAAUCCAUCACGGGAGUACCAAAAUGUAUCGUGAUCUUCGACAUACAUUUUGGUGGAGCAAUAUGAAGAGAGAGAUAGCGGGGUUUAUCUCAAGGUGUCUAACUUUUCAACGAGUCAAGGCGGAGCAUCAAGUGCCAAAAGGUCCAUUGCAACCACUUGAAAUUCCAGAAUGGAAGUGGGAGCACAUUACCAUGGAUUUCGUUACUGGUCUUCCCAAGGUUUCCCAAGGCGUAGAUGCGAUUUCGGUCAUUGUUGAUAGAUUGACCAAGUCUACUCAUUUCUUACCGAUACGAGAAACUUAUACACUUGAACGUCUUGCUAGUAUGUACAUAAAUGAGAUUGUAAGAUUGCAUGGCAUGCCAGUAUCCAUAGUUUCUGAUCGAGACCCAAGAUUCACUUCAAGAUUUUGGGUUAGUGUGACGCCCCCAAAAUAGGUCCACACGAACCAUUCUGAGUCGCCAGAUAUCACACUAUAAAAAUCAAAUACAAACUUUAUUUAUACAACUGUUGAACUGUCGUGCAGAGUACGACAACAGUUAACUGUGAGUUUUAAUACAAAUAUUGUCAUCGUAGACAGUAUCCAAACUCAAAUUGUUACAAUGCCAUAUAAAAUACAGCAGCAAAUAUUUUAAGACCCCAAAGAAGAACGAGAAGAUUACUAUCAUAUUCAUUCUAAUGAGGUGCACUUUUGACGCUUUCAAAGUCGGGUUCUCAUCACCCUUAUUGUUGUUCACCAACAUCAAUUAUUAAGUGACGUAUAAAAUACAACACACACAUCUUAGGUCUUUAAUACAAUUAUCGGUUGCAUAUCAUGCCGUUUUAUAAUGUAUUGAGAAAUUUCGACAGUCUCGGACCAUCACACUAUUUUCCUGUUAUCCCCGCUCGACCCAGCUACACUCUUAUUACCUAAAAGGAAUUGUGAAGCAAAAGGGUGAGCACAAUUAGCCCAGUAAGGAAUAUCAUGGCUAAGAUAAUUAAUUUAUCAACAGCCUUUAUCAGAAUAAAUCAGAGAUUUAGAACAUAUGGUAGAUAAUAAAACGUUUCAACCAUAGUUGCAGCGGAACGAGUAAUCCAUUAGAUGAGUCAAGUAGAACAUAAUGUCUACUAUCUCCUCUAGAUUAAAAGUCCAUCGUUGAUAUUUUAUUCCUGUAAUACUCAUCAACAGUUCUUUGUUAUACUUAAGACAAAUAAAACUUUCAACACUUGUCUUCACCUGAACCACCAAAGAUGUUAGUUAAAUUCACAAUUCAUAUUUAUAAUAAUGUGAAUUAACAGUUCCUUCUUUCCACCAAGACUUAAUAGAAUGUUUACUCAAUAUCUUUACCCCAAAGGCUGAAGGUAUUCAAAUGUAAUAACAAUGAUCAUACCAAUCAGUUGUCUAUCUUUGCAUUACGGGCCAAAGAUAUUCAACUAUAGAACCAAUGGUCAUGAUCAUACCAAUCACAUCAUUGAAUUAUCCAUGCACUACGGCCAAGGAUAUUCGUUAGUAUCACUAGUGGUCAUGAUCAUGUCAUACACCUGUCCAUCUUCACACUACGGGUCAAAGCUAUCAAAUAACAGAUCAUCUUUGCACUACAGGCCAAAAAUAUUCAACAACAUAUCGUCUUUGCACUACAGGUCAAAGACAUACUACUGUAAAACCAAUAACCAACAAUAUAAUAAAGAAUGGAAUAAUAAAAGAAUUUCACCAUGCGUGCGUAAUCCGCACAGAAAGGUUAUUCCAACAUAAUAAUAAAGAAUGGAACCAGGUCAUGCGUAAAUGCACAGACAGGAUAUUCCAACAGAAUAAUAAAGAAUUGAAUAACAACAGACUUCACCAAGUAUACGGUAAUCCGCGUAUACAGGUUAUUCCAACAGAAUAAUAAAGAAUUGAAUAACAACAGACUUCACCAGGUAUACGGUAAUCCACGUAUACAGGUUAUUCCAACAGAAUAAUAAAGAAUUGAAUAACAACAGACUUCACCAGGUAUAUGGUAAUCCGCGUAUACAGGUUAUUCCAACAGAAUAAUCAAGAAUGGAAUAACAACAGACAUCACCAGGUAUACGGUAAUUCGCGUAUACAGGUUAUUCCAACAGAAUAAUAAAUGGAACCAGGUCAGGAGAAAUUCGCACCGACAGGAUAUUCCGACAGAAUAAUAAAGAAUAAAAUAAUAGAAGAAUUUCACCAUGUAUGCGGUACUUCGCAUAAACAGGUUAUUCCAACAUAAUAAUAAAUAAUGUAAUACAUAAGGAUUUCACCAAGUAAAGGGUAUGACGCUUAUACAGUUUAUGUAUAGGGUAUGCCUCAUAUACAGGUUAUUCCAACAGAAUAAUAAAGAAUGGAAUAACAGAAGUUCUCUUCAUGAAUAAGAAAGAAUAACACCCCUUACUAUAAUAAUAUUAUCCCUUACCGUAAAAAAACUGAAAAUAGAGGUAGUGAAGUAGCAGAAUAGUCUUCUUCUUUCUUUCUAUAAUUUCUCUCUCUAGAGUUUCAGUGAAUUCGUAAGAAAAUAAUGAAGGAAUGAGCUUCUAUUUAUAGAAGAAUGGAUUGCAUAGUAACUAACUCAUGAACGGUCCAAAUUGAUUUACUUUAAUCUGACGGUCCAUAUUUAAAGCAAAAUCUUUUAAAUAAAAUAUAAUAUAUUCUAUUUAUAAUCUAAUAAAAUAAAUAACUUUAUGUAAAUACUAUGCAGGCACUAUGCAAAUACUAUGCAUAAUAAAAUAUAAUAUAAUCUAAUUAUUGUCUAAUAAAACGAAUAACUUUAGAAAAGUAUUAUGUUUUAUAUAAAAAGAUUUUACUAUUAGUCUAAUAAAAUGAAUAACUUUAUAAAAGUAUUCUGUUUUAUAUAAAAAGUUUUUCUGUUUUAUUACGUUAAUAAUACGAAUAAAACAAAACUUCAUCAUCGCUUACUUUGAAAAUUUUUCAAAUGUCACCCUUAACUUUAAACUUUUAUCAAUUUAAUCAUUUACCAAAAUAGAAAAAUUGAAUACUUUUAUUUCAUAAAAUUCGGGGUCUCACAGUUAGUUUGCAAAAAGCUAUGGGCACGGAUUUACGAUUUAGUUCGGCAUAUCAUCCUCAAACGGAUGGGCAGUCGGAAAGGACUAUUCAAACUCUUGAGGAUUUAUUAAGAUUAUGUGUCCUUGACUUCAAGGGAAGUUGGGACAAGUUCUUACCAUUGGUGGAGUUUUCCUACAACAAUAGUUAUCAAGCAAGUAUUGGCAUGACUCCAUUUGAAGCGUUGUAUGGAAGAAAGUGUCGUUCUCCAGUAUGCUGGGAUGAGGUGGGUGAAGCAACGUUGUUGGGACUGGAGUUGGUACGUAUGACUACGAAAAAGAUUCAAACGAUCCGACAACGUAUAAAAACCUCACAAGAUNNNNNNNNNNNNNNNNNNNNNNNNNNNNNNNNNNNNNNNNNNNNNNNNNNNNNNNNNNNNNNNNNNNNNNNNNNNNNNNNNNNNNNNNNNNNNNNNNNNNUAUAUAUAUAUAUAUAUAUAUAUAUAUAUAUAUAUAUAUAUAUAUAUAUAUAUUGUCCAAAAUUAAUUUUUAGUUUUUGAGAUGGCAUGUAACCAUCACAUAUAUAUUUCUCCUUAAUGUGAUUGCAUUUAAGCCAUAACAAAGAAAAAAGUUUAAAAUAAUCUUUGGUGACAGCCAAGACCAUCACGAAAAGAAAACCACAUGUGAUGGACCUUUAUGAUUACAUUUAAAGUAAUCUCAACAAAUGGUAUUAUAUGAUGGACUUUUUCAACAAUCACAAAAUAAUAAUAUACAUGACGGCUCCUAGUAGUGGUUAUUUUUUCCAUCACCAUAAACUAUUUGUGACGGACAAGACAAUCACUAAAAAACAAGCAUAUAUGAACAACAAAUAUAUUAGGCGAGGAAUUUACUAGCAAUCACAAAAUAGUAGUAUAUAUGGUAGAUGUUACUCAAUGUCUAAUUGUGCCAUUAUUAUUAAAUAUUUAAGACAAUCAUUACAAUCACUAAAUUUUUCGCGUAAAUUGUACAUCUCUUUUUUAAGUCCCCAUUAAUCUUUAUUUUGCUUUGUUCUCUUUGUAAACUCAUUGUUUUUAUUGUGAAUUCAAAGGAUUUAGAGUUUAUCUCGUUUUUAUAUAACUAACUAUUUACGUUUGUUCUCUUUGUCUCGGUUGGUAUAUAUCUACUUCUUUCUAUGCAAGAAGUCUAGAGUCCAAAUCUCCACCCAAAAAAGAAACAGUGCAAAUGAUGGAGCAAAAUUCUUGCUGUUGGGGAAGAGCAGAUGGACUAAUUGAUGUAACCUUCAAAUUGGUGGGAAGAAAUCUGAAAUGGAAGGAGCAGUAAGCAGGAUUUUUUUUUUUACUAAAUUUAAAUUGUAUUAAAGGAGAAAGAAUGUACAAAAAUCAUGGGAAAACCCAAUCAGAAUAUAGUAUAUACAUCACCUCAAUCAGAAUAUAACAUAGACAUCAUAGGACAUGCCAUAUGAUGUCAUGACUAAAAAAGAAAAUAAGGCCAGAUGCCCAAACAAAAGAGAAACAAUCUCAACAUUCAUGAGAAUACAAUGCAUAGAAAUCAGACACAAAACCAAGAAAAACCUCAUCCAAAGUAGCAGCAGCCCACAAUAGCAGCAAAAGAAAAAUCAGUCCAAAGACCAAAAGGCAUCAUCCAUAACAGAACCGAAAGAGCCUACUGCAGACUAGCAGCACAAUAGAGCACAAGGCCCAACAAGAGAAGCCAACAACAGUUUAGCAAAGCAAAACAGCAGACAGGACAUGGAAAGCAAGAGCAACAAACCCCAAGAGCCCAAUGGCAGCCAUAGAAGUGCAGCAGCUGCAGCCGACAUCAAAUAAAACAGCAGUAAACGAUAGCAGCCAUAAGUACAGCACCACCCCCCAAAUCUGCAGCAUCAAGACAUAGAAAUAGUCACAAUACUGCAGACCAAAACACGCAAACAAUGCAGCAUAAGCAACAAACAGAGCAGCAAAUAGGUCUAUUUUCCUGCUUGUUUUCAAGGUUGUGUAGUAUUUAUUGUCAUUUUAGUAUUUUACAUAUAUGUCCAUUAUGGGUAAAAUAAGUUGUUUGGCAUGGGCAAUGAUGCCAGUGAAGGUUUUCUUUCUUCAGUGCUUGAUGGAAGCUCUCGAGCUGUAGUCACUACAAAGAUGAGGAGAUGCUGAAACCAUUUUCGAGCACAGUGAGAUAUAAUAGUUACAUAUAUGAAUAUGCCAUCUCAGAUGAUCAUGUUGGUGUAACACAGAAGCAUGUCUUCCAUGUGCUGGUACCAUUUCUCCUUCCUUUUCUGACAGUAGGCCUAUGAUUUCUUCUGGGAGUGCUGAGAAAGAGACUGCUAGACUAGAAUAUUGUAUACGGCACUAGAAAUAGGGCAGUCUUUCUGUAAACUGCAGAGCUAUGGUUCCUUGGAAUGAUCAUUGCUUUACAACGCAUUGAGUUUUUUUUUUCUACAUUUCUUUUUCCUGGAAAAGCCUAUUUGAGGGAGGAAAUAGGAGAAGUAGAAAUUUGUUGUGGGUAGAGAUGUUUUGGAUUUGUCCUUGGUUUCAGUAAUUAAACAUCUGCCAUUUUUAUUUGCGAUUAUAUCCGGAGGAAGCUUUUAUAUACUAGAUUCAUAAAUCAAGAAGUUCAAUAUAGGGAGCACCAGCUGCAACAGCAGCAGAGCAUGAGCAGCAACAUUAAUGUAGGUGGAAGCAUUGAAAGGACGUUCUAUUUGUUCAUGCCAUUUAAUCAUGGCAAUCAUUCUAUUUAUUCAUGGUAAUCAUUUUAUUUGUAUAUGCUUGUUCUUAUAUAGCUUAUAUUGACAGAAAAUUUAAAUGGAAGCUAUGAGAACCACAUUUUAUCAAGUCUUUCAGGUGGGUUAGCCUCUGCAUAGCUCUUACUAUUUCUUGCAGCUCGAGGAGCUAAAGCUUCCUAAAGUAUAGAAAUCACAAAACCAAGCAAAUAAGUUUAAAAAAAAAAAAGAACUAAAGAUAGAGUCGCAUGUCUUUCAAAUAUGUUUCAAAAAAAAAACACAUUCUCUAAAACACUGGUAACAGAGCUUCUCUAAAACUGAAUUUCAUGUCCAAGUUCAUGUUAUCAACUUAUAGUCUUAUAUGUAAUCAACAUAACUCAAACGACUUCCUCUUUUUCUAAUAAUUAAUAACAGGGAAAAAAUUUAAAAAUAUGGGUGAAUUGGAGAAAUAUAUCUUACAAUAACAAAGAAAAAGGGAAUCCUAGUCCAGAAACUUGUGCGCGCUCUCACGAAAGAUGUCUCAUGAGUAAGCCUGAAUCUUGACGGAUCUGCAUGUUCAUUGUAGGAGAAAUUUAACAUAAAGAGAUAGCCUCAUGUACACAAAUAUUAAAAUGAAUACUAAAUUCAAACUACAGAAUGAUAAAUAGUCAUUUCUUGAUCGUGCAGCGACAUAACAAUGGAAAACUCGGUCCUGAGAGGCAGUUUCCUGCUCCCAGACCUUCCAGCCACGAAUCUGUACAAGUUAAAAACUUAUUAGCAUUAUAUGUAGAAUCAAUCAGGUGAUAAUAUGAAGAGUGAUAGUGUUUUAUAGAAAAUGAAAAUAUUCGAAAAUUGUUUCGAACAUAUAUUAAAAUAAAUUAUUGUCCUUUUAUUUUAUUAAAUAAAAUAUUAAAAAAAUCAUUGUCUUCUUUAAUGCAGUUUAUAAAGAAACACGGGAAAAUGAAUAUAGGCCAAGUUAGUGAUAAAAGAAAGUGAAUGACAGACUUGGCAGGAACUCUAUUACUGUAGAAAAAUAAAGCAACAAUUGAAAGGAUUCUUAUUUCGAUAAUGAAAGGAAAUAAUAAUCGACUGAUAAUUAUCUGGAACAUGCCAACUACUAUAUAUAUAGGAAAACAUAACUAAAAAACUCAGCUACGUAGGCCUAAAUAUCAUCAUCUUCUUCUUCUUCUUCGAAAUAUUCAUCAUCAUUAAAAUAUUCAUUAUCAUCUUCAUCUUCAUCACUACAUUCUCUAUCUUCAUUUUCUGCUUCCGCUAAUGAUGGAUCCACUUCCGCCCACAUUAGGAUUACUCGUCAAUGGUUGAUCAAAUUUGAUAGAUUCGCCUUCUGAAACAAGAAGUUCUGGCCCUGGAGGGAUAAUAUCAACCACUUGACGUCCAUCCGAUGCAUCCGUUAUGGUUAUUUCGUAACCCCCCUUUUCUUUUCGUAUUAUUUUGCCUACUAUACCUGCUGCUGUAGCAUUAUAAACCGUAUUGUUACUCUUGCUCCCGUCGGGAUAAAUCUGACCCCUUCCCCUGUUUCCGCCUACGUAUAUAGGAUAUUUUAAGAAGUGAACAUCUUUCUUAGUAGCGGGGUCCGGGGAAAGAAUAGGAAAGGUGAUUUCACUAUAUUUUUGACCAGGAACAGGGCCUAUCACAAGAAUAUUUUUUUUAGUGGGGCGAUAGCUCUGAAAAGAAAGAUUGCCUAUCCUUUCUUUCAUCUCGGGAGAAAUCCGAUCAACAGGAGCUAAUUCAAAACCCUCCGGUAAAAUAAGAACAGCCCCUACAUUCAAAGCCCCCUUUUUACCAUUAGCAAGAACUUGUUUUAGUUGCAUAUCAUAAGGGAUUCGAACAACUGCUUCAAAUACAGUAUCAGGAAGUACGGCUUGUGGAACUUCAAUAUCCACGGGCUUAUUAGCUAAAUGGCAAUUGGCACAUACAAUACGCCCAGUCGCUUCUCGUGGAUUUUCAUAACCCUGCUGUGCAAAAAUGGGAUAUGCACUUGAAAUGGAUGUCCGAGUUAUGAUAUAUAUCAUGAGCGAUGCGGAAAUGGAUCGAGUAAUCUGUUCCUUUAUCCAAGAAAAAGUCUUUCUAGUUUGCAUGGUCCAACCAUUGAUCCCGAAAAUUUCUACAAUAAAUUGGGUAGGUCGCUAAUAUAGUUCCCUAUCCGCGAUUCUGCUAUUUACUGGAAUAAUAUAUNNNNNNNNNNNNNNNNNNNNNNNNNNNNNNNNNNNNNNNNNNNNNNNNNNNNNNNNNNNNNNNNNNNNNNNNNNNNNNNNNNNNNNNNNNNNNNNNNNNNGAGAAUCAUCAAGCAAUAUCAAAUUCUGAGUUUGCUCCUCAAUAUUAUAUAAGUCAAAAUCAUGAAACUCUUCCUCUUGAUAUGUCUCUUCAUUACUAUUUUCGGCAACAUCAUAUGUGUUUCUUGCUUUUGUUGUGAUUACAGUAGACCAACCUUUAGCUUUAGUCGACACUGGAUUAGCAUAGAACACUUGUACAACUUGUGAUGCAAUAACAAAUGGCUCAUACGGCUUGUGCCUUGAAUUUGUAUCAAUUGUAGUUAUCCCGUACUUGUUAAUAACUACCCUUUUUUCAGAAUCAUACCAUUCACAUUGGAACAAAAAUACUGAAUUCUCUUCUCCAUAGUAUUCUAGUUCAACUACUUUAAUUAAUUGUCCAUAAUAGUCUCGUUCUUGGCCUUCAAAAGUACAUCCCUAGACUAAAACACCACUAUUUUGAGUUACCUUUCUUGACUCCAAUUCUUUUGUAUGGAACCUAAAGCCAUUGACAAUGAAUCCAUCAUAACAUGUUACCUCUCUAGACGGACCCAUAGCGAGCGCUUUUAGACGCGUAUCAACGACAUCAUCAUUCUUGACUCUCUUUUCAAACCAUUUUAUAAAUGUCGAAUUAUGUUCCUUUUAUAGCACUUUAUCCGACAUGUUUGGACGUAAUUCUUUCAAUAAAUGCUUGUGCUCCCUAGAAGUAAUGAAAUAAAUUAGUAGAUAUAGAGUAAUGAUUUACAUAUCUAAAAGUAAUAAACUUUAUAAGAAUUAAAAUGUCAUACUCGAUGAAAUCAAAGACUUCCUCAUAAUUAGACAAGAUGUAUAAGGUUGCUGCCUCGAGUUCUUUAUCAGAUAGAUCUUCACGUUUUCGUUUUCCUCCAAUUGGACGACCAGGCCUAGGGUGGCUAAAUAUUGAUAACUUUCCAUUAGUUUCAGCUUGACCGCCAUCGUCAUUUCGAUCAGCUCGGUUGAACUUGGUUUGCACCCUAAGAUCAAAAUAUCGAGAAGAAAAGUAAACUAGUUCGUCUAUUAUGUAUGCCUCAGCUAUUGAACCCUCGGGGCAAGCCUUGUUACGCACCCUUUUCUUCAAAGAACACAUGCACCUAUAAUUAUAUUGAAGUUAGGUAAUCACUUUAACUAUAAAAAAGCCUUGGCAAGAAAAGAGAUAUAAUUUAUUAAAACAUCACCUCUCGAAAGGGUACAUCCAACGAUAUUGUACUGGCCCUCCGACCUUGGCUUUAUAUGCCAAAUGAACAAGUAGAUGCUCCAUUGAAUCAAAGAAAGAUGGUGGAAAAAUCAUCUCAAGAUUGCAUAAUAUUUCAGCAAUAAAUAGCUCAAGCUUCUCUAACUCAGCUAACUUAUACACCUUAGAGCAUAUGUCUCGAAAGAAUUUGCACAAAGCAUUUAUUGGUUCCCAUAUAGAGUUUGGUAAGAAAUCACGAAAGGCCAAUGGCAAGAAUCUCUGCAUGAGAACAUGGCAAUCAUGGCUCUUUAGCCCAAUUAUUUUGCAAUUGUCAAGGUUAAUACAAUGAGAGAUAUUUGAAGCAUAACCGUCUGGAACUUUCAACGAUUUAAGCCACUUGCAAACUUGCUUGACUUCUUCGCUUUUUAAAGAAUAUUUAGCUUUUGGCAAUUUAAAUUUCCCAUUACCACUCUCUUCAGGAUGUAAUUCAAAUCUUAUACCAAGCUCUUGCAAAUCUAAACGAGCUUUAAGGUGGUCUUUUGAUUUUCUAGUAAUGUUCAUCACAGUGUAAAAUAAAUUAUCAAAAAUAUUUUUCUCAAUAUGCAUCACGUCUAAGAAAUGUCUUAUUAGAAGCAAACUCCAAUAAGGCAAUUCAAAGAAGAUACUUUUCUUUGUCUAGUUAUGCUCGAUUCCAAACCCAGGAGUCUUAUCGGUACUAUUGUUUUUAUCCUUUCCAAAGAUGACCGAACUAAAUUGAGAUACAAAAUUUAACUCCUCAACACCUGUUAGUCGAGGCGGGGGAUUUCUCCGUUCGGUUUUAUUAUUGAACUUACUCUUCUCAGCUCGAUAUUUAUGAUUACGCUUCAACCAACGACGAUGGCAUCCAAAAUAACUCGGCUUCCUCCCAUGUUUAAGGUUAAAAGCUACACUUGGAUCCAUACAAGGACAUGACAAGGCCCCAUGUGUACUCCAACCCUUCAAUAUGCCUAGCGCAGGAAAGUCACUGAUUGUCCAUAUUACAGCUGCUUUCAUAUAAAAAUUUUGCUUUGAGAAAGCAUCAUAUGUAUCAACUCCAACAUCCCACAAAGUCUUUAGUUCUUCUAUAAGAGGUCGCAAAUACACAUCAAUCUCUCUUCCAGGUCCAUGUGGACCUGGAAUAAGCAGUGACAUAAACAUGUACUCCUCUUUCAUACACAUCCAAGGGGGGAGAUUGUAUGGAACAAGGAAAACUGGCCAUGUCGAAUGAGGUUUGCUAGAAUGCCCAAAAGGAUUAAAUCCAUCAGUAGCUAAGCCAAGUCUUAUACUACGAGCAUCUUCAGCAAAAGAUGGGUAAUUGAGGUCAAAAUAUUUCCAAGCCUCACUAUCAGCAGGGUGCCUUAGCUCACCUGGAAUAUCACAUCAUUUUUCUUUGUGCCACCUCAUAGGCUCGGCCGUUUUUGAUGACAAAUAAAGCCUUUGAAGCCUUGGUAUAAUUGGUAAAAAAACUUAAGACCUUCCUUGCUAUUGGUUUAUUCUUUUUCCCUUUAACACUGCCAUGGUUUUUAUACCUAGAUUCGUUACAAAUUGGGCAAGCAUCUAAAUCUGCAUAUUCUCCUCGAAACAAGAUACAAUCAUUAUUACAUGCAUGUAUUUUUUGUAGAGGUUGCCCAAGGUCCUUCAUUAAGGCCUUGCAGUGAUAAAAUGACUCGGGUAAUUUAUUCUUUUUAGGCAACAUUUCCUUGAAAGCUGAAAGAAAAGCAUCAAAUCCAGCAUUAGACAAACAAUACUUGGAUUUUAGGUGCAACAACAAAGUUACGGCUAAUAACUUGGUGUGAUUUUGACAACCAUCCCACAAGGGCUCGUCUGCAGCCUUUAGAAGGUCAUAGAACUUCUUUGAUUCGCUAUUAGGAUCCUCAUCAAAUUUAGGGCUAAUGCAGCUUGUAAUAUCCCUUAACAUGUCUUUAGGCCAAUUUGCAAUUCCCUCAUCAAUAUCGUCAUCUUAAUUCCCUACUUUCUUAAGUGACUCCCCAUGCUCCGUCCAUGUAGUGUAGUUUGGUACAAAUCCAUGCUUAUAAAGACACAUUUCUACAUCUUCACGUGAUUUAUAGUUUAUGAAAUCACACUUGGCACAAGGACACCGAAUCAUGCCAUCAUCUACGCACUCAGGAUUAGAAAAUGCAAAAUCAAGAAAUGUAUUGACCCCACUCAUAAAUUCAUGUAUAUGUUUAGACUUUUUCCCAACAUGCCUAUACAUCCAACUUCGAUCAUCCAUCUACCAUUUGUAAUUCAAAUAAUUGAAAAAUGUUCAUUUAUGGUGAUAAUUAACCCUUUUAUGAAAUAGAAAAGAAAAAAAAAACUGUACUGACUUUACAACUUAUUUUCUAGCACACUGUUCUUAACAUGGUCACAACUUAUAAUUAAAGAAAACAACAUAUACUACCUGAAUUCAAGAUAAUAUUGGUUAUGAGGUAGUAAAUCAAACAGAGAAAGCGUAAUCAGAGAAAGCAUAUUAGAUUUUCUAAUUAAUGUUCCUAAUUAGUUUUAUAUUAGAUUUUUUACAUGCUACACAGGAAUUGGGGCCAAAUUCGAACAGAGAAAGCAUAAUCAAAAUUCUAAAAUAAUUGGGGCCAAAUUGGAACAGAGAAAGUAAAGAGGGAGACAAUAAACACCCAAGGAAGAGAGGAUUUACCUUCAAAAUCACAAAGCUUAACUUGGAUCACAACUUUGGUACGUAGAAGAAAGGGAGAUGGUUUUAGUUACCGUCUAUGGAGAAGAUGGGAAGAGUUGUUUAGAGCCGCAGAGAGCACUGGGCAGAGGCCGUCGACUGAGAGGGAGUAGUCGACUGUCGACUUUGUCAAGAAAGAGGCAAGCAAGUAGCAACUGAAGCAAUCAAACAAAGAGUGAAGAAGGAGAACUGAAGAUAAGGGCUAGGGCAAAUGUCAAAUGUGAAAGUGAAAUCAGAAAUGGACCGCCGACUCGGUCACUUAGGAUUAUAGAUAGGAGUGAGAUAUAAUAAUAUUAUAAAAUUGUUUUUUUUAAGAAUUACGGUUCGGUUAUUCGGGUAUCCAAAUAACCAGUUUUUGAACACCGAAUCUGUAAUCGAAUACUAAAUAAUAAUUCGGAUAUAACUGAAAUUGUAAAAAAACCGAAAAACCGAAAUAAUUCGGUUAAAAAAUUUCGAUUCGGUUCGGUAAUUCGGUUUUAUUCGUUUUUUGCUCACUCCUAGUCACUGGACAUUUAAUUUUUGUUGGCUUGUUGUUGCUGACUUGCUGUAUUUUGGACAGUUAAUUAGGCUUGCAUUAUUAAGUCAUAAAUUUCAUGUUGGCUUGUUGUUGCUGCUGGACAAGUAAGUUAACAGUUGCUGCCUGCUGGGCAGUUAAUUUGCUAAAUAGUUAACAGGGAAUUUAUGUUGUAUGAUAUUUCGGUUAUUACCCGAAUAUCCGAAAUUACAAUUCGGUAUUCGGUAAUUCGGUUAUUUUCACAUUUCGAUUAGAAUUUUGGAUAGUGGAAUUGUCAUUAAUUCGGUUUUCGGUUAUAACCGAAUAGCUUAUUCGGUUCGGUUAUAACCGAAUGAUCACUCCUACUAAUAACUUGGUAUUUUGAAUCAAAUAUCGGCAUCGACACAUAAGGCUGUAAAAUGAGCAAACAGUUCGGGGUCGAUUCGUACUCGCUCGACUAAAAGUUCAAUUCGAGCUCGACUCUAAAUAUAAAUGAGUCAAAUAUGAGCAAAUUUUAAAGUUCUAUAAAUUACUCGAACCUCCUCAAAUUAUAAUUUUCUAUUGAUACUCGGAUCAUAUUCGUUCGAAAAGUUCAAACUGUUCAGGCUCGAUUCGGAAUCGUACUCGACUCGAUAGCUAAAUGAUCCUCAAUCAAACCUUAUAAUAUACUUGAUAAAAUUUGUGAACCAAAUCUGAUAGAAAUACAUUACGAAAAUUUAAAAAGAUUAUAAAAUGAGUUUUAGUUUUAGUUGGACCAGAUUAAGUAAUCUCAAGUACAUGAAAUUAAAAAUAAAAUAAAAUUAACAAAUUGAAAAAAACAACAACUAGUAGACUCGGGCGUAAAUUAACUUUUAAGGGUUUAAUACACUAUUUGUACGUUCCAAAUUUUAUAUUUGACUUUGUACCAUUGACAUUUAUUUUUUCGUGGGCAUAUAUUUUUAUUAUUAUUAGUUAUUGUCAAUUUUGGUGGAUAAAUUAUUUAAUGUUUGAAGACUAUUUGGGGGAUAUUAAAUAUAUCAUUACUCAUAAUGAUAUUAAAUAUAGUGGGUGCAGAUGAUAGUAAUGUUAUAAAAAAAUUUCAGGCUUCACAAAGAAGAAUAUAAGUUAUUGUAUUAAGCUUCAAUACUUUUUGUAAGAGUAAUAAUUGAUAUUAAAACAUCAUUUUUAUUAAUAAUAUUAUUUUAAAAUAAUAAAAGAGAGGAGACUUAAUUUGUAGCUUAAUCUAAAGAAAGUAUAUAAAUUUUUAAUAUUAUUUUAAUUUAUUUUACUUUUUUGAAUAACAAAUUUGUACUUAAUUACUAGUGGAUCAAUUAAUUCAUAUCUCACAAAUUUACUAAAAAUAAUAAUUAAAUGAUACUCUUUUUUUUGUAGAACAAAGGGUAUAUCAAAAGAUAAUUAAAUCAAAAGAAAUUUAAGCUAAUUAAAUUUAAUUAAAAGAUAAUUAAAAUUUAAACAAACAAAAAUAGACUAAUUUAGUGGCAUAUUCCACUCAUUUUGAAGAAAUGGCGGGAUCUCUGUUUCUAUCUUUAAUUUCAAGUACCAUUGUAUAAACUUCCCCAUCUUUUCCAUAGGCAGCAAACUGAAACCCUACAUCCAUCUUCUACCAAAAUUGUGAUCCCAGUUAAGGUUGUGAUUUCAAAGGUAAGUCCUCUCUUUGGGUGUUUAUUCUCUCCAUCUUUCCUUUCUCUGUUCUAAUUUGUCCCCAAUUCUUAUUUUAGAAUUGUGAUUAUGCUUUCUCUUUUCGAAUUUGGCCCCAAUUCCUGUUUUUAUAGAGAUGUUUUACGAACUGUUAUUGACAAUUUGAUUGUUCAUGUGUUUGUGGAGAUUUAAUAUAUAUAUAUAUAUAUAUAUAUAUAUAUAUGAUUUUGAUAGCGUAUUUACUAAUUUUAANNNNNNNNNNNNNNNNNNNNNNNNNNNNNNNNNNNNNNNNNNNNNNNNNNNNNNNNNNNNNNNNNNNNNNNNNNNNNNNNNNNNNNNNNNNNNNNNNNNNNNNNNNNNNNNNNNNNNNNNNNNNNNNNNNNNNNNNNNNNNNNNNNNNNNNNNNNNNNNNNNNNNNNNNNNNNNNNNNNNNNNNNNNNNNNNNNNNNNNNNNNNNNNNNNNNNNNNNNNNNNNNNNNNNNNNNNNNNNNNNNNNNNNNNNNNNNNNNNNNNNNNNNNNNNNNNNNNNNNNNNNNNNNNNNNNNNNNNNNNNNNNNNNNNNNNNNNNNNNNNNNNNNNNNNNNNNNNNNNNNNNNNNNNNNNNNNNNNNNNNNNNNNNNNNNNNNNNNNNNNNNNNNNNNNNNNNNNNNNNNNNNNNNNNNNNNNAUAUAUAUAUAUAUAUAUCCCUCGAUUUAUAUAUGUAUGUUAAUUAGGUACGUAUAUGUAUGCAUGAAUAUAUAUGAAACUUUGUUAGUUAAUUACUUUGGUUGAGAAUGGAUUGUAGUUUGUAAACAAAUCUAAUAUGAAACUGAUUAGGAAAAGACUUAAAUUGGAAUUCUUCUUUUGGUUGAAUGGAAGGGUUACUCAUUACUUCAUUAAUUUGACAUUAAUUUUGUAUUAUUUUGUUUAAUUAUGUUUUGGUUGGUUAUGUUUUUCAUUUAUUUUAUUCUAUUCCAAGUCAUUAAGAGCACAUGAUGUUUUAGGUAAAACACUGAUUCUACUGGACAGAUGAUUCAUGUACAAAACCAAAGUUAGUGCACACACCCUAUUAUUUAAUAUUCAAAACAUUGGGUUGCUGUUGGGGUGGGUCUGUAGGAGGGCAGGGGUGGAGUUGCAGGGGAGGCGAAUGGAAGAGGGCAAAAGUGCUGGAUGAAGGAGGGACGUUGGCAUGUUCUUGAAUGAUGGUAACCCAUUCUUUAUACAUUUUGAAUGAGAGUGGUUAAUUGCAAAAAAGCACUUGCAAUAGCUACAUUGAAAUUGGUUCCAUUUAUGAGGGACAAGAAAAGCAGCAGUGGGCAGUAAGGAACUGCUAUAACAGUUUUGGGUAUAUCAUUCUAGCUCUAGAAUCUAGUUUGAAGACUUAACCAUAGAGUUUUAGUUUUAGUUGGAGCUGUACAUUCUUUACCAUUAAUGAUUAGUGAUUCUAUUCAAAGUUACCAUGCUUUUUUAAGUUCUCACUUGGGUUUUUGUAAAUGGGUCAAGCUUUGCUUAUUGUGUGCAAGAAAAUCUGAUAUCGCUGUGAAAUCUAUAGUAAGAAAAUUAAAAAUGGUCACUUUGAUAUACUUGCACUUAAUUGAUGCCCACAAUUGUCGUCUUUAAUUGUACUAAUCCAUCAAAGGAGCAUGUCAAUAUUGUUCUAUUCAGCAGUACUAUGAUUUAAUUGAUGCCCUCAUAGUAUCCAUCAAAAGAACAUUUAAUCUUGAUGUAACCAGCAUGCCACGGAACCUGACAUGUGUAGCAAAAAAGCUUUUUACAGUUCAGACAUAUUAGAAAUGAUUGUUCCAUUGAAAUGAUUGUUUGGCAUAUUAGAGGAUCUAACAAGUGAUUACAGUCCAAAGUGGACGACAUUUAAUGCUGGCUACAUUGUCUUCAACUUUUACUUCGAUGUACUUGGUGAAGCAAUCCACACAAAAAGGAUGAAAACAUUCAUCAUUCUUCUUGAAAACAUUCAAUGCAUAUCUCACAAGUGAAAGUUGAACUCUCUUCUUCACCUGAUUUAUCCUCUUCUGUUUUCGCCAAACUCACCUCUUGUUUUUAGCUGUGUGUUCCCCAUUGUUUGUUCUGUUUCUGUUGCAAAAAAAUCAUCAGCUCAUGUGAGAAACAAUUAGAGAAAGUGGAAUUGUACAACAGAAACAUGCAUGAAGUUGUAUAUUAUUGCAAAAUAAAUGGCAACUCUUUCUACAAUUACAAAGAAAAUGCCAAACACAUUUUGAAUUUGCAGCUACAACUAUUACAUGUGUUAUACAAGAGAUGAGAAUACAUUUUGAACAUGCAUGUGUCAAUUUGUGAUCUACAACACAUUUUGAAAAUGCCUAACACAUUUUGAACAUGCAUGUGUUCUACAAUUACAUGAAUUAAUUUGCAUGUGUUGUACUUUGUGUUGUGCAUAUAGUAAUAGGUUCAAUUAAAUGUUGUGUCAAGUGAUAGUGCUAAUUUAUUUAUUUUUUGAUAAAAAAAUGUACAUGCUUGUGGUAUAAUUUCAAACUAGUUUUCCAAUGAGUCAUGAUUAAUUAUUGCUGAUUAAUAUGUUGGGUAUAUAAAUUGUUCUUUGUACGGUUGAAUGUUAUUGUCUUGACAGGUAAGAUGCUAAUUGAUUUUGGAGCUAGUAGAGUAGUGAAUAAUUUUGAAAUUGUAUUACAACAUCAUCUUGAAUAAUUUCUUUUAUUUAUCCUAUAUUUAAUUAUAAGUUUUUUUUCUUCUCCAGCUAUGGUGAGAACUAGAGGUGGGAGUAGUCUUUCCGGUAGGAGAUCAACUCUUCCUCAUAAUAGUGGCGAGACUGUUAACAUGAACAGAAUGAGAGAUGAGCCUAUUGUAUCUCAUGAUAGUGGUGAGAGUAUUGAUAGGGCUACACCGAAUACUACACAAGCCGAAAGGUUAUCUCGUAAGAAAAGGGGGCCAACUCUAGGGAUAAUAAAGCCUAAAACAGGCCAAACAAAGAUGCUUGUUAAUAUCAUUGGACAAAAGUAAGUUUUUACUAAUCUACUCGUGCUUGUCAAUAUGCAAGUUACAUACAAUCAAUUCUGGAUACGUUAAAGAUUCAUUUUCUGACACAUAAUAUAACGUCCGUUUUAACUAUAACAGGGUAAUCUAUGUAGCACAAUGUAAUCCAAAGAACAUAAAAGCAACUAAUCAUAUCAUGUUACUAUAAAAAGCAAUUAAUAGGGGUUCCAUUUAACAAGAUUUGAUUAAUCCUAUUGUGACAACUUUGUUUCUACUUUUCAUUAUUGUUGUACUAAUCAUAUCAUGCUAUGUUACCAUAUCUUGUAAUUAGCUUCCUUGAACCUGAAGCUCGAAGCAAGACUCACAUAUUAUUUCAAAAACGUUUUAAAGAAGCUCGAACCAAAUUCGAGCAAUGGCCAAAACAUGAAAUUGAACUUCUUUGGGGAGAAUAUUUGGUAUGUUUUAAUGAACACACAUUUUAAUUGUAGAAAAAAGUUUAUCAAAAAGUGUAUUAUUCAUUAUAUAUUAAUUAUUAUUUUUACUUGUGGAUGGUGUUAUAGAAAUAUUUUCGUUUCUCUUCAUCGAAGGAGGAGGGAAGGGGUCGAAUCAUAUGGGAGGAAAAUGCACGAAAAAGCUACCCAAACUAUUUAUGGAGAUGGAAAGAUGAUGCCAUUAAGAAGUUUGGCUCCAUUGAGGAAGCAAGGGAUAAAAAGCCUAAUUGGACAACUCUUGAUGUGUGGCAGGAGAUGUGUGAUUAUUGACUGAGUAAAGACUUUUUAGACUCUAGUGAGCUACAAAAAAAGAACAGAAACAUAACUACGUAUGUUCCUCACACAUCAGGCUCCAUAUCGUACGCCGUUAGGAGGGAACAAGAGGUAAAUUAUAAGUUGAUAAAAUCAAAUUAAUAAUAUGCGUAGUCGAUAAAUGCACAUGAUAAUGGUAAAAGAUUCAUAUCAUGAUGCUCUGUUUGGAGUUUUUAAGUGUUCAUGUGGUAUGUAUUGCUUAUUUUUAAUAUUAAUGUUUAUAAUUAAAAUAAUUAUUAUUUUGCUUGUUUUGUCUUAGAAACAAAGACUGCAUCGUCCGCCAACGCAAUAUGAGUUAUAUAAACAAACUCAUAUGAGGAAGGAGAAGGGUAGCGAGGAAAAAACGUGGGUUUGUGAUGAAGCAAAGAGGAAUUUGGUAUGAUUUUCUCUUGUAAAAUUAUAAACUUUGUUUACUCAUGCGAAAGUGAAGAUUGUUGUUCGUUCUUUUCAUAAUUAGUUAUGAGUAUUGUUAAUUAUAUAUACAUAUUUUAUGCAUUGUAUAGGAUGAUUAUGAGAGAAGACUCUUAGCCAAACAUGGUGAUACAGAUAAGCCCGUGAAUGAGUUAGAUGAUCCAAAUUUGGAGACAUGGCAGAAAACUGUUGGAGGCGUCAAAAAGGGUAGACUUGUUGGUCGACCAGGGGAAAAAUGGAGUUCUCGUCGUGGUUCGUAUUGUCCAUCUUUGGUUGCAGAUGAGAACUAUAUUAAAUUAAAGAAAAUGGAAAGCUACAUGACUUAUAUUCAUCAAUACACAAAAAAUAUGGCCGAAACACUUGCACUUGAUCCUCCUAUAGACUUUUGUGAUUUGUUUGCUUCAUCAAAUGCAUCAGCUGAUAUUCCAACGAAUAACUCAACCACGCAUGCUGAGAAUGACAACGGAGAUGAUGACGACUCUCAAGAAAACUUCAUGGAGAAUUCAGGAUGAUUUAGCUCUGCUUUACUUAUCAAUUUUAUUAGUUUAGGGUUCUUUGAUAGAUGUUGGGUUUGUUAAUUGUUUGAUGAACCUAUGACAUGUAGUUACCUAUUUAAGUAGUUGGUAAUGAAUUUAUUUUUAAUUAAAUGGAUCAGAUUUCUUCAUUUUAAUAAAUUUGUAUGAUUUUACGUUUCAAAUUUAUUGUAAUUUAUGUCAUUUAUAAAUUUGAAAUAUAAAAUUGGCAAUUAAAUAUAUUUUAAUAUAGGAAUUUGGUGAUGGCUUUACUAUCACCAAAACGUAUAAAAAGGUUACAAAAAUAGGAAUAAUUGUGAUUGCUUUAGCCAUCACAAGAGACUUAUGCCAUCACAAAAGAAUGUGAUUGUUUUGGCCAUCACAAAUAAUUGGUGAUUGUUUUGGCCAUCACAAAAAGAUGUGAUUGCUUUGGCCAUCACAAAUAAUUGGUGAUUGUUUUGACCAUCACACAAAGAUGUGAUUGCUUUAGCCAUCACAAAUAAUUGGUGAUUGUUUUUACCAUCACAAAAAGAUGUGAUUGCUUCGGCCAUCACAAAUAAUUGGUGAUUGUUUUGACCAUCACAAAAGAUGUGAUUGCUUUGACCAUCACAAAUAACUACUAUGCUAUCGAGAUUACUUUCGCCAUCACAAAUAACUUGUGUGAUUUCGUGAUGGUCAAACUAAUCACAAAAUACAUGUGCGCUAAUGUGACUGAUUUAGUCAUCACAAAAGGAUCGAAUGUUUUGGUGAUUGCCAAAACCAUCACGUAAAACCUUUCAUGAUGGACGUAUACAAAACGGCCAUCGUGAUGCUUAAAAUCAUCACGUAAACCUUUCGUGAUGGUUUUUUUAGUUUUUGUGAUGGAUUUUUGCCAUCACAAAUGACCAUUUUUUUAGUAGUGAUCGAAAGGACGUGGAAUUUAAUAUUGGAGAUCACGUGUUGUUACGUGUUGCUCCAUGGAAAGGAGUUACGAGAUUUGGAAAGAGAGAAGCUCAAUCCUCGAUUCAUUGACCCAUUUUUAAUCCUCGAGCGAGUAGGAACUAUGGCCUAUAGACUCGCCUUACCGCAAAGUAUGUCUCGUGUUCAUAACGUUUUUCACAUAUCUAUGUUACAUAAAUAUGUGAAAGACCCGAACCACAUUAUUGAAUUAGAACCAGACAAGAUAGAGGAAGAUUUAACAUAUGAAGAGUUACCUAUUAAAAUCUUGGAUAAGAAGGAUCAUAUUCUACGCUCCAAGGUUAUACCUCAAGUCAAAGUUUUAUAAGAGAAACCACGAUGUGGAGGAAAUGACCUGGGAGUUAGAAUCUGAGAUGAAGUCAAGAUAUCCUCGUCUCUUCGAUAUACCAGGUACGUACCCUAGUUUCGAGGAUGAAAUUUCAUAAGAAGGGGAGGUAGUAAGACCCCAACUUUUAUGAAUAAAGAAUAAUUUUCUCAAAAUAUAUUUUUGAAUAUUAUGGUGUGGAUUUGAUAUAAUGUUAUAGUUGUGGGUAUUAUUUACAAAUUUUGCAAAGUAAGCAAGUGGUUAUAUAAUAUUCGAUUGGUCGGGGAAUAUUCGUUUUAACAGGGAAUAUUCGUACGACGGUACAAUCAUUGGUGGACCCCACAAAGAAAGUAUUGUUGUAGUUAAAAAACGACAGAAUUAUCUUUUUAUAAAAAUAAUGGCGAAAGUGUUGCCGUUAAAACUGUUGAACUAACCGGUAAUAAAAGUACAGUAAUACGCGUGGUUGCAUAGUAGUACACAGUAUUGAUUAUUGAUGUUUACGUGAGAAGUCACUCAGUUAUACUCAAUUAUUACUAUAGUAAUUGUUGCAUCAUAUCUCUCAUAUUAUUGAUUCAAUUAUUGUCACAGUAUCAUCUGCAUAAUAUGUUAUAUUAUCAAAUCAAUAAUUGAGACGACAAAGUUAUUAAUAUUAUUAAAUUACAAUAUUGACAAUGUCUUGAAGUUCUGUCAAGGAGAGGUUAGAUAAUCUAAUUGCGCGCCAAUAGGGAGAAAUCCUCAUCGGAAAGCCCCCUCUUUCCUGGAAACUACCUGGUUGUUAAAUAUUAUGAGUUAUAAUAUUAAUGAUGAAUAAGUUUGUGUUGAUCAAAGAUGAAAUUAAUAGUUCCAUUGUAUGGAAAUUAUUAGUGUUAGUUGAAAAUCGACAUUUAUUUCGAUAAUAAUUGAUGUCUGGAGGUUUUAUUGACCAAUCGGGUAAUUAACCGGAUAAAUGAGCAAUUAAUUGCUAUUUAUUCACAUGCUUAUAACUAUGUGUUCACAUGUGUGUACUAUUGAUUCACAUGCAUGUACUGUUAGGGGAGUUGGUGCAAGAUUGAUAAUACUUGCAUGACUAAAUUAAAAAUUGAGGUAUAGAUGAAGGUACUAUACUAUACUUAAUUUUUUCACAUGUUUAGAACUAUUGAGUCACAAGAUUUACUAUUGAUUCACAUGAAUUACUAUUAGGGGAGGUGGUGCAAGUUUGAUAAUACUUGCAGGACUAAAUUAAAAAUAAAAAAAAAGAGGAAGGUAUUAUACUGUAAUAUUUUGAGCCCCAAAAUGUGCAAUUAUUGAAACUAUAUUUUCCUAUAAAUAGAAGCUCAUUCUUCCUUCAUUUCUUACCAAUUCACUAAAGCUAUAGAACAAUUAUUAUAGAGAGAAAUUAUAGAGAGAAAGAAGAAGAGAAGUAUGCUACCUCACUACUCCAGUAUCCAGUUUUCUUCUAAGGUAAGGGGUAUUAUUUCUUUCGUAUUCAUGAAGAGAGUUAUUUCUUUCAAUACUCGUAAGGGUUGUUAUUCCAUUCUUUAUUAUUCUGUUGGAAUAACCUGUAUAGGUGGAUUACCGAAUGCGGUGUGAAAUUCUUCUGUUAUUCCAUUCUUUAUUAUUAUGUUAGAAUAACCUGUCUGUGCAGAUUAUGCACGCCUGGUGAAUUCUUUUGUUAUUCCAUUCUUUAUUAUUUUGUCGGAAUAACCUGUCUGUGCGGACUACGCACGCCUGGUGAAUUCUUCUGUUAUUCCAUUUUUUAUUAUUCUGUUGGAAUAACCUGUCUGUGCGGUCUAUCGCAUGCCUAGUGAAUUCUUUUGUUAUUCCAUUCUUUAUUAUUUUGUUGGAAUAACCUGUCUGUGCGGUCUAUCGCAUGCAUGGUGAAUUCUUCUGUUAUUCCAUUCUUUAUUAUUCUGUUGGAAUAACCUGUCUAUGUGGAUUACCGCAUGCAUGGUGAAUGAUCCUUUGUAUUCAUUCCUUAUUAAAUUGUGGAAAUGAUAUGUCUACGUGGAUUACCGCAUGGCGGGCAAAAAUCCAUUUGCAAUUUUAUAUAUUCUAUUAUACUCAGUUGCUUAAAGUUUUGGCUUCUAUACUCCAUGAAAUUAGUAGAAUAUCCUGGAUAUUUGCGCUUCAUCCAAUAUCUUUUCAUGGACAUAUUCUUCUGAGCAUUCUUGAAUUUUACUCCACAAAGCAGUAUUAUGUUGACAAAUUGGAUGUUAUUAAUUUCUGGAUAAAUUAAAUUAUAAAUCUUUAAUAUUUAUCCUUGAACUUGUUUUAUUGAAUUAUUAUGUCAUUGUCAUCAUCCUCAUGCUUAUAUUGUGAUGAAAGUCAUCUUUGGCUUACGUGCAUAGAUGGAUUUGGUAUAAUUAUGACCAGGAAUUAUUCGGUAUAAUCAUGACUGUAAUGUGACGAAUGAUGUGGUGAAAGUCCUCAUUGGCCUGUAGUUCAUUGAUGGACAGUUGUUGGUAUGAUUAUGACCAGGGAUUAUUCGGUAUAAUUAUGACCAUUGAUGAUUACACGAGUAUCCUUGGCCAUAAUGCAUGGAUGAUUCGAUUUUAUUUAUUAAGCUGAGUCUCAGCGAUAAAGUUGAUGAAAAACUUUUUAAGUCAUAGAAGAUAGUAGAUUUUAUACUCUAUAAUUGACUCUUCUAAUGGAUUGCUUAUUCCGCUGUAGUUUUUUAUCUAAAACUUAUUGUCUAUUAUAUUCUUUCAGUUGUUAUACUGUUGAAGGCUAAGGAUAAUUUAUUUUGCAUUAUCUUAGUAAUAAUAUUUCUUACUGGGCUUGUUGAGCUCACCCUUUUCUUUCAUGGUUCUCUUCAAGAAAUGAGAACGUAGCUGGGACUAGUCGGGGAACAGAGUGACGGUCCAGAUGUUUGGAUUAGUAGUCCUCACUAUUCUGUGAAAUAGUGUGAUAAUAAAUGUAAUGAGGACUCCAUUGAGUGUGGAUAUUGUCUAGAUGACAAUAUUCUUAUUAAAACUCUUAGAUUAUGUUUUGUCGUAUUUUACACGACUGUUGUACAAUUAAGUUGUAUUUGAAUUUUGUACCAUGUAUCUGGCGACUCAAGAUGGCUGAUGUAUACCUAUUUUGGUGGCGUCACAUUAACCCUAUUGUUAUAUAUAUUAUAUCCGAUUAUUGUUUAUCAACAUAAUAUUAUACUAUAUAAUUCAGAUAUAUAUUCUGUUCAUUAAUUUCUAAAAAUGAUUAUACAAGUGUCUCCACCUGGAUAAUCAUUGUAUUUAAUCACAUGUUGAUAUAUAUAUAUAUAUAUAUAUAUAUAUAUAUAUAUAUAUAUAUAUACCUAUUGAACCCCAGUAUGUAUACAUUAAGUAAAAGUCGUCUAAGCUAUUCGACCAGCUAGACACAAAUUUAGUUAUAUCGUUUAAUAUGACAAAACUUUUUUGUAUCCAAUCAAAUUAUUUUGGUUCGGAUUCCAGACUAAGUAUGAACAUCCCGAACAUGAGAAAACUUUUAUGCGCCCAAGGCGGACAGAGUAAACGAUAAUAUCUUUCUUUCAUGCAGUAUUGAUCAAUACAGGGUCCAUGGGAUGUAUACCCUCGUGCCCGUAAGUUAUGACGGUUUGCAGAUGAAGUUCUGUUUAACCUUUUUGAAAAUAGAAAACAAUGUGUAUGUCACCCUAACCCUAUAUAUAGUCAAUACAUAGUUUCAAAAAUGUGAGAUAGAGUUGAUAUGUUAUUAUUAUCAGUUUAGUUUACUUCACAACUAUUGAAUCGUUGUAGAAGUAAUGUACAAAGAAAACAUUUAAUUCUUUCAGAUAAUUAUAUUUAUAAUUGUUAUUACUUGCUGGGCACUCAAAUGCUCAUCCUUGCUUAAUUUAAAUGUUUUCAGCUAAGCGUGAUCAACCUGAAGGUUUAGACAAUAAUAAGUGAAAAGGAAAGCAAACAGAAUAUGUUUAACGGUAUCUUUUGUAAUAGUUAAACUGUAUUAAGAUAAUGAUAUGUAUUAUCUAUCAUGUAAAGAAUUAUAGUAAAUGUUGCGUACUUGGGAUUAGACUAUGAUAUUUGUAAAUUAAGUUUGAUUUUUAUAUUAUUGUUAUUAUUAUUAUUAUUAUUAUUCUGCUCAUAAAAAUGGUAUCGUGAAGCACCGAGUUCGGGUUUCAAGUACCUAAAUUUGGGGGCGUCACAGUAUGGUAUUAGAGCUAUAGGUUAGAAACCUUAGGUGGGUUAAACCUUAGGCUAUAACCUUAGAACAGAGGGGAACGUUGAAAAUACAAAUAACUCAUAUAGAGUUUAUAAGGAGAUGAAUUUAAUAAAUUCAUCGUGAAACAAAAUAAAAGAUAACUAAUAAAACUAUUAUUUGCUAUGUGUUUAUACUUAGUGUUAAUCCGGAUAAUUUAUUUGUAUAGAUGUCAGAUAGAAAAAGAAUUAGAAUACCCUCAGAUCAUAAAGAAAGAGCAAAUCUCCAUGACCGAGCCAAUAUUAAAGCUAAUAGCUGAAAUAGAGGCACACAUUGAAAACUACCUCAAAGAGGAGGUUAUUUUGGAAAGUAUAAUACCAGAUCCAGAGACGAUAGUAUAACAGAUAGGUUGAGUGUAGUUAAAGAAUAUAUGGUGAAGCUUGAGUUCUUAAACUCAUUUAUUUGUGGUAAGUUCUUAAACUCAUAAUGUGUAGUAAGAAAAAGGGAAGUAUUUUAGAAUACCUCAUAUCAUUCUCGAAUUACUACUUCAUCUCCUCACCAGCUCUUGAACCCUUGACCUCUAGAAACUCAAUAAUCAAACGAGUACCAAAUGUCUACAAGGAGGACUAGUAUAGUUAUGUGUUAAUGGAUUAUUGAGGAUAAUAGAAUAUAUAGAAUGCUAAGCAAUUGAUCAUUAGUAAAGACGUAAGAAAUAGAUAGUGUUAGUAUUACUUGAAUAGGUAUGAUUCUAUGUGGUGUAAAUGAUAAGUAUGUCUGUGUAAGGAAAUAUUCUCAACUUUUGUAUAAGUUAUGGCUGCGAUUCCUGACUUGUGUGUUAUAAAGGAAUAGCGGAUGUUUAAAGCAGUAUGUGCUAUGGUAUGUCAAGUGAUAUGAAUAUGAGUCUAUGUUGGAUUAACGAAAUAAGUUGAUAUAAAGAUAGUAAUUAUUUAUCUGAACACUGGUUAAUACAGUAAACCGAAUUUUCAAAAUCUAAAAUUUUGAGUACAUGAUUAUUUGAAUAGAAAGUUUUGCGUUAUUUGAGAUGCAUGUACGAUAAGGCUUAGAAUGUAAGUUAAUAAGAAUAAUUUAUGAUAAUGCCAUCGAGAAGAAGAACCUGUCAAUAAAGCUAGAAGAUAACCAGACCCGCCAUAUAAUUUUGCGAAUGUGGACGCUCAAGCUAUGCAGAACGGAAUCCCAGCCGCGGGAAAUCGGCCAGAUAAUCGAUCGACAAACUUUAGAGACUUCAAGGCAAUCGUACUGCCAAGAUUUAGAAGAUCAACUGAUCCUGUUGACGCGUUUGUGAUAGUUAGGGUAACAUAGGGGCAAAAAGACAGCUUUUGCCACCUAUACGAUGAAAGGAGAUAGUUUUGAUAAUACCUGAAAUAAGCCAAGAGUGUGAUGGAAAGGAAAGUUUGUGUGUUGCAAAUGUGGACAGGAGGGAUAUAUCUCUCCUAACUCUCCCAAUCCAAAAGUGUAUAGUGGGUGUUUUAUUUGUGAGUUAAGGGAGCAUAAGGUGAAAGACUGUUUAAGAAAGAGAAGGGAGGCAAGGAAUGCGAAUACGAGGAGAGGCAGCAGGACAUUGACGACAACGAGACCAACUUCAACAAACAAACUGACGGAAUCAACCGCAAGAGUCAUCAACAUGACUGUUUAGGAUUCGGUAGCAGCCGGGGAUGCAACUCCAAGUAUUACUCGAACCAAUUUUAUUUUCUUAUAUAUGAUUUUCUUAUAUAUAUAGUAAAUUAUUUUAUAAAUUAUUUUGAAGGAGGAAUUUGAGUUCUUUUAGAAAUCAAAUUUCUGUUUAUGAAGAUAGAUAAGCUUUUUGCUGAAUAGUUAAAGAUCAGUUAGAUCAAUUAUGAUCGAGAUCUACUUGCAAUGAUUGUAUAGGUUAUGUACCCUUAUAUGUAUAGGUUUUAAAACGGUGAUUCCGGGGACGAAAUCUUUAUAAGGGAGGGUGAAUGUAAUAACCCGAUAUUUUCUAUAUAAUUAAAUCAGAAAUUUUGUGUAUGAAUUUAUUUAUUUAUUUAUUUAUUAAAGUUGGAAAUAUGUGCCAGGUAAUGUGUAUAUGUAUAUAUGUGAUAAAUAAAAUAUAUUUAUUGCAUGAAUAAUUACCAAUAGUUUUAUUUUAGAAUUAUUGCUCAUUAUAAAUUAUAUUAUAAUAAUAAUUAGUUUUAUAGUAGAAAUGUUUUUAUUAAUUCUAUUCUAUGAAAAUGUGUUUAUAUAUUAUUUAAAAAUUAUAUGAAAUGAUUAAAGACUUAUUAUAAUGAUUAUUCUGUUUUAUUAUAUGAAUUUUAGUUCAGAUUAUUUAAGUUAAUUAUUUUAACUUAAUUAUUAUUGUUAUGUAUGCAAGAUAAAUCAGAUAUGGAAUCCAAAUCCUAAUUUUGGAUUUUGAACAACGAAUGAGAAUAAUAAUAUAAUAUUAAUUAUAUUUUUAUUCUUCAGUGCUAUAAAUAUGUAUGUUAUGUUUGUAAGGUUAAUCUGGGGAGCAAUUUCCUUAUGACCUGAUAAAACCCUAAUUUGAAAGUCAAUUACGACUGUAAAAUCUGUUAAGUCAUUGUGAUAUGUGGUAUAUGAUUUGUAUUAUAAGUAUUAAUGUUAAUUAUAUAAAACCCUAAUUAGUAAUUUAAAACUCUAUUUUUCUUAUAUUAGAAACCCUAAACAGUAAUUAGCUAUCCGCUAAGUGGAAACCCUAAUUUAAAACUCAACUAUGAGUUUGAGACUAUUAUGUAACUGUGUUAUUAUGUUUAAGGUUAAGUAUUAUAGAAUUUUAUAUUAAUUAGAGAAACCCGAAUUAACAUUUAGAAAUCCUAAUUUCCAGAAACCCUAAUUUCUAAAUUAGUAAACCUAAUUUCUAAAUUAGUAACCCUAAUUUACUAAAAUAAAAUCCUAAUUGUUAAUUUAGCACGCUUAAUGAUAAUUAGUAAAAUCUAAACCUAAUUUUCAAGUCUAUGUAAUGAGGAAACCAAAUUAAUUACGAAACCUUAAUUUGUAUUUUUAGAAACUAAAAAUUUCAAUUUUUGUUUAAAUUAGAAAUCCUACAACACUUUGUGCUAAACCUUAUGGUCAAACCCUAAGGGUCAAACCCUAAGUGUUUGAUAAGUUACUAGUUUGCCCUUAAAUUGGUUAGCCAAAUGACAAAAAUACCCCUCUUGCAUUAUUGGACAUAACUUGUAAGACUAACCAAUUUUGAGUUGCUCAACAACUCUUACCAGCCCCAUUUGACUAAAAUGCCAGCAAUUAGCCAACUUGAUUUCAUGUUAUAUAUAGAGAGAUCAGGAAAGAGAAAUUUCAUUUAUUAGCCACAUUUGUACAAAAAACUCCUUACCAACUCUCUCUCUCCCAAAACCCACGAAAUGUUGUAGUAGAUCAGUCCCAUAUUAAAGCCCCACUAACACACUUAACCAAAUCAGCAGCCAGAAUCAAGAAUUGAUGUUUAAAGGUAUAAAAUCCUAAGUUAAAGUUUUGAUCUUGUAUGCUAUAUUGGAUUUAUGGUUUUUAUGUUUAAUCAUGUAGAAUAAGGUGUUAAUAGGUGAUCUGGGUUGGCACAUGUUAGAUCCAUAACAUCAAAGUGCUCGAAAUCUAAGUUUUUCAAAAUCUGGAAUUUUUUGUUUUUGUUGUCUGACAGCGAAUGUCAGGCCUUGUAGAUCUGUGCUUGUUUAUUGUUUUGAUGAUUUAAAGGUUUGAAGUGGUAGUUUGGUAUGAGGUCUUUCAUAUGAAAGUGGAAUCACUGUUAUUGGAUGUCUAGAUCGAAAGUUAUUGAUGGUCAAAAGUCGUUGACCAACCAUGACCGAGUGUAAAUCUGGGCAACCCAGAAAGCUUUUUCAGCGUCUGACAAUGUUUUGGAAGGCUUAGAUCUGUCAGUGUGUAAAUGAUUUGAUGAUGUUAUAAUAUACAGUUUAUAGCCUGUCAUAUGUACUUUAUAUUUGUGGCUUUAGAUCCUUUAAACAAACAAUUGAUCAAACUUAGUGGAUGGUCAAACUUGGCCCCUCGGUCACGAUUUCAUUUCUGGGAAUUUCCAGAAAAUCGGAAGAACAGCCCUCUGACAGGGUUUGACCAAGUUAUAUCUUGUAGAUCUGUUGAUGUUAAACUGAUUUGUUGUUAUAUUAUUGUUCCUGGACAUAAGGACUACAUCUUUGAGGCAUUAGAUCACUUGAAUCAUGAACGGAACCUAGAUUAAAUCGAGGAUGAAAGUGACUGGUCGACCACCUGGGUUUCUGGAAAACCCAGGAAUGCUCUGACAACAUAUUUGCAAGCCUAGAUCUCCUUGUGUGUUUGUUGUAUGACCUAGAUAUUGAUUGCUAGUUAUAGUGUUGUAUAAUGACUUCAAUAUUGAUGCUUAAGUUUGCCCAGAAACGAAUUAGACAGAGAAUUAUUAGUGGUCAAAGUUGACCCCUCAAACACAAAGCUAUAAGUGUUCUUGAGCUCAAGAACACCAACAGCGACGCUUACUGUCGCUAAAAGCCAAUAACGACGGUUUCUAAUACUUUUAAUUUCUGAUUUUUCGAAAAAUACUUAAAAAUAGAAAAUAAAUUAUAAAAAUUACAAAAAUGGUUUUAAAAAUUAUUUUCAAUUAUGAAAAAUAACUUUUAAUUAUUUGGGAUAUUUUUCAUUAAUAUUUAUAUAUUUUUUAAUAUUAAUAAUAUUUAAUUUAUUUAAUUAGUGUAUUAAAUAAACUAGAGAAAAAUGAUUUUAAUGUUAUAAAAAUCAAUUGAAAUAAGAAUAAAGUGUUUAAAAAUAUUUUUGAGUUAUAUAUGUAACUUUUAAUAUUUUUGUGAUGAAUUUCAUUAAUUAAUUAAUAUUGGUGAUAAUUAAGUAAUUUAAUAAAUGUAUUAAAUAAAUUAUGAAAAAUAGAAUUUGUGAUUUAAAAAUCAUAUAAAAGUGAUUUAAAGAUUAUAAAAAAAUAUUUAAAGUUAUAAAAUAUAACUUUUGAUAUUUUGUCAUGAAAAAUAUUAAUAAUUUAAUAUUAAUAAUAUUAGAUUUAUUUAAUGAUUAUAUUAAAUAAUUUAGUUUAAAAAUAAUUUUAUUAUUAUAAAAAUCAUUUUAAAUGAAAAUAAAGUGUUUAAAGAUAUUUUAAGUUAUAAAAUAUAACUUUUAAUAUUUAAAGGAUAAUUUCAUUAAUAAUUUAAUAUUAAUGAUAUUAAUUUAAGAUUUAUUGAUAUUAAAUUUAUUUAAUAAUUAUAUUAAAUAAAUAUUUUUAAAAUGGUUUUAUUAGUUUAAAAAUCAUUUAAAAGGAUAUAAUUGAAUUAAAAAUAUUUUAAGUUGGAAUUAAUGACGUUUAAUAUUUGGAUAAAUAGUAAAUUAAUAUUUUAAUAUUAAUGGUAAUUAUUUAAAAAUGAUUUUAAAUGUUUUAAAAAUCAUUUAAGGGUAGUAUUAGUACUUUAAAAAUAUUUUGAGUUAUUAUCAAUAACUUUAAUAUUUUGGUAAUGAUUAUAUUAAUAAUUUAAUAUUAAUUAAAUAUUAAUGAUAAUAUGAUUAUGUACUAUUUAAAUCAUUUAAUUAUGAUUCCAGUGUUUGAAAUUUCAUAAUAAAUUAUAAUAAAUGUUUAAAAAUUAUUAUAAGUCAUUUAAAAAUAAUAUGAUUGAUACUUGUAGAUAUUGAGAUACAAUAUAGAGUCUUAGACUCGAUAUUUACCCAAUAAAGCCGUCGGUAGACCGACAUAUUUUAAAAAUUGAUCUAGACUUAGAUAUUUGACUGUAUUAAUGUUUGUUUGUGAUUUAAUGAUUGUUGAAUAUGUGUGACAAUGUGAUUAGGUUAUGUCCUAACUGCAAUAAGAAGUGCUAUGUGUUAUAGUAUGUUAUUCUAAUCGAACAAAUGAUUUUAUUAAUGAUAGGUUUUGGUAUUAAAGAUAAAACUAAGUUGUGUAUUGUAAGUAGCAGACCAGACAAGUAUCCUAUCUUUGCAUUUUCAUUAUGCAAUGGACAUGAGUAAGAAGUUUAGAACUGUAUUACUACUGUAUCAGAUUAUUAACCCUAUUGUUAUAUAUGUUAUAUCCGAUUAUUGUUUAUCAACAUUGUGACGACCCCAAAAUAGUUAUACAACACCCAUUCUGAGUCGCCAUAAUACAUGGUACAGAAAGAAAACUACAACUUCACUAUUACAAUUGUCAUGCAAAAUACGACAACACAUACUGUGAGUUUAAAUACAAAUAUUGUCUUCUAGACAAUAUCCACAAUCAAAUAAGUCCUCAAUACAUUUAUUAAUACAUUAUUUUACAAAAAUAGUGAGGACUGCUAAAAUAACUAUCUUGAAUCAUCACUCCAUACCCCGGCUAGUCCCUGCUAUAUUCUCACCUCCUGAGAAGAAAAAUGGAACAACAAGAAAAAGGGUGAGUUCAACUAGCCCAGUAAAGAAUAUUAUGACUAAGAUAAUAUACAACAAAUUAUCAUUAGUCCUCAACAGGGAAAAAUCUGAUAGAAUAUAAUAGACAACAAGUUUUAGAUCAGCAAAUGCAGCGGAAACAACAAUCCAUUAGAAGAGUCACGUAGAGAAUGAGUUCUACUAUCUUCUAAGAUUUAAAAGUCCAUCAUCAAUAUUUUAUCCCUGUAACAACAAUCAAUAUACAUCUUUACACUACAGGCCAAAGAUAUUCAUUUAAAUCACCAGUCGGUCAUGUUCAUCUCAACACCUGUUCAUCUUUGCACUACGGGCCAAAGAUAUUCAUCAGUUUAUCAUUCAUCUUUGCACUACAGGCCAAAGAUAUUCAGUAAUAUCAUCAUUUAGGACUGAGGAUGAUGAAAAAUAUUUUUUUUUAAAGAAACGAAUCCAGUGAAACAAAAGGACAAGGAUUAAGAAUUCGUACUUUAGUUUGUCCAAAUUCAAAAAUACUCCAUAAUAAACAAUUAUGGGACAAAUUUUAAGAAUGAAGAUCAAAACAUGGAUAUAAUCAAAGCUAGUAUCAUAAUGGACAUUUUGGAUAAAAAGGAAAUUUUUUAUUUUUCGGUGAAUAAUGUCGUAUUCGUGAAUAGUGCUGUAUACGUGAAUAGUGCCGUAUACGUGAAUAGUAACCCCGACACAAAAAGUUCCAAAUUUGAUAAAAAGAUCAGAUCAAUAUUUCGACGUAAUGAUAUUGACGAAAAUAAUAUCAUUCAUGAAGAAAAUAAUAUUCCUUACCUCAAAGAAGCAGUACUUCGGAAUGAAAGGUCGGAAGUGAUGCUGAAUGAAACUUGUACUGAACAACAACUCUCAAAGUAUCUAAAUACUCACAAAAUACGCUCGAUAAUAUAGAGAGAAAGAGAGAAAGCUUAUGUUUCUUGUGUGAUUUUCAAUUCUAACUUAGCCAUCUAUUUAUAGAAAAAUGUUAACCCGCCGAAGCAGACUUGACCUGCUACCUGAUGGCUUUACCUGUUACUAUUGCCACCCACCACAUUUAAAAUUCAAUUUGAGCACAUUUCUCACCAACCACAAGUGGGGCCCAUUCAAUUCUAGAAUUUUCCACCAAAAUCAUUUAUAACCCUAAUUUCCGAAGCAGUCACCUCUUAAAAUUCAUAACAAAUCAUUCGUUCAUUUUUAACGGUUCAAAAUUUGUGGACAUAUACCCAACUUAUAUAUGUAUAACAUAACCAAAAAUCACAACAAUCCAACGGUCAGAGUAAAAAUUAUAACUCACGCAAUAUAUCGUAAAAAUACUGAUUUGAUUUUUAAUACCUCCAUUCCGACAAAAAUAUAGAUAAAACACCUCAACAUUAACUCCUUCAAUUAUAAUCACAUAAAAUAAACAAAUCCAUCAUUUAUAUAAAAUAAAUAUUUCCUUAUCAUAUAAAUCAAUAAUUAAUUAUUCACAAAUAAUAUUAUAGAAUCACAAUUAUGACAACCAAGCCGUUUCCAGGAAAGAGGGGGCUUUCCAAUAAGGAUUUCUCCUUACUGGCGCGCAAUUAGAUGACCUAACCUCUCCUUAACAGAACUUUCUAGACAUUGCCAAUAAUGCUAUCUAAUAAUAUUAUUAAAGCAAUAUGAAUUAUUGAUCUGAUAAUGGGAAAUACUGUGCAGUAACAAUAAUUGAAAUAAUAAUAAUAUAAAAUAUCAACGCAGCAAUUAUUGAAUCAAUAAAAUAAAAUAUUAAACAGUAACUACUGUAACAAUUAUUGAGUAGUGCCUUCUUACGUAAGAAUCAAUAAUUCAACUAUACUGUGUAAUACCGUGUGCUACUGUGCAACUACGCGUAUUACUGUAUUUUAACCACCAGGUAAUCCAACAGUGUUAACGGUAACAACUGCGCCGUUAUUUAUAAAAACACAUACUUGUCGUUUUCCUUCAUCCAACCAUUUUUCAUUAUGGGGCCCACAAAUGGCUGCGCCGUCGUACGAAUAUUCCCUGACAGCAAGAAUAUUCCACGACGAAACGAAUAUUCCCCGACAACAAUGAAUAUUUUAUAACCACUUGCUUAUUUUGCAAAAUUUGCUUAUCUCAUCCAUAACCAAAAUAUUAUAUCAAAUUAACACCUUAUUAUUCACAAUAAUAAUAAUUAGAGGAAAUUCAAUUUCAUUUAUAAAAAGUUGGGGUCUUACAAACAUGAUAUUAUAUUAUAUAAUUCAGAUAUAUAUUCUGUUCGUUAAUUUCUAAAAAUGAUUUAAUCACAUGUUGAUAUAUAUAUAUAUAUAUAUAUAUAUAUAUAUAUAUAUAUAUAUAUACCUAUUGAACCCCAGUAUGUAUACAUUAAGUAAAAGUCGUCUAAGCUAUUCAACUAGCUAGACACAGAUUUAGAUAUAUCAUUGAAUAUGAUAAAACUUUUUUGUAUCCAAUCAAAUUGUUUUGGUUCGGAUUCCAGACUAAGUAUGAACAUCCAGAACAUGGGAAAACUUUUAUGCACCUAAGACGGACAGAGUGAAUGAUAAUAUCGUUCUUGCAUGCAGUAUUGAUCAAUACAGGGUCCUUGGGAUGUACACCCUCGUGCCCAUAAGUUAUGACGGUUUGCAAAUGAAGUUCUACUUUACCUUUUUGAAAAUAGAAAAUAAUGUUCAUAAUAUGUCACCCUAACCCUAUAUAUAGUCAAUACGUAGUUUCAAAAAUGUGAGAUAGAGUUGUUAUGUUAUUAUUAUCGGUUUAGUUUACUUCACAACUAUUGAAUCGUUGUAGAAGUAAUGUACAAAGAAAACAUUUAAUUCUUUCAGAUAAUUAUAUUUAUAAUUGUUAUUACUUGCUGGGCACUCAAAUGCUCAUCCUUGCUUAAUUUAAAUGUUUUCAGCUAAGCGUGAUCAAUCUGAAGGUUUAGACAAUAAUAAGUGAAAAGGAAAGCAAACAGAAUAUGUUUAACGGUAUCUUUUGUAAUAGUUAAACUGUAUUAAGAUAAUGAUAUGUAUUAUCUAUCAUGUAAAGAAUUAUAGUAAAUGUUGCGUACUUGGGAUUAGACUAUGAUAUUUGUAAAUUAAGUUUGAUUUUUAUAUUAUUGUUAUUAUUAUUAUUAUUAUUAUUCUGCUCAUAAAAAUGGUAUCGUGAAGCACCGAGUUCGGGUUUCAAGUACCUAAAUUUGGGGGCGUCACAAAUAUGGCUCAGUUAUUGGAGCGCGAUAAUGAGUCAACCCAACCAAGAGAGAGUAGCCGACAAAAUGAUAAUACCAGUGGUAGCAGUCAUCGAAGCGGUGUCAACAAACGUGGAGGGAAUCAACAUGCUAGAAAUGGUAACCACUUCGGUAGUAAUCAUGGCGAAGAUAAUAAAAAUGGAAAUUUCAAGAAGAGGAGAAUCAACAAUGAUGGAAAGACGUCAGCACCAGAACCCGUUGGUAAGGAAGGAGAACGACCAGCGAUCGUAUGCUACAAAUGCGGAGGGGAGGGAUACAUCAGUCCAAACUGUGCGCAGCCGUCCAAAAUGUAUUAUAAUUAUGGAAGAGAAGGUCACCUAGCUCGAUUUUGUCUUGCAAGGAAGCCAAGUCAAGCUGGGAUGGAGGCACCAAAGGUCAUCCCAGAAAAGUCAAAACCAGUAGUUCAAGGGAGAGCGUUUUUCGUGACCUCCCAGAAAGCAAGGAACCUGAACGAGGUUAUCAUGGGUAAGCUAAUCAUAAACUCUAGCGAAGUAUAUACCUUAUUUGAUAACGGUUCUACCCAUUCUUUUAUUUUACUAUUGGCACUCAACGUUUAAAUUUAACUCUGGAGAAAUUAGACUUUGACUUAUCUGUUAAAACUCCGUUGGGAGAAACCUUCAUUACAUCCACUGUUUAUAAGUCUUGUUUAGUUCAAAUCGGUACCCUCACAUUACCUGUCGAUCUUAUUUCUUUAAAAAUACUUGCAUUUGAUGUGAUUUUAGGGAUUGAUUGGUUAACUACUCAUCAUGCAAAAAUUGAUUGUUUUCGUAAGGUUGUUAGCUUUCAUAUUCCUAACCAACCUAUUAUGCGAAUUCAAGCAACCAAACCACUAAAGUCAAUCACUGUCAUAUCAAGCCAUAAAGCUAUUCAUUUAUUGAAAAAUAGAUGUCAAGCUUUCUUAGCCCAUGUCACAAAUUUAAACAAAAAUACGUCAUAUUUGAAUGAUAUUUCUAUUGUUAAUAAAUUUCCAGAUGUAUUCCCUGAAGAACUUCCUGGCCUACCCCCAGAGCGUAAAAUUGAGUUUGUAUUGACCUCGAACUCGGUAAAAGACCCAUUUCCAAAGCCCCAUAUCGAAUGGCUCCUAUUGAACUUCAGGAGUUAAAAACCCAACUGCAGGAGUUGUUAGACAUCUGUUUCAUUUUUCCUAGUACGUCUCCUUGGGGUUCUCCUGUUCUAUUCGCAAAGAAGAAAGAUGGGAGUAUGCGACUUUGUAUUGACUAUCGGGAGUUAAAUCAUGUCACUAUCAAAAAUAGGUACUCGUUGCCUCGCAUUGAUUACCUGUUUGACCAGUUGUAAGGAGCCAAAUUCUUUUCAAAGAUCGAUCUUCGUUCUGGAUAUCACCAGUUAAAGAUUAAAACUGAUGACAUCCGAAAGACUGCUUUCAGAACUCGGUACAGGCAUUAUAUAUGAAUUCCUAGUCAUGCAUGUCCGUUGGAUUGACUAAUGCUCCUGCUGCUUUCAUGGAUAUGAUGAACCGAGUAUUCAAGGAAUAUUUGGAUCAUUUUGUGGUCAUUUUUAUUGAUGACAUCCUCAUAUACUCCAAAAUCCGUGAAGAUCAUGAGCAACACUUGAGGUUUAUACUUCAAAAGUUUCGUGAAAACAAGCUUUAUGCCAAGUUGAAGAAAUGCGAGUUCUGGCUUAAGGAAGUGGCAUUCCUUGGGAACGUGAUAUCAAUUCACGGAAUAUCUGUUGACCCAUUGAAGAUUAAAGCAAUUCAGAGCUGGGAGCAACCUAAGUCAGUGACCGAAGUACGUAGCUUUCUGGGCUUAGCUGGUUAUUAUCGGAGAUUCAUGGAUGGAUUUUCUCGAAUUGCUACUCUAUUAACUCAGCUGACUCGAAAAGAUACAAAAUUCGGUUGGAGCGAGGAAUGUGAGAAAAGUUUUCAAGAACUCAAGAGAAGACUCAUUUCAGCACCUGUUCUGAUAAUACCAUCUGGCUCGUAGGGAUUUAUCAUCUACAAUGAUGCUUCAGGCAAAGGGUUAGGAUGUGUUCUCAUGCAACAUGGGAAAGUCAUAGCCUAUGCAUCAUGACAACUCAAAGAAUAUGAGAGGAAUUAUCCUACUCAUGAUCUAGAGUUGGCAGCUGUCGUUUUUGCGCUUAAGAUUCGGAGGCAUUACCUGUAUGGAGAGAAUGUGGAGAUCUAUACGGAUCAUAAAAGCCUCAAAUAUUUCUUCACUCAAAAGGAGCUCAACAUGCGACAACGACGUUGGCUUGAGCUAUUGAAAGACUACGAUCAUACCAUUUAAUACCAUCUUGGAAAAGCGAACGUAGUAGCUGACGCAUUGAGUAGAAGAUCAUAUGCGGGUACGAGUGCGAUAUUGUUAACGCAAAGACCCAUUUUGUAUGACUUACAAAGGAUGGAAAUAGAGUUAAAGACUCUAGGGACCCAAGUGAUGAUGGCAAAUAUACGAUUAGAACCGACUUUAAUCGAUAAAGUUAAAGCUGCUCAACUUACGGACCUGGAGCUGAUGCGUAGUAGGAAGAAAGUACAAGGUGCUAUCCUGGAAGCAAGAAUCGAUGAAGAAGGAAUACUAUGAGUCAACUCUAGACUUUGUGUUCCUAACGACCCUAAUUUAAAGUAUAAAAUCAUGAUGGAGGCGCACAACACACCGUUUGCAAUCCAUCCUGGGAGUACCAAAAUGUAUCGUGAUCUUCGACAUAUAUUUUGGUGAAGUAAUAUAAAGAGAGAGAUAACAGAGUUUAUCUCAAGAUGUUUAACUUGUCAACGUGUCAAGGCGGAGCAUCAAGUGACAAAAGGUCCAUUGCAACCACUUGAAAUUCUAGAAUGGAAGAGGGAGCACAUUACCAUAGAUUUUGUUAUUGGUCUUCCCAAGGUUUCUCAAGGCAUAGUUGCAAUUUGGGUCAUUGUUGAUAGAUUGACCAAGUCUGCUCAUUACUUACCUAUACGAGAAACCUAUACACUUGAACGUCUUGCUCGUAUAUACAUAAACGAGAUUGUAAGACUGCAUGGUAUACCAGUAUCCAUAGUUUCUGAUCGAGACCUAAGAUUACUUCACGAUUUUGGGUCAGUUUGCAGAAAGCUAUGGGCACGGAUUUGCGAUUCAGUUCUUUGAUGCCCCCAAAAUAGGUAUACAUCACCCAUUUUGAGUCGCCAGAUACAUGGUACAAAAUUCAAAUACAACUUAAUUAUACAACAGUCGUGUAAAUACGACAAAACAUAAUCUAAGAGUUUUAAUAAGAAUAUUGUCCAUCUAACAAUAUCCACAAUCAAUGGAGUCCUCAUUACAUUUAUAAUCACACUAUUUCACAGAAUAGUGAGGACUACUAAUACAAACAUCUGGACCGUCACUCUGUUCCCCGACUAGACCCAGCUACGUUCUCAUUUCCUGAAGAGAACCAUGAAAGAAAAGGGUGAGCUCAACUAGCCCAGUAAGAAAUAUUAUGACUAAGAUAAUGCAAAAUAAAUUAUCCUUAGCCUUCAACAGUAUAACAACUGAUAGAAUAUAAUAGACAACAAGUUUUAGAUCAAAAACUGCAGCGAAAUAAGCAAUCCAUUAGAAGAGUCAAGUAGAGCAUAAAAUCUACUAUCUUCUAUGAUUUAAAAAGUUUUUCAAAAUUUUUAUCGCUGAGACUCAGCUUAAUAUAUAUAUAUAUAUAAAAGCAAUAAACGCACCGGAUGUAGACUUACAGUGGACUGCCAAAGUAGACUUCUUGGACUGCAAAUGGAUGAACACUCGUCUCUCGCCGGACUAAAAGUAGCUAUAUACGAGCUAACUAGUGUUUAAAGAAAAGGAAACACUCAAAAGAUGUGUAUGCAGAGCUAAACGGACAGGGCUUCCUCGCCUUUUUCCCUCUCUUCCUUCUCUCAAAUGGCUGACCCCCCCUCUAUAUUUAUAGACGGAUGGCCGCAGGUCUACCUGCGGCUGGUCGUGGUGGGCCCGGGCAUCGCGGGUCUCGUCGUCUUGUAGUACGUGCACUUGCGCACGGUAAUGUCCAAUCGAACUUUCAGAACUUCAAUCCUAGCAUCCAAACGAAGCGUGUCUGUACUUCUUCGGACCGCUGGUGUCGAGAGUUACGUAAUGACAUGGAUUAGAGGUUGUACGAAGUCAGGAAGCGGGGUAUAUGCCCAUGGUCUUCAGGCUUCAAAUUCUAUCCAAAGUAUUGUCACAGGUAAUAGUCACUCGGGAUUGUCAUUCCUCGGUUAUUUGGGACAUUGUUGUAUGUAUGUAUGUCUGAAAGGUUGAGACGACGUGCCAUUUGUUGGACGAACAAGAUGAUGUUUGACUCUUUGCCGGAGUUAUCGCCUGGUUGAGCUGAAAGUAACCGUUGCUCAGGUUACAUCUGAGAUUGGACUACUUGUUGGUAUGCUGCUAUAUCAUCUUGUUACGAGAUGACGUUGGUGACUCCUCACCGGGUUUAUCGCCGGUUUAAGCGGAAAGCAGACGUUGAUCAGGGUUACAGCUAAGAUUGGACCGCCUAUUUGUAUGCCUCACUGUCAUCUGUGAUUGAAGCUGAUUGCAUGUGUUUGCAACAAGCAAUUCUGGAGUUAUCGCCGGAACUGCGAUGGCAUCACUUGGGGUUAUCACCAAGGAUGGGACUACUACUCCCAAUGUUGUCUCUGGGACUGGAACUGAACGUCGCGGUGUCAUCACCGAGACAGGACUGUCCUCUCCGGUGUUGUUGCCGGUCUUUUGAUCUGCACAUCUCGGGGUUAUCUCCGAGAUUGGAAAUGACGUGCCCGGUGUGUGUUCCGGGUUUGGAACCGAUGCUCCCGGUUUGUGUUCCGGUUUGGAGCGAAACUUCCGGUAGUAUCUGGACUUGUUGUGAGCUGUCUUUCAGGGUUAUCUCCAAAAGACGAAUCUACCCUCCUGCAAUGUUAGUAAUAGGAGUGCAGAAAAUUUCGAGUGUCUACAACACCUAGCAACCCAGAUCAUCACUAUAGACUAAAAACAACAUAUUCUAACACCCAAACAUAACAUUUAACAACAUAUCAAAGGUCAGAUUUUUAGGUUUAGUGUUAUACCUUCUUGCUCAAUUUCUUGAUUUUAUGUUACUGAUUUGUUAUGGGAUUUCGUGGGGCUUGAAAAUGGGACAAAAAUGCUAUAGAUUUUCGUUGGUUCUAGUGAGAGAAGCUCUUGGUUGAGUGUUGUGCAAUUUUUAGUGAACAAAUGCAUUUUCUCUAUCCUUAAAUCUAUUUAUAGACAAAUUAGAUACAUGAAUGGCUGAGCUAGAACUUGUUGUUGUCAAUUUAGUGUCACAUGGCUACUCUAGGGUUAGCCAACCACUCCAUCUAGACCUAUUUCUACAAGCAAGCUUCAAUAAUACAAUAGGGCACAAAAGUCUUUUGGCUAGCAAUUUUAAGGGCAUUUUUAUAACUUGUCAAACCCUUAGGGUUUAACCCUUAGGGUUUAGCACAUAACACAAAUGAUUUUUAGCAACUUAGGGUUUGAAUAAAAUAAAAUUAUUUUAGCUUCUAAAAUUUGAAAAUCAAGAUUUGUUAAUUAGAUUAAGUUAGUAAUUAUAUUAUACAUGAACAUUAGGGUUUAGUACCACUAAUCAUAAUUAACCUUGCCAAAAUAGCAAUUAGGGUUUAAGAUUUUAAUAAUUAGGAUUUCUAAAACUCAAUUAGGAUUUUCUAAUUAUCCAAUUAGGGUUCUGAACAUUAGGGUUUUAAUUUAAUAAUUAUGUUUACCAUAAUUAGCAAUUAAAGUCUAUUGUACGUGUUAUUAAUCACAGUAACAUAAUUUUUGACAGAUAAAAUUCUUCAGUUUAAGUUUUGAUUUAGGGUUUCUAAUAUCAGAAAUUCAAAUCUAAUUAGGGUUUGACAUUUAUAAUUAGGGUUCCCUAAUUGGCAUAUCAUUAUGUAACACAACAUAUAACACAGUUAUAUAACAGUCUCAAAUUUCCCAUUUAAAUUGAAAAACAGGGUCAAACCAAUUAAUGCUAGGGUUUGGUCAAUAUACACCAUAAUUGACCAACCAUCAACAGUACGUACAUACAGUACAUAUUUAUGGCACUGAGAAAUUAAAAUAUUAUAAUAUUAUAUAUUAUUCUCAUGCCUUGAUCAAAACCCAAAAUUAGAGUUUGGAUUCCGUAUCUGAUUUAUCUGCCAUAAAUAACCUUAUUAAUUAAGUUAAAAUAAUUAACUUAAUAAUCUGAACAAAAUUCAUAUAAUAAAAUAAUUAUUAUAAUUAUUCUAACAUCAUUUCAUAUAUUACUUAUAUUUUCAAGGAAAAUAAUUAAUAAAACAUUUCUAAUAUAAAAUUAACUGUUAUAAGAAUAUAAUUUAUAAUAAUUAAUAUUUCUAAAAUAAAUCAAUUUGUAAUAAUUAAUGUAAUAAAUUUUAUUUAUCACACAUAUAAUUAUACACAUAUUACCUUGGCACAUAUCACCCAUAUUUAUUUUAAUAAAUAAUAAAAAAAAAAUUUAUACGCAAAAUUUAUGAUUUAUUUAUAUAGAAAAUAUCGGGUUGUCACAUUCUUCACAUUCAUCAGAUUCGGGUGUGUAGCUUGAGCGGCUUUAACUUUAUCGAUUAAAGUCGAUUCUGCUCGUAUAUUCGUUAUCUUCACGUGGGUCCUUAGAGUCUUUAACUCUAUCUUCAUCAUUUGUAAGUUAUACGAAAUGGGUAUUUGUGUUAACAACAUCGCACUUGUAAACACAUACGAUCUUCUACUCAAGGCGUCAGCUACUACGUUCGCUUUUCUACGAUGAUAUUGAAUGGUAUAGUCGUAAUCUUCAAUAGCCCGAGCCAACGUCUUUGGCGCAUGUUACGUUCGUUUUAAGUGAAGAAAUAUUUGAGGGUUUUAAAAAUGGGUUUUGUACUGGGGUCAAUACAAAAUUUGAUUUCACGCUCUAGGGGUAGGCUAAGAAGUCUUCAGGAAUACGUCAGGAAACUUAUUAACGAUAGAAAUAUCAUUCAAAACUGUGACUCUCAUCCCAAGACUUGGAUAGCCCGUCAUAUUGAUACCUAUCAACUUGCCACCGUUAUUCACGGCGUCCCCUACGGAUAGUCUGGCUUCGGUGUAUUCCAAGACUUGGAAGUCAUCAGCGAAAGGCUUAGGUCUCUUUACUUAUGGCUUGAUAUGACAAUGAUUGGCUUUAGUGGUUUGGUUGCUUGAAUUCGCAUAACAGGUUGGUUAGGAAUAUGAAAGCUAACAACCUUACGAAAAGCAUGAUGAGUAGUUAACCAAUCGACUCCUAAAAUCACAUCAAAGGCAAGUAAUUUCAAAGAGAUAAGAUCGACAGGUAACGUGAAAGUGUCGAUUUGAAUUAAACAAGAUUUAUAAACAGUGGAUGUAAUUAACGAAGGUUUCUCCUAACAUAGUUUCAACCGAUAAGUCAAAGUCUAAUUUCUCCGGAGUUAAGUUCAAACAUUGAACACAACUAGGUGAAAUAAAAGAGUGAGUAGAACCGGUAUCUAACAAGGUAUAGACUUCGCAAGAGUUUAUGAUUAACUUACCCGUGAUAACUUUAUUCAGGUUUCUCGUCACGAAAAACGCUCUCUCUUAAACUACUGAUUUUGACUUGUCUGGGACAUCCCAGUUGGACUUAACUUUGCUGUAGAGUACAUUCCACCCUUAAUUGCUUCAUCACAUUCCUGAUCCAUGAUUCGAAUCAUUACUCUCUGAUCCAUAUCGAAUUGGGGUUAACCGCUCUGCACAGGGUAAUUUCGAAUUCGAUGUUGGAUUCUCCCAAUUGUUGUCCAAAAAGCAAAAUCCAUUUCAUCUAUUUUAGCCUUAUUGGAUCUGACGUCUUUUUCUACAAUAUCUACACGUCGUGCGACUUUUACCCAUGCAUCAUCUAUUCUCAUUCGUUCAGUUGUUUUUUCUUUCAUCAGAACUUUGAUCAUAGCAUUCUUAAAUUCCAGCUCUAAUAUCUUAUACUCUGCCAAAGAGUGCUUCUGUUCGAGCAUCGUACAUCGGGUAACACAAUUUUGAAUUGCUACAUCUCUUUGCUCCACGACCGCCUGUCGUUCUUCAGCCUGCUCUUCUAGCUCAUGAAUACAAUUUUGUAAUUCUAAAUUUCGAUCAUAAAAUUCUUCUAAUAAAUUCACCUCAGGUUCCUCUUCUUCCUCACUCUCAGCUGCUACCUCUGCAACUAGCUCGAGUGCAACUAUUAGUUCUUCACUCACCAUGUAGAUAUCUCUAAUUUCUUCUUCGUUUGACAUCACAUUAACCUGGUUAGUGAUUAAAGGUGUCUCAACGAUCUCAUUCACUGCAUUGUUAAUAUUUUUAGCCGCCAUUUUUAAAUACUGUCAUAAAACAAGGGUGAAUUAACAUAUCACAUAUUAUCAAUAUAUUAUGACCGACCAAUUAAAUACCAAAUAAACUUAGGUAGGUCAUACUAGCAAAGGAAUUCCCCGUCUCUCCCCUCCUAGUUCUUGUCUCACAUCUCAGCCAGGGAUCAUAUCCCUAAGCUUUGAUACCAACUGUGACGCCCCCAAAACAGGUAUUCAUCACCCAUCUUGAGUCGCCAAAUACAUAGUACAAAAUUUAAAUACAACUUAAUUAUACAACAGUCGUGUAAAAUACGACAAAACAUAAUUUAAGAGUUUUAAUAAGAAUAUUGUCAUCUAGACAAUAUCCACACUCAAUGGAGUCCUCAUUACAUUUACUGUCACACUAUUUAACAGAAUAGUGAGGACUACUAAUGCUAACAUCUGGACCGUCACUCUGUUCCCCGACUCGUCCCAGCUAUAUUCUCAUUUUCUGAAGAGAACAGUGAAAGAAAGGGUGAGCUCAACUAGCCCAGUAAGAAAUAUUAUGACUAAGAUAAUGCAAAAUAAAUUAUCAUUAGCCUUCAAUAGUAUAACAACUGAUAGAAUAUAAUAGACAACAAGUUUUAGAUCAAAAACUGCAGCGGAAUAAGCAAUCCAUUAGAAGAGUCAAGUAGAGCAUAAAAUCUACUAUCUUCUAUGAUUUAAAAAGUUUUUCAUCAUUUUUAUCGCUAAGACUCAACUUAAUAAAUAAAAUUGAAUCAUCCCUGCACCACAGCGAAGUUUAUUCAUGUAAUCAUCAAUGGUCAUGACUAUACCGAAUAAUCCCUAGUCAUAAUCAUACCAACAACUGUCCACCAAUGAAUUACAUGCCAAUGAUGACUUUUACCACAUCAUUCGUCACAUUACAGUCAUGAUUAUACCGAAUAAUCCCUGGUCAUAAUCAUACCAAGUCCAUCUAUGCACGUAAGUCAAAGAUGACUAUCAUCACAAUAUAAGCAUGAAGAUGAUAACAAUGACAUAAUAAUUCAAUAAAACAAGUUCAAGGAUAAAUUUUAAAGAUUUAUAAUUUAAUUUAUCCAGGAAUCAAUAACGUCUAAUUUGUCAACAUGAUACUGCUUUGUGGAGUAAAAUUCAAGAAUGCUCAGAAGAAUAUUUCUAUGAAAAGAUACUGGAUGAAGUGCAAAUAUCUAGGAUAUUCUACUAAUUUUAUGGAGUAUAGAAGCCAAAACUUUAACCAACUGAGUAUAAUAGAAUAUAUGAAGCUGUAAAUGGAUUUUCGCCCGCCAUGCGGUAAUCCAUGUAGACAGAUCAUUUCCACAUUUUAAUAAGGAAUGAAUACGAAGGAUCAUUCACCAUGCAUGCGAUAAUCCACAUAGACAUGUUAUUCCAACAGAAUAACAAAGUAUGGAAUAACAGAAGAAUUCACCAUGCAUGCGAUAGACCACACAGACAGGUUAUUCCAACAGAAUAAUAAAGAAUGAAAUACUAAAAGAAUUCACCAGGUGUGCGUAGUCCGCACAGACAGGUUAUUCCAGCAGAAUAAUAAAGAAUAGAAUAACAGAAGAAUUUACCAGGCGUGCUUAAUCCGCACAGACAAGUUAUUCCAACAGAAUAAUAAAGAAUGGAAUAACAGAAGAAUUCUCCAGGCGUGCGUAAUCUGCACAGACAGGUUAUUCAACCAGAAUAAUAAAGAAUGGAAUAAUAGAAGAAUUUUGCCACGCAUACGGUAAUCCGUGUAUACAGGUUAUUCCAACAGAAUAAUAAAGAAUAGAAUAACAGAAGAAUUUCACCACACAUACGGUAAUCCGCGUAUACAUGUUAUUCCAACAGAAUAAUAAAGAAUGGAAUAACAACCCUGACAAGUAUUGAAAGAAAUAACUCUCUUAAUAAAUACGAAAGAAAUAAUACCCCUUACCUUAGAAGAAAACUAGAAUAGUGAGGUAGCAGACUUCUCUUCUUCUUUCUCUCUAUAAUUUCUCUCUAUAAUAAUUUCUCUAUAGCUUUAGUGAAUUGGUGAACAAUAAUGAAGGAAUGAGCUUCUAUUUAUAGAAAAAUAUAGUUUCAACAAUUGCACAUUUUGGGGCUCAAAAAAUUACAGUAUAAUAUCUUCUUCUUUUUCUUCAUUUUUAAUUUAGUCCUGCAAGUAUUAUCAAACUUGCACCACCUCCUCUUGGAAGUCCUUGAAUCAAUCAGCUCGAAACAAUCCUUCUUGGACUCAAAUUCUAGUUAAAAUUACCUUUUCUACGCGUACCCAAGCCCCAGCUUGGGUAUUGCCUUGUAAAUAGUAAGCCCCGGCUUGCUAUGCUUCUGAUUUUGAACUCAGGACCCCAAGCCCCGGCUUGGGUAUAAAGCUUAAAAGAGCAAGCCCCGACUUGGGUGCAAGCUGCUAAUAGUUUUUUCUGCUGCAGUGUCCUCAGGUAAAAUGGCCAUAACUUUUGAUCCGGGAGGAGUUACGGGGCCUGCCACCUAUCAAAUCAAAGAUAUCGACGAGAUCUACAACUUUCAUUCUUUGAGAAUUGAGUAAUAACGAACGAAUGAAGGUAGAAAUUGGACUAGAAAUGACUGUUAUGCAAAUGGCCACCCAAAAUAGCGAAGUUAUUCAACAGUCUCCUGUGCUCCAUUGAUAUUCUCAACAUUCUCGGUUGUCAUUUUCAAAUACUGCCACAAAACAAGGGUUAAAUAACAUCACAUAUUAUCUCUAUACUCUGACCGACCAAUUAAAUACCAAAUAAACUUAGGUAGGUCAUACUAGUUCCCCGUCUCUCCCCACCUAGUUCUUAUCUUACAUUUUAGUCAUGGAUCAUAUCCCUAAGCUUUGAUACCAACUGUGACGCCCCCAAAAUAAGUAUACAUCACCUAUUCUGAGUCGCCAAAUACAUGAUAUAAAAUACAAAUACAAUCUUAAAUAUACAACAUAAGUUGUGAGUUUUAAUACAAACAUUGUCUUCUAGACAGUAUUAAAACUCAAAAUAAGUCAUCAAUACAUUUAUUAACACACUAUUUCACAGAAUAGUGAGGACUACUAAUGCUAUCCUCUGGACCAUUACUCCAUUCCCCGACUCGUCCCAGCUAUAUUCUCAUUUCCUGAAGAGAACAAUGAAAGAAAGGGUGAGCUCAACUAGCCCAAUAAGAAAUAUUAUGACUAAGAUAAUGCAGAAUAAAUUAUCAUUAGUCUUCAACAAUGUUAAACUGAUAAAAUACAAUAACUGCAGCGAAAUAAGUAAUCCAUUAAAAGAGUCAAGUAGAGAAUAAAAUCUACUAUCUUUUAUGAUUUAAAAGGAUUUUCAUCACUUUUAUCGCUGAGACUCAGUUUAAUAAAUAAUCCACAUCAUCGAAUCACCCCUGCACUACGGCCAAGGAUAUUCUUUAGUAUUACAACCAUAAAUAUCCAUGCACUACGGGCCAAGGACAUUCGUGUAUUCAUUAAUGGUCAUGAUCAUGCCAAAAACUGUCCAACAAUACACUACGGUCAAUGAGGACUUUUACCACAUCAUUUGUAACAUUACGGUCGUAAUUAUACUGAAUAAUCCCUGGUUAUAAUCAUACCAAGUCCAUCUAUACACUACAGGCCACAGAUGACUUUCAACAGAAUAUAAACAUGAGGACGAUGACAAUGAUAUAUGAAUUCAAUAAAACAAGUUCAAGAAUUUAUUUGUCCAGGAACCAAUAACGUCCAAAUUGUCAACAAGAUACUGUUUUGUGGGAUAAAAUUCAAGAAUGCUCAGAAGAAUAUUUUCAUAAAAAGAUAUUGGAUGAAGCGCAAAUAUCAAGGAUAUUCCACUAAUUUCAUGGAGUAUAGAAGUCAAAACUUUAACCAACUGAGUAUAAUAAAGAAUGAAAUAACAAAAGAAAUCACCAUGCACGUGGUACUUCGCAUAGACUGGUUAUUCCAACAGAAUAAUAAAUAACGGAACCAGGUUAGGCAAAAUUCGCACCGAUAGGAUGUUCCAACUGAAUAAUAAAGAAUGGAAUAACAACAGAAAUCACCAUGCAUACGGUACUUCGCAUAGACAGGUUAUUCCAACAGAAUACUAAAUAACAGAACCAGGUCCGGCGUAAAACGCACAGACAGGAUAUUCCAACACAAUAAUAAAGGCGGAACCAGGUCCGGCGUAAAAGUCACAGACAUGAUAUUCCAACAGAAUAAUAAAUACGGAACCAGGUCCGGCGUAAAACGCACAGACAGGAUAUUCCAACAGAAUAAUAAAGAAGAAAAUAACAGAAGAAUUUCAUCAAAUAUAGGGUAGCCCGCGUAUACAGGUUAUUCCAACAGAAUAAUAAAGAAUGGAAUAACAGAAGUUCUCUUCAUGAAUACAAAAGAAAUAAUACCCCUUACAGUUACAACAAAUAAUAUCCAUUACCGUAAAAGAAACUGGAUAUAGGAAAAUAAAGUUAGCAGACUUCUCUUCUUCUUUCUCUCUAUAAUUUUCUCUCUUUAAAGUUUCAGUGAAUUCGUAAGAAAUAAUGAAGGAAUGAACUUCUAUUUAUAGAAGAAUGGACUGCAUAGUAACUAAUUCAUGAACGGUCCAGAUUGAUUUACUUUUAAUCGAACGAUCCAUAAUUAAAGCAAAGUUUUUUAAAUAAAAUAUAAUAUAUUAUAUAUAUAACAUGUGCAAGAAAAGAAAAAUCACGGGUGGAAGACCCGUGAAUUCAUCUUACUCCCUCUGUCCAUUUUUUCAAACUUACAUAUAUAUAAUAUAAUAUAAUAUAAUAUACAUAAUAAUACUCCUCCCGUCCAUUUCAUCCAUACCCCCCCACCCAAGACUUUUCAUCACAUAUAUAAUAUAAAACAUAUAUAUAUAUAUAUAUAUAUAUAUAUAUAUAAUACUCCCACUAACUUUUCCUUCAACCAACCCGUGACAAACAUAACAUUUCACCCAAGACUUUCCUCCACAAAUGGGCCCCACCCGUGGCCCUCCUAAAAUAACUUCUAUCGAUUAUUUUGAAAACUGGAUAAAUAGGGAUCCAUAAAAUACGUCAAAAUUCACAACAAUUACUAUAACAAUAAUUGAACAAAACUGAGUAGUUCAACAGUAUUAACGGUAAAACUUCCGCCGUUACUUUCAAUAAAAUAUUUUUGUCGUUUUCUCAAUCCGACAAUAAUUCUGUUGUGGGGUCCACCAAUGAUUGUACCGUCGUACGGAUAUUCCCUGACAAAAAGAAUAUUUCCCGACCAAUCGAAUAUAAUAUGACAACUUGCAUACUUUGCAAAAUUUAUAAAUAUUACCCACAAUUAUAAUAUUAUAUCAAAUUAUUCCAUAAUAUUCAAAAAUGAUAUUUAUUGAAAAUUCAUUUUUAUUCAUAAAAGUUGGGGUCUUACAGUAGUUAAAUUCUUAUUUUUGACAUUUUUCAAAUAUUUCAUCCAUGCUUUUACAAUAGACAUCUUUCACUUUGAUGGCGUUUGACAUGCUUACAACAAGUAAUAGAAAUCAUUUUACAGUCAUUAUUUGCAUUAAUCAAGCAUGUUAGUCACAUAGUCAAGUCGUAGUUUCAAUGGUAAUGAAUAGAUUUCUUAUAUGUAAUACAUUUUUCAAAUAUCUCAUCCAUGCUUUUAUCAUCACCAUUUUUCUCUUUGAUGGGGUGUAGUAUGAUAAUAACAUGCAACCAUACAUAUGUAUAGUUACACCAUAUUAAGAACUUAGUUACAUGAAGUUUUCAUGCUUUGCUUAGAGACUUCUAGCAUACAAGGUGCUUUUGUAACUUAUUUUAUGCCUUUGAAAAUAUUCACAACUUGGUUGAGUAAUUUAUAGUUCUUAUAACACUUUUUAGCUUUAUUCUUGUAUACAAAAGUGUAUCAUUCUUGAUUUUCCUCUCUUUCCCAAAAUAGUCCUAACAUGAUCUAUUUGGGGCAAUCAAGCUAGCUUCUCUUGACCAUUUGGGCUUAGUCAGGCUUGGGGUAGCCUAGAUUGGCCUUGCAGUCCCAAUUGGCCUCUAUCUAUGGCAUGAUUUUAUUAAUACCCUCUUCUAUUAAGGUUUACUCUCACCUAUAUCACCAUUUGAUUCUGUUAUUUAUAGGUGAGGAUUUCUUUGAACUGCUACAUGUUUGCUACUUACUUGAUUUUGUUUUCUUUCCGUUUGUAGCUAACUACUCACUAGUAGCAGCUCUCUACUUUAGAUACUAAAUUUACUAGCUUUUAAUCUCCCACUAAACUUUUGGGUCAGCAGCUAGGGGACACAACUCCCUAAUAAUAGAGCAUAUUGGUUAAUUAUCUUAAGCAAUAUAGUUGUAUUGUCUGAAGGUCUAAAGGACAAGUUCAUUACCCAGCUCAGCUACUGUUGCUAUUAGUUGUUAUUUUUCAGUAAUAGAUUGACAGUCUUCAAACUUACCAUGUUUCUUCUUUAAUAACUUUUGUCUAGAAAAUUUCUAUUGCACUAUGUGCACCUUUGAAUACUUGCUUAAAUAAGUAACAAUUACACUCUAUUUAAUUCUGCAGUUUGCAUUUCAAAUCCAAACUACGUUGCCUAUAGCAGUUUAUUGAGGAUGUUUAUUAUUGCCUUAUAGCAACAACCCCCCCUAUUUUGUAAAAUUUCCCAAAUCACAAUUUUAGAUUAACCUAGACUGCCCAAAACCAUUUUAGUAAUGGCUCAUAGCUACAGUUUUAAGCCAACUGUUGCUGCUCCUAGGUAGCAGCUACAUUUGAUUUUGUUUCAUGCCUUGAACUCUCCCUAAUUUUGGUUUACUUGCACUUUAUUUGAAAGUUAUAUAACUAACAUUUUCAACUAAUAGGGAAACUUUAAAUCAAUAGUGAAAUUAUAAUCUAUAUGAUCCAACAUGUUAGCUAAACUGACCCUAGCGAGUCCAGAACAAUGGUCUACAGUCUUCUUUUGUUUUUCUAUGCCAGCAACCAAGCUUGGCUUGGCCCUGUAAGGCUGAUCACCUAAGCUUGGUGUGGCCCUGCUUGGCCUCACGGUCCCUAAGUCAAAUCCAAAGUUGUUAUAGCAGCUGCUAUCUUGGCAACUGCUGCCAUCAAGGAAUAACAGCCCUGCCACUCUUCUUUAAUUCUUAUACUUGCAAACCCCAGAGGAAUGUUUAUACACUAACUUCAACCAUACAUCCUAGUUAGCUCUUAUAAAGUUAUAUUAAUUUGUUAAACAGACUGCCCAAAACUGCUUUAGCAGUCAUUCACUUGUCGACUGUCGCUGCUUGUUUCUAUAACCAGUAGGCAGCCGUCCCAAGUCUUAUGCCACUAAAAGCUUUUACCUCUUAGAUUGAUAUGAAAUCUUGGCAUGUUAUAGGUGAUUCAAAUUCUGAUUAUUUUUAGCUACCAACUAGACUAGGAGAAAAGCUUGCUAGUGCCACUAAAGGUUAAUAUUUCUGCUGCUGCGACAUGCUUUUUGCUGCUGCUUGCAGCUAAUUGCUGCUGCCAAUGGGCAGCUGCGCCCCUUACUUCAGGCCAUUUUUGGCUUCACAUCAAUUAGCCUAUUCACAACCCACUUUCAUUGAUCAAUAAAUGGUACACCUGCCUUCUAAGCUAACUUAGCAACUGUGGCCCAAAUGUACUAUAUGUAAAUCAAAAUGGUGUGCUAACCUUCCUGCUCGGCUCUGCAGAGCAGUGCAGCACAACGCUGGGCGUUUACUGCCAAUGCCUGCAGUAGCCUCAGCUAGCUUUGCCCAAGCUCAAACAUUUUUUUUUCUUAAAAUUUGUUUUUCUUUCCAUUAAUAUGUCAAAACAUAUUUCCUAAUCUUAUAUAAGACGUCCAUAUAUAACCCCAACUUUAAUUCCCUCUAGAAUUCUCUUUUUAGCCAAAACAGUCCACUUGGGACUUUUAACAAAUAUAUGGUGUGCACAGUUUUAAUUUACUCUUUCCAUAGCCAUUUACUUGUGUUAUAAUCUCAUGUUAGCCUCCUUAUUACUCCACAGCCACCUAUCUCCUUGUGCCUAAAUUACAUACAUCUAGCAUGCUAGUGAAUAACCUUUACAACAAUAAAAAAGUAAAAUAAAUGCUAUGUGACUUUACCAGGCCAUUCGGCCAUAACAGUCCAUCACAACUUGCACGAAAUAGUGUUAAACAAGAUAGUUUAUUACUUGAUAACUUUUCCUUAAAAGUUUGAUAUCACAACUUUUACAGAAGAUUACAAUUACCCAUGACAAGUAUAAUUUACUAACACAUCUACAUUACAACAUUAAUAAUACUAACAAUAUAGCAGCCCCUUCUUUUUUCUUUUCAGGCCAUUCGGCCACUGUAGAUUACUAGCAGCAAGAAACUAAAGUGGAAAAGGAUUGGAAAUCUUACCUUAUUGAUUCGAAGGAAACAAAGAAGUUAUACUGCCCAGCUUCUCCACCUACUCUUAGCCGAACUCUUCCACCCUCUCUCUAUAUGACCGAAUUGCUAUAGCUAUUUUGUCUCUACUAAGUGAUGAAGCUAAACUAGUUAAUAAGCUUGGCCCCUUUUUUAUGGCUGAGCUUGGUUCCUUCUACUGUUAACUGCAUCACCUCCUAGUUGGCCCCUACACAGUCAUCAUUCCUAACCUAGCUUCACAGCCACCCUAGCAGACUCUACUUACCUGCUAAGCCUUAUCUUCUGCAAGCUUAUCUAACAUAUUCUUUGUCUGUUAUACAAACUAACCUACCUGUUAACUAGAACCAACUUAGAAACCAUAUGCUUACAGCCUGACUAUGUACUCACGUUAUGCCACUGCUUUUCUUAUUUAGUCUGAAACAGUUAGCUUGUUAUACACCACUGGGUUUACAGGAUUGGUUUAGGUAGGAGUUUGAUAAAUACUUAAUUUGGGCUUAAACCAAUCCUCAAUGGUGGCUGCCGAAAUUGGGCUAGAAAAUGAGUUAGAAUUGGCUUUAUAUUAGACCCAAUACCAUAACCCUUAUUCCUACAUUAAUUAAAGGAGACUUGCAAACAUACAAUUGCAAAAAUUUAUUAUGGCCUAAUAUUUUAAUAUGGACUCUUGUUAAAUUAACACAUGGACUUUUAUAUAUUAUUUUCUCUAGCAACAAUAGUUAACACAUAUAUCAUUAAAAUGUCUAUUCCAUGUAAUCUUAAAUAAUUCAUGGUGGUACAAUAUUUCUUUAUCCUUCAUAAUUUAAGAUGUUUAAUAACCUAUUAAAUAAAUAAUAGUUUUGUCACAAUGAGAAAUAACAUAAUUAAAAUAAAAUAAAAAAUAUACUCACAAAUUGACAUUAUAAUAAUUAAAUAUUACAUAGGAUUUUUUGAGUCAUUACAUACGCGAUAACUCUGCCGUUCUGCAAAAGCACACAGCCUUGUCCUUUAUGCGAUGCAUCAUUGUAUACCACAAAAUUCCCUGUAUCAUCAGGCAAUGACAACACAGGUGUUGAACUCAACCUUUUCAUUAAUUCUUGAAAACUUUCCUCCCACUUCUCUGUCCAAACAAACUUAACCGUUUUCUAGUUAAAUUCGUCAACGGAGUUGCGAUCUUGAAAAAGUCUUGAAUGAAACGCCUAUAGUAACCCGCCAAUCCUAAGAAACUCCUUACUUCUGACGGUAUCUUCGGCUGAUCCCAGUUUAUUACAGCUUCAACCUUUGAUGGAUCUACCGAAAUUUCGUCCUUAUCAAUAACGUGUCCGAGAAACUGUACACGUUCCAACCAAAACUCACAUUUUGAAAAUUUUGCGUACAACUUUUCUUUUUUCAACGUCUCUAACGUCAAUCUCAAGUGUUCAACAUGUUCCUCUUUGGUCUUGGAAUAUACCAAUAUAUCAUCGAAUCAAAUCCAUGAUAUAUUGGUAUGAACAGGGUGUUUAUAUCAUUUGUCUAAGAAUGGUUUAAACACCUUGUUCAUCAAAUCCAUGAACGCUGCAGGUGCAUUGGUUAAACCAAAAGACAUAACCAGAAACUCAUAAUGACCAUACCGAGUUCUGAACGCUAUUUUUGGUACAUCCUCUGGCCUCACCUUUAACUGAUGAUAACCACUCCUCAAGUCUAUCUUUGAGAAAUAGCUUGUUCCCUUCAGUUGAUCGAACAUGUCAUCGAUUCUAGGUAAUGGAUACUUAUCUUUAAUCGUGAUCUUAUUCAAUUCUCGAUAGCAAUGCAGAGCCGUAUCGAUCCAUCUUUCUUCUUAACAAACAACAUCGGCGCUCCCCAUGGCGACACACUCAGUUGAAUAUACUUUUUGUCGAGUAAUUCUUGCAAUUAUACCAUCAACUCCUUCAUCUCUACUGGGGCCAUUCUAUAUGGUGCAUUAGAUAUCGGGGUCGUUCCUGGUAAUAAGUCAAUUACGAACUCGAUUUGUAGAUCCGGCGGAAGACUCGGCAAAUCGUCUGGAAAUACGUCUGCAAAAUCUCUUAUGAUUGGUAUCUCUUCUAACUUCGCACUCUUCUUUUGUGUAUCGACUAUGUAGGCUAAGUAUCCUACACAUUCUUGUCUCAACAACUUCUUGGCUUGCAUCACCGUUAGACAACUUGCUUGUCGAGGUGACUUGCUGCCGUAGAACACAACCUUUGAUGGAGUCAUAAGGUUAACACAUUUCCUUUCGCAAUCAAUUACUGCUCCGUAAUUGAAUAACCAAUCCAUUCCCAGUAUAACAUCAAACUCACAAAGUCUAAUUGGUAUCAAAUCUACCAUCAUCUCGUGACCUUUUAUAACCACCCUACAAUUCCUAUAUAUAAAUCUAACAGGAAUCACUUCCUUAUUCGCAAUCUCUAUGCUUAAGGGAAAUUCUAAUUCUUCCUGAGGCAAAUCUAAAUUUUGAGCAAAUUCAUUGGAUAUAAAUGAAUAAGUAGCACCCGAAUCAAAUAGUACAUAAGCAUUAAUACCAUUAAUCUAAAUGAUACCUGAGACCACAUCCUUAGACUAUAUAACAUCCUGCACGGUCAUAUUAAAAGUCCUCGCAGUAGGUCGACUUUGUGACGCCCCCAAAAUUAGGUAUACAUCACCCAUCUUGGGUCGCCACUUACAUGGUACAAAAUACAAAUACAACUUAAUUAUACAACAGUCGUGUAAGCUACGACAAAAUAUAAACAAUGAGUUUUAACUCGAAUAUUGUCAUCUAGACAUUAUUCAAACACAAAUAAGUCCUCAAUACAUUUAUUGUCACACUAUUUAACAAAAUAGUGAGGACUACUAAUGCUAUCAUCUGGACUGUCACUCCGUUCCCCGACUCGUCCCCGUUACGUUCUCAAUUCCUGAAGAGAAUAGUGAAAGAAAGGGUGAGCUCAACUAGCCCAACAAGAAAUAUUAUGACUAAGAUAAUGCAGAAUAAAUUAUCAUUAGUCUCCAACAAUGUUAAACUGAUAAAAUACAAUAGACAUCAAGUUUAACUGCAGCGGAACAAGCAAUCCAUUAAAAGAGUCAAGUAGAGAAUAAAACCUACUAUNNNNNNNNNNNNNNNNNNNNNNNNNNNNNNNNNNNNNNNNNNNNNNNNNNNNNNNNNNNNNNNNNNNNNNNNNNNNNNNNNNNNNNNNNNNNNNNNNNNNNNNNNNNNNNNNNNNNNNNNNNNNNNNNNNNNNNNNNNNNNNNNNNNNNNNNNNNNNNNNNNNNNNNNNNNNNNNNNNNNNNNNNNNNNNNNNNNNNNNNNNNNNNNNNNNNNNNNNNNNNNNNNNNNNNNNNNNNNNNNNNNNNNNNNNNNNNNNNNNNNNNNNNNNAAUAAUUAAAACGGAACCAGGUCCGGCGUAUAGCACAGACAGGAUAUUCCAACAGAAUAACUGAAUAAUUAAAACGGAACCAGGUCCGGCGUAGCACAGACAGGAUAUUCUAACAGAAUAACCGAAUAAUUAAAACGGAACCAGGUCCGGCGUAUAGCACAGACAGGAUAUUCCAACAAAAUAACUGAAUAAUUAAAACGGAACCAGGUCCGACGUAUAGCACAGACAGGAUAUUCCAACAGAAUAAUAAAGACAGAAUAAUAGAAGAAUGUCACCAAGUAUAGGGUUGCCCGCGUAUACAGGUUAUUCCAACAGAAUAAUAAAGAAAUGGAAUAACAGAAGUUCUCUUCUUGAAUACAAAAGAAUAAUAUUCCUUACCAGAAAAGAACUUAAUAUAAGAGUAGUUUCAGUAGCAGAAUACUUUUCUUCUUUCUCUCUUACAAUUUAUCUCUCUAGAGUUUCAAUGAAUUUGUAAGAAAAUAAUGAAGGAAUGAGCUUCUAUUUAUAGAAAAAUGGAAUGCAUAGUAACUAAUUCAUGAACGGUCCAGAUUGAUUUACUUUUAAUCGGACGGUCCAUAAAAUAUAUUAUAUAUAUAUAAUAUAUAUAUAUAUAUAUAAUAACAAUAAUACUCCCUCCGUAUAAACCAAAAAAAUAAUUUGACAACUUUGAAAAAAACUCCCAACCUUUCAAUUUUCAAUACCGUGGGCCCCACAUGUUCCCCUCCCCCCAACAUGUCAAUAUCACAAGGGUCUCAUUAUAUGUAAAUAACUUUCUAUCAAUAAUAUUGAAAAAUAGGUAAAUGGGGGUCUAAAUAAUACGCCAAAUUUACAACAACUACCUCAUAAAAAUCCCUUCAAUAUUUUUAACAAUAUUUAUCAUCUUUAUUACAAUUCACAAUAUUAAUCGACCAGGUCGUUCCCAGGAUAGAGGGGGCUUUCCAAUAAGGAUUUCUCUCUAUUGGCGCGCAAUUAGAUUAUCUAACCUCUCCUUGACAGAACUUCUAGACAUCGUUAAUAUUGCAAAUAAUAACAUUAAUAACUUUGUCGUCUCAAUUAUUGAUUUAAUAAUAUAAAGAAUAUCAACAAUAAUUGAAUCAAAUAACGUGAGAUACUAUGCAACAAUUACUAUAACAAUAAUUGAAUAAAACUGAAUGACUUCUCACGUAAGCAUAAAUAAUCAAUACCGUGUGCUACUAUGCAACCACGCGUAUUACUGUACUUUUACUACUGAGUAGUUCAACAGUAUCAACGGUAAAACUUCCGUCGUUAUUUUCAUAAAAAUAUUUUUGUCGUUUUCUCAAUCCGACAAUAAUUCUGUUGUGGGGUCCACUAAUGAUUGCGCCGUUGUACGAAUAUUUCCUGCUAAAACGAAUAUUCCCCAACCAAUCGAAUAUAAUAUAGCAACUUGCAUACUUUGCAAAACUUAUAAAUACUACCUUCAACUAUAACAUUAUAUUAAAUUUAUUGCAUAAUAUUCAAAAAUGAUAAUUAUAGAAAAUUUAUCUUUAUUCAAAAAGUUGGGGUCUUACAACCCCCCCUUCUUAAGAAAUUUCGCCCUCGAAAUUAGGGUACGUACCUGGUAUAUCGAAGAGGUAAGGAUACCUUGAUUUCAUUUUAGAUUCUAACUCCCAGGUCAUUUCCUCAACAUCGUGGUUUCUCCACAAAACUUUGACUUGAGGUAUAACCUUGGAGCGUAAAAUAUGUUCCUUGUUAUCCAAGAUUUGAACAGGAACCUCUUUAUACGUUAAAUCUUCCGCUAUUUCGUCUGGUUCUAGCUCAAUAAUGUGGUUCGGGUCUUCCACAUAUUUACGUAACAUGGAUAUGUGAAAAAUGUUAUGAACACCAGACAUACUAGGCGGUAAAGCGAGUCUAUAGGCCACAGUUCCUACUCGAUUGAGGAUUAAAAAUGGGCCAAUGAAUCGAGGAUUGAGCUUUCUUAUCUUUCCAAAUCUCGUAACACCUUUCCAUGGAGCAACAUGUAACAACACAUGAUCUCCAAUAUCGAAUUCCACGUCCUUUCGAUGAAGAUCAGCAUAACUCUUUUGUCGAUCUUGUGAGGUUUUUAUACGUUGUCGAAUCGUUUGAAUCUUUUCCGUAGUCAUACGUACCAACUCCGGUCCCAACAACGUUGCUUCACCCACCUCAUCCCAGCAUACUGGAGAACAACACUUUCUCCCAUACAACGCCUCAAAUGGAGCCAUGCCAAUACUUGCUUGAUAACUAUUGUUAUAGGAAAACUCCACCAAUGAUAAGAACUUAUCCCAACUUCCAUUGAAGUUAAGGACACAGAGUCUUAAUAAAUCUUCUAGAGUUUGAAUAGUCCUCUCUGAUUGUCCGUCCGUCUGAGGAUGAUAUGCUGAACUAAAUCGUAAAUCUGUGCCCAUAGCUUUUUGCAAACUAACCCAAAAUCAUGAAGUGAAUCUUGGGUCUCGAUCAGAAACUAUGGAUACUGGCAUACCAUGCAGUCUUACAAUCUCGUUUAUGUACAUACGAGCAAGACGUUCAAGUGUAUAAGUUUCUCGUAUAGGUAAGAAAUGAGCAGACUUGGUCAAUCUAUCAACAAUGACCCAAAUUGCAUCUAUGCCUUGAGAAACCUUGGGAAGACCAGUAACGAAAUCCAUGGUAAUGUGCUCCCACUUCCAUUCUGGAAUUUCAAGUGGUUGCAAUGGACCUUUUGGUACUUGAUGCUCCGCCUUGACUCGUUGACAAGUUAGACACCUUGAGAUAAACACCGCUAUCUCUCUCUUCAUAUUGCUCCACCAAAAUGUAUGUCGAAGAUCAUGAUACAUUUUGGUACUCCCAGGAUGGAUUGCAAACGGUGUGUUGUGCGCCUCCAUCAUGAUUUUAUACUUUAAAUCAGGGUCGUUAGGAACACAAAGUCUGGAGUUGACUCGAAGUAUUCCUUCUUCAUCGAUUCUUGCUUCCGACAUAACACCUUCUUGCACUUUCUUCCUCAUACGCAUCAGCUCCAGGUUUGUAGUUUGAGCAGCUUUAACUUUAUCAAUUAAAGUCGAUUAUACUCGUAUGUUCGCCAUCAUCACAUGGGUCCCUGGAGUCUUUAACUCCAUCUCCAUCCUUUGCAAGUCAUACAAAAUGGGCCUUUGUGUUGACAAUAUUGCACUCGUACCCACAUAUGAUCUUCUACUCAAUGCGUCAGCUACCACGUUCGUUUUUCUAGGAUGGUAUUGGAUGGUAUGAUCAUAAUCUUUCAACAGUUCAAGCCAACGUCGUUGUCGCAUGUUGAGUUCCUUUUGAGUGAAGAAAUAUUUAAGGCUUUUAUGAUCCGUAAAGAUCUCCACUUUCUCCCCAUACAAGUAAUGCCUCCAAAUCUUUAGUGCGAAGANNNNNNNNNNNNNNNNNNNNNNNNNNNNNNNNNNNNNNNNNNNNNNNNNNNNNNNNNNNNNNNNNNNNNNNNNNNNNNNNNNNNNNNNNNNNNNNNNNNNNNNNNNNNNNNNNNNNNNNNNNNNNNNNNNNNNNNNNNNNNNNNNNNNNNNNNNNNNNNNNNNNNNNNNNNNNNNNNNNNNNNNNNNNNNNNNNNNNNNNNNNNNNNNNNNNNNNNNNNNNNNNNNNNNNNNNNNNNNNNNNNNNNNNNNNNNNNNNNNNNNNNNNNNNNNNNNNNNNNNNNNNNNNNNNNNNNNNNNNNNNNNNNNNNNNNNNNNNNNNNNNNNNNNNNNNNNNNNNNNNNNNNNNNNNNNNNNNNNNNNNNNNNNNNNNNNNNNNNNNNNNNNNNNNNNNNNNNNNNNNNNNNNNNNNNNNNNNNNNNNNNNNNNNNNNNNNNNNNNNNNNNNNNNNNNNNNNNNNNNNNNNNNNNNNNNNNNNNNNNNNNNNNNNNNNNNNNNNNNNNNNNNNNNNNNNNNNNNNNNNNNNNNNNNNNNNNNNNNNNNNNNNNNNNNNNNNNNNNNNNNNNNNNNNNNNNNNNNNNNNNNNNNNNNNNNNNNNNNNNNNNNNNNNNNNNNNNNNNNNNNNNNNNNNNNNNNNNNNNNNNNNNNNNNNNNNNNNNNNNNNNNNNNNNNNNNNNNNNNNNNNNNNNNNNNNNNNNNNNNNNNNNUCAAAAUCCAAUUUCUCCGGAGUCAAAUUUAAACGUUGAGCGCAAGUAGGAGAAAUGAAAGAGUGGGUAGAACCAGUAUCAAAUAAAGUAUAAACUUCGCUAGAGUUUAUGAUAAGCUUACCCGUGAUGACCUCGUUCGGGUUCUUUACUUUUUGGGAGGUUACAACAAAUGCUCUUCCUUGCACUACCGACUUUGACUUUUCUGGGAUGGCCUUUGGUGACUCUAUCCUAACUGAACUUGUCUUCGGUGCACGACAAAAUCGAGCCAGGUGACCUUCUCUUCCACAGUUGUAACAUGCUUUGGAUGGCAUCGCACAGUUGGGACUGAUGUGUCCCUCUCCUCCACACUUGAAACAUAUGAUAGGUGGUCGUUCCCCUUCCUUAACGACAGGUGCUGAUGUUGACGUCUUUCCAUCAUUGUUGAAUCUCCUCUUUUUGAAAUGUCCAUUUUUAUUGUUUUGGCCAUGAUUACCACCGAAGUGGUUACCAUUUCUGGCCUUUUGAUUUCCUCCACGCUUGUUGUCACCGCUUUGAUGACUGUUCUCACUGGUAUUAUCAUUUUAUUGGCUGCUCUCUUUUGGUUGGCUUAACUCGUUAUCACGCUCCAAUAACUGAGCCCUAUUAACAACAUCCGAAUACAAACACAGUUUAUGAGAGAUAAGAUAUUGACGUAUCUCAGGUUUCAAACCUCUUAAAAACAUUCGCGUCAUUCUCUCCUCAUUAUCAACCAAAUGGGACGCAAACUGGGACAACUCGGCAAACUUGGCUUUGUACUGCGAUACUGUCAUGUUGUUUUGUUCCAGCCUGAUGAACUCUACCUCUUUCAUGUGACGAAUACUUUUGGGAAAGUACUUGUCGUUGAACAAUUCUUUGAACUUCUCCCAAGUCAUCUUCAGUGCGGCAGGUUGAGUACGCUUUACAGAUUCCCACCAGUAAUCUGCCUCUCCUCGCAACAUGAAGGUGGCAAAGGAAAUCUUUUGUUCCUCGGAGCAUCCCAAGACAUCAAAUAUCUUGGUAAUCUACUUUAUCCAUGUCUCCGCCUUAAGUGGUUUUGGUUCUCCAAUAAACUUCGGUGGUCCCAGCUCCUUGAACUGUUUGGCGGUGACCAUCCGAGAGUUGCUAGUGUUUUCACCUGCAUUUUGGACAGGAGCCGCUCCUGCCUGAUGUUGUAUGAAUUGCAUGAAUCCUCGAAACAUUUUGUUGUUCAAUAUUUGGUCAGUGUUGUUGUUUGCAUGAGGAUUUUUGCCUUCCUGAUGCACAUUGUCCUGAUUGUUGAUCUGUGGAGACUCAACGGUCUCCUGUGCUCCAUUGAUGUUCUCAACGUUCUCGGAUGCCAUUUUCAAAUACUGCCACAAAACAAGAGUUAAUUAACACAUCACAUAUUAUCCCUAUACUCUAACCAACCAAUUAAAUAACAAAUAAACUUAGGUAGGUCAUACUAGCGAAGGAAUUCCCCGUCUCUCCCCUCCUAGUUCUUAUCUCACAUCUUAGCCAGGGAUCAUAUCCCUAACCUCUGAUACCAACUGUGACGCCCCCAAUAUUAGGUAUACAUCACCCAUCUUGGGUAGCCACUUAUAUGGUACAAAAUACAAAUACAACUUAAUUAUACAACAGUCGUGUAAGAUACGACAAAAUAUAAACAAUGAGUUUUAACUCGAAUAUUGUCAUCUAGACAGUAUUCAAACACAAAUAAGUCCUCAAUACAUUUAUUGUCACACUAUCUAACAGAAUAGUGAGGACUACUAAUGCUAUCAUCUGGACUGUCACUCCAUUCCCCGACUCAUCCCCGCUACGUUCUCAAUUCCUGAAGAGAACAGUGAAAGAAAGGGUGAGCUCGACUAGCCCAGUAAGAAAUAUUAUGACUGAGAUAAUGCAGAAUAAAUUAUCAUUAGUCUCCAACAAUGUUAAACUGAUAAAAUACAAUAGACAUCAAGUUUAACUGCAGCGGAACAAGCAAUCCAUUAAAAGAGUCAAGUAGAGAAUAAAAUCUACUAUCUUUUAUGAUUUAAAAGGUUUUUCAUCACUUUUAUCGCUGGGACUCAGCUUAAUAAAUAAUCCACAUCAUCGAAUCACCCCUGCACUACGGCCAAGGAUAUUCUUUAGUAUCACGACCACAAUUAUCCAUGCACUACGGGCCAAGAAUAUUUGUGUAUUCAUUAAUGGUCAUGAUCAUGCCAACAACUGUCCAUCAAUGCACUACGGGCCAAUGAGGACUUUUUCCACAUCAUUUGUAACAUUACGGUCAUGAUUACACCGAAUAAUCCCUGGUCAUAAUCAUACCAAGUCCAUCUAUGCACUACAGGCCACAGAUGACUUUCAACAAAAUAAUAACAUGAGGAUGAUGACAAUGAUAUAAGAAUUCAAUAAAAUAACUUUCAAGAAUUAAUUUGUCCAGGAAUCAAUAACGUCCAAAUUGUCAAUAAGAUAUUGUUUUGUGGUGUAAAUUAUUCAAGAAUGCUCAGAAGAAUAUUUUCAUGAAAAGAUAUUGGAUGAAGUGCAAAUAUCAAGGAUAUUCCAUUAAUUUCAUGGAGUAUAAAAGUCAAAAUUUUAACCAACUGAGUAUAAUAACGAAUGGAAUAACAAAAGAAAUCACCACGCAUGCGGUACUUCGCAUAGACAGGUUAUUCCAACAGAAUAAUAAUAACGGAACUAGGUCAGGUGAGAUUCACACCGACAGGAUGUUCCAACAGAAUAAUAAAUAAUUAAAACGGAACCAGGUUCGGCGUUUAGCACAGACAGGAUAUUCCAACAGAAUAACUGAAUAAUUAAAACGGAACCAGGUCUAGCGUAUAGCACAGACAGGAUAUUCCAAAAAAAUAACUAAAUAAUUAAAACGGAACCAGGUCCGGCGUAUAGCACAAACAGGAUAUUCAAACAAAAUAAUAAAGACAGAAAAAUUGAAGAAUGUCACCAAGUAUAGGGUUGCCCGCGUAUACAGGUUAUUCCAACAGAAUAAUAAAGAAAUGGAAUAACAGAAGUUCUCUUUUUGAAUACAAAAGAAUAAUAUUCCUUACCGUAAAAGAACUUAAUAUAAGAGUAGUUUCAGUAGUAGAAUAAUUUUCUUCUUUCUCUCUUACAGUUUAUCUCUCUAGAGUUUCAAUGAAUUCGUAAGAAAAUAAUGAAGGAAUGAGCUUCUAUUUAUAGAAAAAUGGAAUGCAUAGUAACUAACUGAUGAACGGUCCAGAUUGAUUUACUUUUAAUCGGACGGUCCAUAUUUAAAGUAAAAUCUUUUAAAUAAAAUAUAUUAUAUAUAUAUAUAUAUAUAUAAACAAUAAUACUCCCUCCGUAUAAACCAAAAAAAUAAUUUGACAACUUUGAAAAAAACUCCCAACCUUUCAAUUUUCAAUACCGUGGGCCCCACAUGUUCCCCUCCCCCAACAUGUCAAUAUCACAAGGGUCCCAUUAUAUUUAAAUAACUUUCUAUCAAUAAUGUUGAAAAAUAGGUAAAUGGGGGUCUAAAUAAUACGCCAAAUUUACAACAACUACCUCAUAAAAAUCUCUUCAAUAUUUUUAACAACAUUUAUCAUCUUUAUUAAAAUUCACAAUAUUAAUCGACCAGGUCGUUCCCAGGAUAGAGGGGAUUUUCCAAUAAGGAUUUCUCCCUAUUGGCGCGCAAUUAGAUUAUCUAACCUCUCCUUGACAGAACUUCUAGACAUCAUUAAUAUUGCAAAUAAUAACAUUAAUAACAUUGUCGUCUCAAUUAUUGAUUUAAUAAUAUAAAGAAUAUCAACAAUAAUUGAAUCAAAUAACGUGAGAUACUAUGCAACAAUUACUAUAACAAUAAUUGAAUAAAACUGAAUGACUUCUCAUGUAAGCAUCAAUAAUCAAUAUCGUGUGCUACUAUGCAACCACGCGUAUUACUGUACUUUUACUACCGAGUAGUUCAACAGUAUCAACCGUAAAACUUCCGCCGUUAUUUUCAUAAAAAUAUUUUUGUCGUUUUCUCAAUCCAACAAUAAUUCUGUUGUGGGUUCCACCAAUGAUUGCGUCGUUGUACGAAUAUUCCCCGCUAAAACGAAUAUUCUCCGACCAAUCGAAUAUAAUAUAGCAACUUGCAUACUUUACAAAACUUAUAAAUACUACCCACAACUAUAACAUUAUAUUAAAUUUAUUCCAUAAUAUUCAAAAAUGAUAAUUAUAGAAAAUUCAUCUUUAUUCAAAAAGUUGGGGUCUUACAGACUUGACUGUGCUGAUCCAGAGAUAGUUAAUGUACCACCAACGUUGUUGUUUCCUUUUCCACCACUUGCACUUCCUGCUGGCUUCUUAGGGCAAUCACGAGCCAUGUGAUCCUACGAACCGCAGGUAAAACAUGCUCCUUUAUUUGGACUAAAACAGUUCAGUGUAAUGUGUCCCUCCUGACCACAGUUGAAACACACCCGCUUUCCCUUCAAACAUACUCCAUUAUGAUUGUUUCCAUAAGUCGCAUAAGCUUCAAACUUUUUCUUCUGCUGAUUUCCUUGUUGUCCUCCCGCAGUCGAAUUUUCACUCCACUUCCUCUUCUGAUUGUUAUUUCCAACGUUACUUCCACCAGCCUUAUUUUCAUUCUCAGUCUUCCUCUUCUUAUAUUCUUGGUUGUACUUGGUCAAGGCAUCGCUUUCACCUUCUGCGAUAAUUGCCUUUUCCAGUAUAACCGCAAAUGUAUUUAACUGAAAUAUUGAAACCUUGCUAUACAGCCAGGGUUUCAAUCCAUGUUCGAACCUUAUCGCCUUUCGUUCAUCAGUAUUGACUUAAUAAGUGGCAAACCUUGCCAAUUCAUUAAACUUCGCAGCAUAUUCUGGCACCGUCAUAGUUCCUUGUUUCAGUUCCAGAAAUUGCAUUUCCAACUUAUUCUGAGAACUCGCUGGAAAGUACAUUUCAAAAAAUAUCUCCUUAAAUCUAUCCCACGCUAUCACUCCUUGUCCCCCACGAACCUUAUUUGCCUGCCACCAGUAGCUAGCUUCAGACUUCAGCAUGAACGUUGUGAACGCAGUCUUCUGAUCCUCGUUGACUCUAGAAACGUUGAACACUUUCUCCAUUUCCAUGAUCUAGGUUUGGGCUUCUACUGGAUUCAUAGACCCUUGAAACUCUGGCGGUCCAACCGCUUUGAAUUCCUUAAAGGUCAUGACUUGAGCUUGCGGUUGAUUCGCAAGUGCACCUGUUAACAAGGUUACCAACUGCUGAACCGGGUUAGCAUUGGCCUCGUUAUUAUUUUUAGUAGACCCCUCAGGAGGUGGUUGUUGACGUGUUUUUCUUCUUCUAGGAGGCAUUUUCUGUUAAGAUAUACGCUCAUUAGUUCAUUACUCAACUUCUUGAUUAUUUGAAGUUUAACUUAAAUAUUCUAAGAUUAAAGUUAUAACACAUAACAUUUCAAAUAAACUCUGGUAUUUUAUUCAUUCAUAAUGUUUUAAAACAUAUUAAAGAUAGCAUAACCGCUAUUAACAUUCACUUUCCUGAACUAAGCAAGUUUUAGGAUUACAUAUUCAUACUACCCCUUUAUUUAUCUCAAAAUAAGGGAUUCACAGUUUAUAUACUCACUUACUUAACCACGUAUUAUUAUUCUCAUUCUUUCUAUCUAGACAUAUUAAGAUGUCGUAAGGCUUCUCUAUGUUCUUCCUCCAUAAUUCGAUACAUCGUUCUACGAUCCAUCAUGAACUACAACGAAUCUUCAAAUUGAGGUGGAUAAUAAAAGACUCGAUCCUGGGCCCUAUCAAUUGCAGAAUUAAAGGCAUAAUCCAUCCCAUUCAUCUUGGCCUUCUUCACUUGAACUUUAUCCUCGGCACGGUCUGCACGUUAAGUCACCUUUAUCCAAGCGUCCUCUGCUCUCGUACGUUUAGUUGAAUCCUCUUUCAAGUCAUCUUUUAACUUCUCCACAUCAGUCUUCAUCUUCUUGUUCACUGCCAACAAAUCUUCAUGCUGACCCUUGGUAUGAAAUAGGUCCCACUCCGUGUUUCCAAGUCUUGAGUCGAGUUCUUGAAUCUCCGCAUCCUUCUGCUCUAUCGUAGCGUGAUGCAUCUCAACCAACUCCUUCAGCUCCUGAACUUUGUCUUGUAAUUCUAUGUUACGAUCGUACAGAGCAUCAUACAUCUCAGCUGAUAUGGAGCUUUGUGGAAACGCCACAGGAUCCUCUUCCUCAUCAUCCAACUCUAUCUCUUCAGAACUAUCCUCCUCGGGAUCGGUCACAGGUUCAUCCUCCUGGAUCAACUGUUCACGCAUAACAUGAAUAUCCCGGGGUUCCUCAUCUCUAGGUAUCUGAGGUAUUACUUCCCUAGCUGGAAUGGAUCCUCCUUCAUUAGACAUCCUAACAACAAAAUAUUUUAAGUUUACUUAACAUUUUUCGAUACUCGCGAGCACAUAAGUUAUUACACAUAGCACAUAAUGUCUUUUAUUAUUUAUCUUCAAUGGAUAGCUUAAUCCAUUCAUUAAAACUCGAUAAGAGUUAGACACCUCUAUAUUUUCUGUCUUCUUAAAGGUUACUUCCUAAGGUUUCCCCACCUAAGGUUCAUAACCUAAAGCUCUGAUACCAACAUGUGACACCCCCAAAUCUGGGUAUUCCUUUUCCACAGGAUUUGGUGCUCACUAUCCAAAACCAUUACAUCUAACUACCCAUAACAAAGGAUAAAGACAUAAUUUAAAUAACUUAACAAUAAUCUUCCCAUUAAAGGGUUACAUCGUCAUAAAACAAUCCCAAAUAAUUUAAUCUUAAAUUAUUACAUAAGUUUGCGGAAUACAUCAUAAAAUAAAACAAGUCUUAUAACAUAAACAUUUAAAUAAACUUUCAUAAAUCUUCAACACUUGGACAUCUUUCCCUUUUCUUUGCUAGUAGAUGGCUCAUCGACUUUCUCAACUUUAGCUGCAGUGUUAAAUGCAAGAGUGAGCAAACAAUUGCUCACUGAUAUAGAGAGUAGUAAUGAUAACAACAUAAGAUUAAACAACGAAUGCUGAACAAUAAUGAAAUUGUUCUAUGAAUAAAAAAUAGAAAACAAGUUCAAAUUUAAUAUCUGAGGGUCUUAAGACCACGAACUAUGUCCCCGAUAUUUAGGUAUUAUUACCCAACCUUAACAGUCAUUUAGACUAUACAAACCCUUCUUAACGUACUUAGGGGGAUCAGCCCUUUGUACCAUGUAUUGUGCACAAACAUCUAAACGUUACACGUACAAAAUCCCCUAUGUUAGGGUUGUUCGUCUCAGCUUGAAUUUAGAAUUUCUGCACUAAAGAGAGUUUAGCUCGGAACUAACUUAUCAAUGGUUCUAGAAUUUUAGAACACUACUCAAUUAUAGACUAAUUCAAUCAAUAAGAGUUUGCUUGCUACUUGAAGAUUUAAUAUAACAAAAAUAGAAUUGAACAAGGCUAUCAAAGUCAAAGAUCGAAUAUCAACAAUAUACAGUUGAGCACUACAACAAAAAAGCUUAUCAGCGACCGCCUAUCAGCGACCGCCUGUGGUCGCUGAUAUCUAUCUGCGACCGUCUACUCGAGUAAACAUGAUAUACAUGCAAAGUACUAUAUCCAAAAGAGUUAGAAUAAUCUCCUUUGAAUCAAUGUAUUAGAACAAUAUAUUCUUUUGAAUAACAAUAUCAAGAUUUAGGAAAGUGAAACUCGCUCAAUGUAACAAACUAGAUUACAAGAGAUUGUACGAUACACGAGAUAGAAUCAAUAGGCUUGCUGAACUUUAAUGUAAAAUUUAGAAUUAGAAAGCUUGUUUGACAUAAAAGAUAACAUAGCUAUGAAACUUGCAUUCAUUAAUAAAAGAAUGAAGUUAGAAAACUUGCUCAAUAAAAGUUUAGGAUAAGAAACUUGCCUUGUAUGUAAGCUACACAAGUGUAAUAAUGUUCGCCAAUUACCCUACACAUAUCAUUGGAAUCGCAAUAACAAUUAGUUGUAUUAUUAUUAGCUUUAAGGGUUUAAACCACCAUUUAGGUCAUAACCUUAACUUAACAUCUAACCAUGUUGGUUAACACCUUUAACAAAUCUAAAAUCCCUCUAUAAACUAACAUAAACUUUAUCAUUCAUUUCUUACUUUCAUAAACAUUAUUUUUUUAUUCAUUACAUAACUUAAUUAAAUAAUCACUUAAAAUCUUCAUACUUUAUAUUACAUCACGUUGAAAUAUGUUAUUGUAGUUCACGUUAACAUGUAUGCCAAACUAGAUUAAGUCCAUUAAUCAUAACCUAUAAAUAAGCAGAAGUCAUUGCCUAGGCUCAGGGCACGGCGCAGCUGCGCUGUCCCAAGCCUUGGCAUCGGCACAGCUGCGCCGUACACGGACAGGAACUGCAGCAGCAGCUCUGUUACACAGCACACACCAAAACUCAAUCAAAUUUCACAGAAAUCAUAAAACUCAACAUCUAAAACUUUGUGAUAACAUUAAUAAUGAUGUUAUUCAUCAUUCUCACUACCUAAACAUUAUAUAUAUUAAAUUUUAAAAGAUCAAAACCCCAAUUUUUCCAAUUUCAUCAUUUUUUUACGCUUUUAGCGAAUUCGAUUGCUACGAAUUCAUUUCUUAAUCAAUUGACACAAUUCAAACUACGUUGUUUUCGUUUCUUAACAUACUAACACAUUCUAACAUCAAAUUACAGAUUAUAGCAAGUAUUGAUCAUGAAAUUUCGUACUUUCUAAAGCCAUUUUUCAAAAAUAAACACUAUUAUUAUAACUUCUUCCUUACAAAGCCAAUUCUCACAUGUUUGGAAAUCAAAUAGCACUCACAUAUAAUGAUUAACAGAUUAUAAACCAUAUAUACAUGUAUUUGUAUUAAUCCAUCGUAAUUAUCAAUAGAAAUUUCAAACAUAAAAGUUAGAAUUAGAGUUAUACCUUACUCCUUUGAUUGUUUGCUAGCAAAAAGAUGGUGACUAGGUUUAGAAAUCCCUCUCCUUGACAAUCAUAAAGAAUUCAAACUCACUGUGUUUUCCUCUCUUGCUCUCUCUCCAAGCUCUCUGUUCUUCACUAAUAUCUAGCCUUAGGGAAAGGAAUAAUACGCGUAAAAAAAUAUACUAACUCCCACUUUCCCCACUAAUGUCAGGUCACAAACCCAAAAGUUUGUGUCAGUUAGAAAUAAGCCAAAGGCCACAGGGCCUUGUUUGGCUAACCACAAUUUCUCCUCUACUAGAUUAUUUUUAUAUUAUUUUUAUUAUAUAGUUUUUAUUUGUCACACUUGCCACCAAUUUAAAUAGCUUACAAUAAUAAUUAUAAUAAUUAUAAUUUUUAUUAUAAUUAUUCUGAUGAUUAAUAAAUAAUUAUAUAUAUAUAAUUUAAUUAAUAAAUUUGACUUAAACAUUACUUUAUUUAAUUUACCUAUUUUCUUUAAUAUAAAAAAAAAUUUAAUUUAAUUUAAUUAUUUCAUUAAAUUAAAUCUUUCAAAUAAAAAAUAGCAUUAUUCAAUUUAAUUAACAUUAAUCAAUUUAGUCACUAAAUUAAUGCACCACAAUUCAUCAAUUAUUUAUUUUUCUCAAUAAAUAAAUUAUUUAAAAUAUUUAUUUAAUUCAAUAAAUAUUUAAAUUAAAUUACAAAUUUCUCGAUCGUUACACUAUUCAUUCGGUUAGUAUUUACCCGGGGUACUAUUCAUGACAAAAAUUGAUUUCUUUUAUGUCCAAAUUAUUUUUGAUACAAUAUUAUUCUUGAAUUUUACUCCACAAUUGGUGAUCAUGUUGACAAUUUAGAUAUUCUUAAACUCUGGAUAAAUUUAAUUAUAAAUAUUUAAUAUUUAUCCUUUAUCUCGUUUGAUUGAUUCUUUAUAUCAUUGUCAUGAUCCUCAUGCUUAUAUUGUGAUAAAAGUCAUCUUUGGCCCGUAGUGCAUAGAUGGACUAUUGGUUAUUGGUUUUACAGUUGUUUUUCUUUGGCCCGUAGUGCAAAGAAGAACUGUUGAUUGAUAUCUUUGGUCGUAGUGCAAAGAUGAAUUGUUGAUUGAUAGCUUUGGCUCGUAGUGCAAAGUUGGACAGGUGUAUGACAUGAUCAUGACCACUGGUGAUACUAACGAAUAUCCUUGGCCGUAGUGUAUGGAUAAUUCAAUGAUGUGAUUGGCAGGAUCAUGACCAUUAGUUAACAGUUGAAUGUCUUCGGCCGUAGUGCACUGACAGACAAUUGAUUGGUAUGAUCAUUGUUAUUACACUUGAAUGUCUUAGCCUUUGGGGUAAGGAUAUUGAGUAAACGUUCUAUUAAGCCUUUGUGGCAAGGAGAAACUGUUGAUUCACAUUAUUAUAAACAUGAAUUGUGAAUUUAUCUAAAAUCUUUGGUGGUUCAGGUGAAGACAGGUGAUGAAAUUUCUCUUUGUCUUGGUAUAAUAAAGAACUGUUAAUGGGUAUUAUAGGGAUAAAAUUGAUGAUAAACUUUUAAAUCAUAGAAGAUAGUAGAUAUCAUGCUCUACUUGACUCUUCUAAUAGAUUGCUUAUUCCACUGCAGUUGUUGAUCUAAAACUUGUUGUCUAUUAUAUUCUAGCAGUUGUUAUACUGUUGAAGGCUAAUGAUAAUUUAUUCUGCAUUAUCUUAGUCAUAAUAUUUCUUACUGGGCUAGUUGAGCUCACCCUUUUCUUUCAUUAUUCUCUUCAGAAAAUGAGAAUAUAGCUGGGACGAGUCGGGGAAUGGAGUGAUGAUCCAAGAUAAGUGGCUUUAGUAGUCUUCACUAUUCUGUGAAAUAGUGUGAUAAUAAUUGUAAUGAGGACUCCAUUGAGUUUGGAUAUUGUCUAGAAGACAAUAUUUGUGUUAAAACUCUCAGCUUAUAUUUUCUCGUAUUCUACACGACAGUUGUAUAAUUAAGUAGUAUUUGUAUUCUGUACCAUGUAUCUGGCGACCCAAGAUGGGUGAUGUAUACAUAUUUUGGGGGCGUCACAUCAACAACCACCACAAAUAUAAAACCUUUGAAGCCAAGCCUGUGAGACCCCAAAUUUUAUGAAUAAAGAUUUAAAUUUCUCGAAAUAUUUUUUUUGAAUAUUACGGUGUGGAUUUGAUAUAAUGUUAUAGUUGUGGGUAAUAUUUAUAAAUUUUACAAAGUAAACAAGUUGUUACAUAAUAUUCGUUUGGUCGGGGAAUAUUCUUUUUGUUGGGGAAUAUCCGUACGAUGGUGCAAUCAUUGGUGGACCCCACAACGGAAGUAUUGUCGUAGUAAGAAAAUGACAAAAUUAUCUUUUUAUAAAAAUAAUGGCGAAAGUGUUACCGUUAAAACUAUUGAACUACUCCGUAGUAAAAGUACAGUAAUACGUGUGGUUGCAUAGUAGCACACGAUAUUGAUUAUUAAUACUUACGUAAGAAGUCACUCAGUUAUACUUAAUUAUUGUUAUAGUAAUUGCUGCAUCUAUCUCUCAUAUUAUUGAUUCAAUUAUUGUCACAGUAUCAUCUGCAUAAUAUGUUAUAUUAUUAAAUCAAUAAUUGAGACGACAAAGUUAUUUAUAUUAUUAUUUGCAAUAUUGAGAAUGUCUAGAAGUUCUAUCAAGGAGAGGUUAGAUAAUCUAAUUGCGCGCCAAUAGGGAGAAAUCCUUAUCGGAAAGCCCCCUCUUUCUUGGAAACUACCUGGUUGUUAAAUAUUGUGAGUUAUAAUAUUAAUGAUGUAUAAGUUUGUGUUGAUUAAAGAUGAAAUUGAUAGUUCCAUUGUGUUGGGAUUAUUAGUGUUAGUGGAAAUCGACAUUUAUUUCGAUAAUAAUUGAUGUUUGGAAGUUAUAUUGACCAAUCGGGUAAUUAACCGGAUAAAUGAGCAAUUAAUUGCUAUUAAUUCACAUGCUUAUAACUAUGUGUUCACAUGUGUGUACUAUUGAUUCACAUGAUUUACUAUUAGGGGAGUUGGUGCAAGAUUGAUAAUACUUGCAUGACUAAAUUAAAAAUAGAGGUAUAGAUGAAGGUACUAUACUGUAAUUAUUUUUUUCACAUGUUUAGAACUAUUGAGUCACAUGAUUUACUAUUGAUUCACAUGAUUUACUAUUAGGGGAGGUGGUGCAAGUUUGAUAAUACUUGCAGGACUAAAUUAAAAAUGAAGAAAAAGAGGAAGGUAUUAUACUGUAAUAUUUCGAGCCCCAAAACGUGCAAUUAUCGAAACUAUAUUUUCCUAUAAAUAGAAGCUCAUUCUUCCUUCAUUUCUCACCAAUUCACUAAAGCUUUAGAGCAAUUAUUAUAGAGAGAAAUUAUAGAGAGAAAGAAGAAGAGAAGUCUGCUACCUCACUAUUUUAGUAUGCAGUUUCUUCUAAGGUAAGGGUAUUAUUUCUUUCGUAUUCAUGAAGAGAGUUAUUUCUUUCAAUACUCGUAAGGGUUGUUAUUCCAUUCUUUAUUAUUCUGUUGGAAUAACCUGUCUGUGCGGACUACACACGCCUGGUGAAUUCUUUUGUUAUUACAUUCUUUAUUAUUCUGUUGGAAUAACCUGUCUGUGCGGACUACGCACGCAUGGUGAAUUUUUUUUUAUUCUAUUCUUUAUUAUUCUGUUGGAAUAACCUGUCUACGCAGACUACCGCAUGCAUGGUGAAUGACCCUUCGUAUUCAUUCUUUAUUAAAUUAUGUAAAUGAUCUGUCUACGUAGAUUACCGCAUGACGGGUAAAAAUCCAUUUGCAGUUUCAUAUAUUCUAUUAUACUCAUAUGCGAUAUCAUUUCUUUUGUACUCGUCAUAUAAUAUCAUUUUCUUUGGAAUUUUUCUUUUACGAGUUACUAUUGACAGAUUACUAUUCACCUGAUUAUUAUUCACUCUAGUAUUAUUCACUCAGGUAUUCGGGGCACUUUUCGUGUCAGAGUAUUAUUCACGGGUUACUAUUCACCCGAUUACUAUUCACUCUAGUAUUAUUCACUCGGAUAUUUGGGACACUUUUCGUGUCGAGGUACUAUUCACGGAGUACUAUUCCUGAAGUACUAUUCAUGAAAUACUAUUCACCCAAAAAAUAUAUUUCUUUUCAGUCCAAAUUAUUUUUGGGUACAAUAUUAUUCUUGAAUUUUACUCCACAAAACAAUAUCAUGUUGACAAAUUGGACGUUAUUGAUUCUUGGAUAAAUUAAAUUAUAAAUCUUUAAAAUUUAUCCUUGAACUUUUUUUAUUGAAUUAUUAUGUCAUUGUCAUCAUCCUCAUGCUUAUAUUGUGAUGAAAGUCAUCUUUGGCUUACGUGCAUAGAUGGACUUGGUAUGAUUAUGACCAGGGAUUAUUCGGUAUAAUCAUGACCGUAAUGUGACGAAUGAUAUGGUGAAAGUCCUCAUUGGCCUGUAGUUCAUUGAUGGACAGUUGUUGGUAUGAUUAUGACCAGGGAUUAUUUGGUAUAAUCAUGAACAUUGAUGAUUACAUGAGUAUCAUUGGCCGAGAUGCAGGGAUGAUUCGAUUUUAUUUAUUAAGUUGAGUCUCAGCGAUAAAGUUGAUGAAAAACUUUUUAAAUCAUAGAAGAUAGUAGAUUUUAUGCUCUACUUGACUCUUCUAAUGGCUUGCUUAUUCCGCUGCAGUUGUUGAUCUAAAACUUGUUGUCUAUUAUAUUCUGUCAGUUGUUAUACUAUUGAAGGCUAAGGAUAAUUUAUUCUGCAUUAUCUUAGUCAUAAUAUUUCUUACUGGGCUAGUUGAGCUCACCCUUUCUUUCACUGUUCUCCUCAAGAAAUGAGAAUAUAGCUGGGACGAUUCGGGGAACGGAUUGACGGUCCAGAUGGUUGUUUUAGUUGUCCUCACUAUUCUGUGAAAUAAUAUGAUAAUAAUUGUAAUGAGGACUCCAUUGGGAGUGGAUAUUGUCUAGAAGGCAAUAUUCUUGUUUAAACUCUCAGUUAUGUUUUGUCGUAUAUUACCCGACAGUUGUAUAAUUAAGUUUGUAUUUGAUUUAUGUACCAUAUAGUUGGCGACUCAAGAUGGGUGAUGUAUACCUGUUUUUGGGGUGUCAAAGUUGGUAUCAAAGCUUAGGGAUAUGAUCUCUGGCUGAGAUAUGAGACAAGAACUAGGAGGGGAGAGACUGGGAAUUCCUUCGCUAGUAUAUAUGACCUACCUAAGUUUAUUUGGUAUUUAAUUGGUCGAUCAGAGUAUAGGAAUAAUAUGUGAUAUGUCAAUUAACCCUUGUUUUGUGACAGUGUUUGAAAAUAGCAUCUAAAAAUGUUGAGAUCAGCAAUGAAGCACAUGAGACCGUUGAGUCACCAACGAUUAAUACCUAGGAUAAUGUGCAACAGGAAGAUAAUAAUCCUCAGGUAAAUAACAACACCGAUUAGAUGAUGAACGAUGGGAUGUUCAGAGGCUUUAUGCAAUUCAUGCAACAUCAGACGAGAGAGACUCUUGUUCAAAAUGCAGGUGGAAACACUGUCAACUCUCGGAUGGUCACCGCUAAGCAGUUUAAGGAGUUGGGACCACCAGAGUUUUUGAGAGAGCCAGAACCACUUAAGGCGGAGACGUGGAUAAACAGAUCACCAAGAUAUUUGAUGUCUUGGAAUGCUCAGAGGAGCAAAAGGUUCCCUUUGCCACCUUCAUGUUGCGAGGAGAGGCAGAUUACUAGUGGGAAUCAGUAAAACGUACUCAGCCUGCCGCACUGAAGAUGUCUUGGGAGAUGUUCCAAGAACUGUUCAACAACAAGUACUUUCCUGAAAGUAUUCGUCAUGUGAAAGAGGUAGAGUUCAUCAAGCUUGAGUAAAACAAUAUGACCGUGGCGCAGUACGAAGCUAAGUUUGCCGAGUUAUCUCAGUUUGCGUCCCACUUGGUUGAUAAUGAAGAGAGAAUGACGCGGAUGUUUCUAAGAGGUUUGAAACCCGAGAUACGUCAAUAUCUAAUUUCUCACAAACUGUGUUUGUAUUCAGAUGUUAUGAAUAGGGCUCAAUUAUUGGAGUGUGAUAAUGAGUCAGCACAACCAAAAGGCAACGACCAACAACACGAUAAUAAUCAUACCGGUGGCAACGGCCAUCGGAACAAUGAUAACCAUCGUGGGGGAAAUUAUUAUGCCAAGAAUGGUAACCACUUCGGUGGUAAUCAUGGCCAAGUUAAUAGAAGCGGAAAUUUCAAGAAGAGAAGGUUCAAUAAUGAUGGAAAGACGUCAUCACCAGCACCCGUUGUUAAGGAAGGAGAACGACCGCCGGUCGUAUGUUACAAAUGCGGAGGGGAGGGACACAUAAGUCCAAACUAUUCACAGCCUUCCAAGGUAUGUUUUAGUUGUGGAAAAGAUGGUCACAUAGCUCGAUUUUUUUCUUGUAGCGAAAUCAAGUCCAGUUGGGACAGUGGCACCAAAGGCGGAUACGGACAAAACAAAGUCGGUGGUUUCAGGAAGAGCGGUUUUUAUGACUUCUCAAAAAGUGAGUAACCCGAACGAAGUUAACACGGGUUAGUUAAUUAUAAAUUCUUGCGAAGUCUAUACCUUAUUAGAUAUCGAUUCUACCCAUUCUUUUAUUUCUCUUGCUUGCGCUCAGCGUUUAAAUUUGACUCCAGAGAAAUUAGACUUUGACUUAUUGGUUGAAACUCUGUUAGGAGAAACCUUCGUUACACCCACUGUUUAUAAAUCUUGUUUUAUUCAAAUCGACACUUUCACGUUACCUGUCGAUCUUAUCUCUUUGAAAAUACUUGCCUUUGAUGUGAUUUUAGGAAUCGAUUGGUUAACUACUCAUCAUGCCAAAAUUGAUUAUUUUUGUAAGGUUGUUAGCUUUCAUAUUCCUAACCAACUUGUUAUGCGAAUUCAAGCAACCAAACCACUAAAGUCAAUCACUGUCAUAUCAAGCCAUAAGUAAAGAGCCCCGAGCCUUUCGUUGGUGACUUCCUUGUGUGGAAUGCAUCGAAGCCGAACUUUCUGUAGGGGACGUCGUGAAUAACAGUGGCAAGUUGAUAGGUAUCAAUGUGACGUGUUAUCCAAGUCUUGGGAUGAGAGUCACAGUUUUGAAUGAUAUUUCUAUUGUUAAUAAAUUUCCUAGCGUAUUCUUGAAGACUUCUUAGCCUACCCCUAGAGCGUGAAAUCGAAUUUUUUAUUGACCCCAAUACAAAACUCAUUUAUAAAACCCUCAAAUAUUUUCUUUACCCAAAACGAACGUAUAAUGUGCCAAUGACGUUGGCUCGAGCUGUUGAAGGUUACGACUAUACCAUUAAAUUCCAUCGUGGGAAAAGCGAACGUGGUAGCUGACACAUUAAGUAGAAGAUCGUAUGCGUUUACGAAGUGUGACGUUGUUAACACAAAAACCCAUUUCGUAUAACUUAUAAAUAAUGAAGAUGGAGUUAAUGACUCUAGAGACCCACGUGAAGAUAACGAAUAUACGAGUAAAAUCGACUUUAAUCGAUAAAGUUAAAGCCGCUCAAACUACACACUCGGAGCUAGUGAAUACGAAGAAGAAGGUUCAAGAAGGCGUUAUUCUAGAAGCAAGAGUCGAUGAAGAGAGAAAAUCUCAAUCCUCGAUUUAAUUGGGCCAUUUGAAAUCCUCGAUGGAGUAGGAACUGUGGCCUAUAGACUUGUUUUACCGCCAAGUAUGUCGCGUGUUCAUAACAUUUUUCAUGUAUCGAUGUUACGUAAAUAUGUGGACGACCCGAACCACAUUAUUAAAUUGGAACUAGACGAGAUAGCAGAAGAUUUAACAUAUGAGGAUAUACGUGUUAAAAUCUUGGAUAAGAAGGAUCGUAUUCGACACUCAAAUUUUAUACCUCAAGAGUUAGAAUCUGAAAUAAAGUCAAGGUAUCCUUAUCUCUUCGGCAUACCAGGUACGUACUUAAAUUUUGAGGGCGAAAUUUCAUAAGAAGGGAAGAUUGUGAGAUCCCAAAUUUUAUGAAUAAAGAUUUAAAUUUCUUGAAAUAUAUUUUUUGAAUAUUACGGUGUGGAUUUGAUAUAAUGUUAUAGUUGUGGGUAAUAUUUAUAAAUUUUGCAAAGUAAGCAAGUUGUUAUAUAAUAUUCGUUUGGUCGGGGAAUAUUCUUUUUGUCGGGGAAUAUCCGAACGACGACACGAUUAUUGGUGGACCCCACAACGGAAGUAUUGUCGUAGUAAGAUAAUGACAAAAUUAUCUUUUUAUAAAAAUAACGGCGAAAGUGUUACCGUUAAAACUGUUGAACUACUCGGUAGUAAAAGUAUAGUAAUACGCGAGGUUGUAUAGUAGCACACGGUAUUGAUUAUUGAUGCUUACGUAAGAAGUUACUCAGUUAUACUCAAUUAUUGCUACAGUAAUUGUUGCAUCAUAUCUCUCAUAUUAUUGAUUCAAUUAUUGUCACAGUAUCAUCUGCAUAAUAUGUUAUAUUAUUAAAUCAAUAAUUGAGAUGACAAAGUUAUUCAUAUUAUUAUUUGCAAUAUUGACAAUGUCUAGAAGUUCUAUCAAUGAGAGGUUAGAUAAUCUAAUUGUGCGCCAAUAGGGAGAAAUCCUUAUCGGAAAGCCCCCUCUUUCCUGGGAACGACCUGGUUGUUAAAUAUUAUGAGUUAUAAUACUACUGAUGAAUAAGUUUGUGUUGAUUAAAGAUGAAAUUAAUAGUUCCAUUGUGUUGAGAUUAUUAGUGUUAGUGGAAAUUGACAUUUAUUUUGAUAAUAAUUGAUGUCUGGAAGUUAUAUUGACCAAUCGGGUAAUUAACCGGAUAAAUGAGUAAUUAAUUGCUAUUAACUCACAUGCUUAUAACUAUGUGUUCACAUGUGUGUACUAUUGAUUCACAUAAUUUACUAUUAGGGGAGUUGCUACAAGAUUGAUAAUACUUGCAUGACUAAAUUAAAAAUGGAGGUAUAGAUGAAGGUACUAUACUAUAAUUAAUUUUUUCACAUGUUUAGAACUUUUAAGUCACAUGAUUUACUAUUGAUUCACAUGAUUUACUAUUAGGGGAGGUGGUGCAAGUUUGAUAAUACUUGCAAUUAAAAAUGAAGAAAAAGAGGAAGGUAUUAUACUGUAAUAUUUUGAGCCCCAAAACGUAUAAUUAUUGAAACUAUAUUUUUCUAUAAAUAGAAGCUCAUUCUUCUUUCAUUAUCACCAAUUCACUAAGCUAUAGAGCAAUUAUUAUAGGGAGAAAUUAUAGAGAGAAAGAAGAAGAUAAGUCUACUACUUCACUAUUCCAGUAUCCAGUUUCUUCUAAGGUAAUGGGUAUUAUUUCUUUCGUAUUCAUGAAGAGAGUUAUUUCUUUCAAUACUCGUAAGGGUUGUUAUUCCAUUCUUUAUUAUUCUGUUGGAAUAACCUGUCUGUGCGGACUACACACGCCUGGUGAAUUCUUUUGUUAUUAUAUUCUUUAUUAUUCUGUUGGAAUAACUUGUCUGUGCGGACUACGCACGCCUGAUGAAUUCUUCUAUUAUUCCAUUCUUUACUAUUCUGUUGGAAUAACCUGUCUACGCGGACUACCACAUGAUUGGUGAAUUCUUCUGUUAUUCCAUUCUUUAUUAUUCUGUUGGAAUAACCUGUCUACGCGGACUACCGCAUGCAUGGUGAAUGACCCUUCGUAUUCAUUCUUUAUUAAAUUAUAGAAAUGAUCUGUCUACGUAGAUUACCGCAUGGCGGGUGAAAAUCUAUUUGCAGUUUCGUAUAUUCUAUUAUACUCGUAUGAGAUAUCAUUUCUUUUGUAUUUGUCAUGGAAUAUCAUUUUUUUUGGUAUUUUUCUUUUACGAGUUACUAUUCACGGGUUAGUAUUCACCUGGUUACUAUUCACUGUAGUAUUGUUCACUCGGGUAUUCGGGACACUUUUUGUGUCGGAGUACUAUUCAUGGGUUAUACUAUUCACGGGUUACUAUUCACCCGAUUACUAUUCACUCUAGUAUUAUUCACUCGGGUAUUUGGGACACUUUUUGUGUCGGGGUAUUAUUCACAGGGUACUAUUCUCGAAGUACUAUUCACGGAGUACUAUUCACCAAAAAAAUAUAUUUCUUUUCGAUCCAAAUCAUUUUUGGGUACAAUAUUAUUCUUGAAUUUUACUCCACAAAAUAGUAUCAUGUUGACAAAUUGGACGUUAUUGAUUCCUAGAUAAAUUAAAUUAUAAAUCUUUAAAAUUUAUCCUUGACUUGGUAUGAUUAUGACCAGGAAUUAUUCGGUAUAAUCAUGACCGUAAUGUGACGAAUGAUGUGGUGAAAGUCCUCAUUGGCCUGUAGUUAAUUGAUGGACAGUUGUUGGUAUGAUUAUGACCAGGGAUUAUUCGGUAUAAUCAUGACCAUUGAUGAUUACAUGAGUAUCCUUGGCCGUGAUGCAGGGAUGAUUCGAUUUUAUUUAUUAAGUUGAGUCUCAGCGAUAAAGUUGAUGAAAAACUUUUUAAAUCAUAGAAGAUAGUAGAUUUUAUGCUCUACUUGACUCUUCUAAUGGAUUGCUUAUUCCGCUGCAGUUGUUGAUCUAAAACUGUUGUCUAUUAUAUUCUAUCAGUUGUUAUACUGUUGAAGGCUAAGGAUAAUUUAUUCUGUAUUAUCUUAUUCAUAAUAUUUUUUGCUGGGCUAGUUGAGCUCACCCUUUCUUUCACUGUUCUCUUCAGGAAAUGAGAAUAUAGCUGGGACGAGUCGGGGAACGGAUUGACGGUCCAAAUGGUUGUUUUUGUAGUCCUCACUAUUCUGUGAAAUAAUGUGAUAAUAAUUGUAAUGAGGACUCCAUUGGGAGUGGAUAUUGUCUAGAAAGCAAUAUUCUUGUUUAAACUCUCAAUUAUGUUUUGUCGUAUAUUACCCGACAGUUGUAUAAUUAAGUUUGUAUUUGAUUUAUGUACCAUAUAUUUGGCGACUCAAGAUGGGUGAUGUAUACCUAUUUUGGGGCCGUCACAAAGCCCAUACACUCCCAUUUUAGAUCAUAGCUCCUAUGCCCAGACCCAUUAAGAGCAUACCCAGCCCCUACUAAUAUGCACAAUCUAAGCUCCCAUGAUCUAAAGCCCCUGACUUUGCAAAUAUAGAUCGAUAGAUAGAUUUUCGGGAAGGAUCACAUUUUGGUAGAUAGAUGGUUUAAUUUGUUUAACUAUUUAUUAUAAAAUUGAGUAUAAUUUAAUAUAAUUAAUUAUUUAGCUUACCUUCUCUCUCCUUGUCUGCAUUGACACAUAGAUUUAUUGAUUGCCACGUCCUUCUUCUGUUAAAUGGUUAACAGACAUAGACGACAAAAUUAAUUUUUGUAAAUAAAGUAUAGUUCAAUGAGUUGACCGUAAAAAAAUUUAGUUUAGUGAUGCAUUUGUAAACCGAUGUUGAGUAGAGUGGAGAAAAGUGUAUUUAAUCCGCUCCAAAAGUCACCACUUUACAAGUCUCGUCAACAAUCAGCACCAUGUAAACACUCACCCUCUUUGGUGAACUUGAAGAGUUUGAAAAUCAACUUAGGAGGUAUGAUGAUGAAAAUGAGGCACCAAUAAAGAAGACAUUGACACUUCAAGCUGAGAGUAACAAUGAAUGUGAUAACGAAGAUUUUGAUAAAGAAAUUGAAAUGCUCUCAAGAAACUUGAGAGACUAUUUCAAAAGAAAAUAAAAAAGGUAGCUCAACUCCAGUGGGUAAGUUCAAAACAGAACAAGAAGAAGAAAUUGUCCAACUCUAUUUCAUAGGACUAGAAGAUGAUGAUCAACUUGAGGUAACAAAUUUUCAUGAAGCUUUUGAAAUAUCUAUGCCUGAUUAUAUUGCUUUACAAAAUGAAAAUCAACAACUCAAAAAAAAAACUGUUUAUUUUAAGAAUUGCGUAAAUGCUAAUGAAUGAAGUUAAGUCAUUUAUUAAAGAGAGAAAAGAAAAUGAAUAUCUUAAAAAUGAAAAUGAAGUUUUAAAAGAAAAUUUAAAAAUGAGAGAUGAAUGCAUAAAUGCUUUUAAUGAUGGAAAAAUGAUGAAUGUGCAACAUGAUGAUAAUGUCACAAAUGCAAAAAUAACAUCUUUAAAAAAUGAUCUUGCUAAAUUUGUGCAAUGAGAAGAGAACCUAAAUGUUAUGUUAGGGGCACAAAGGUCUAGUCUUGAUAAAUAAGAAAUUGGGUAUAAUCCUAUUAAAAUGUGAAAAAUAGAACUAAUAAUAAUAUUAUAAUGAUUAAUAGAAAACCAAUGCAUAAACCACUUUAUUGUUCACCGUUUGUUACUUGUAAAAAAUAUGGUUUUAAAGGUCAUUUUAAAAUGUGGCUUUAUUAGAAUAAAGCAAAUUUGGGUAAAGAAAUGUGAUUUAUAUGCUACUAACCUAAUAGGACCCAAGAAGAUUUGGGUACCAAAAUGGUAGAGACUAUUUGUUCAUUUUGUAGAUGUCUCAAGGUCAAAAAGGAGACAGAUAAUACUUAUAAAUUAUUUGGCAAAAUUCGCAAGUACCUUAUUUUUUUAAAUAGAUUUUUAAUUAGAUAUAUUAUGAAAACUCUAUGGAUUUCGUAUCAUAUGGCUUCAUAACAUCAUUUAUUAUAAAGUUUUUAUUGUGCUAAAUGCUCCAUAUUUAAUACAAACGACAAUCUUGAUGAGGAAUAAGUGAAUAUUAUUUUUGAUGAACUUAACCAUGAUCUGUUAAAGGAAGAGAAUGAGGUUUCUGCUGGAAAUGACUAUCUGAAUUGUGGAACCCAAACAGUUCAAUCCGGAUAGUCUAAGCCGUCUCUAUCAGAAGGAAAGAUAGAUGAAAUCAGACAAUUUGACCCGUCUGUUUUAGAAGAAAACUCAAAUUUACAAACACCUAAAUCCAAACAGAUCGAGUCGUCUACUUUAGAAGACAAAACAUAUGAAUAUUCGGAUGCAGUAACUUAUAUUCCAGAGGAUGAAUCUCAAAAGCAAAUGACUACUGCCAGGCUUCCUAAAUCUUCUAGAACUAUGGGAAAUCAUCAUCCAAGUCUGAUCAUCAGAAAUUUCAACAUUAGGAUGUCCACAAGAAGAGGUUUUGAAGAAAUUUGUUUGCUACACUAAGGAGCUUAUCUAUUAAGCUUAUUGUUGGUAACAAAAUUGUGGAUAUAUAGGUAACAAAUCACAAAGGUAUGGUCAUUUUAUUUAAUUGCUAUAUGUGAUAUUGUUAUAAGCUUGCUCCCGUGUCUUUAUUUUAUGAAUUAUUUUUUGUUUGUCACAAAUGGGAUAGAGAUAUAACUAAAUUGAUGAUUUUUUUUUUUUUGAUAAUAACAAAGGGGAGAAAUGUUUAGAAAAAUUGAUGAUUAUGAUAUCUGAUGGUUAUAUUGAUUAUAAUAUGUUUAGAUUUUUUUGAUAUCAUAUUGAUGAUAAUGGUUGGAUAUUUUGAUUCAUUAUCUGUUAUAGCUUAUCAUUAUGCAUUAUUUAUCAUAACAGUUAUGUGAUCUUUAUAUCUCCUAUAGGCAUAAAUUUAUGGGGAGCAUGAUUGCAAGGAAUAAUAUAUUGUCAUCAUCAAAAAAGAGGGAAAUUGUUAGUUUUAUUAUUUGUGAUUUUAAUAAUGACAAUAUAUUUGUAAAUAUAAUUUAUUUAAUGUAUUGAAUUAAUUUUGUAAUGGUUUGUUGAAUAUGAUAUAUAGUAAGUUUGGUUCAUGAUAAUUUAAUUUGGUUAUAAUUCAAAUUGUUAUUACGUGCAGGAUUGAAUUGAAAUAUUUUCUUCCAGGUUGUUAUUUUGUUAAAACAGGUUGUUUCAAUUUUGAAUUGGAAUAUGUUAAGGAGUUUGUUUAGCAGUGUAAUCUAUCUAUUAAAUAUAUUAAAAUGCAGUACAUGAUAUCAUAGCUUGACAUAUGUCAUUCUCACAAUUCAACACGUGUCCUGUCUAAUUAAUAUUCCUUAAGACCCUUAACAAAAGUGCCCAGCUAACAUAACAAAUGAGGAUGAAAACAAACUUUAAUUCAUUCCCCUAAAUUUUAGAUUUAUAAUCCCCUAAAUCAUGCUACAAAUCUAAACUAUUUUGAUAAUAUCAACUGUUUUGAUAUUAUCCUUUGUAAUUUAAUUAUUAUUUAAUAAAAUUACUUUUUUAUGCUAUUAAUUAAUUUUUUAGAUUUAUAAUCUUCUAAAUAACUACAAAUCUAAACAGUUAAUAACAUAAUGUCAUUCUCUUAAUUUUUUAAAUUUACAAUCCUCUAAAUCACUACAAAUCUAAACUGUUUUGAUAAUAUCAACUGUUUUGAUAUUAUCCUUUGUAAUUUAAUUAUUAUUUAAUAAAAUCAUUACUUUAUCUCAACACCACCCCCUACAAUGUAUAUUCAUUUGUUUUUCUGUGUAAAAUUUGAUCAUCGCACAACAAUCUACCAUCUUCUUAUUAUAUUUUAAUUUAUUAAUUAUACAUACAUAUUUAUUGAAUAAUUCCGCCCGCAACGCACGAGUUUGUAUCUAGUGUGGUCUAAUUUGGAGUCUUUAAAUUAACUGGUUUAGAUAUUUGUGUAGAGUAUGGGCUCUAUCUACUCGUUAAUUUUAGCCUAUGUUGAUUACGUAUCUUUGAUUUUCUAAUUUUGAGAAUAUUUUAAGCUGUUAGCUAUAUCUAUAGUUCUGAAAUAUCAAAUUCUCGAAAUGAAAGACCAAGUCAUGCUAACCAUUUCAUAUAGUCGUUGGACUGAGUUCUAUAUAUUUUCUUCAUGUUUGUCUAUAGUGAGCAGGACUCUUGAAGCUUAUAGCAGCCAUAUUACACAGAUUAAUCAAGAGCUUUUCAAAGUUAUUUUCAGCUACUCAUUAUAUUGUUAAUUUAUUUCAGUUAAAAAUUAAGAGUCUAUUAUAAUCUAUAUUUAUUGUAUUAAAUUUUAGUUCAAGUCUUGUUUGGCUUGAUCGAUCCAAUAGUGGAUAGGUUUGUUCGAAGAAAACUUUUAAGGUUGCAGAGGUGCAAAUGUCUCAGUGGUGAGAAAGGUUGCAAUGAUGCAAAGGGGCAGAGGUGUUCAUCGCAGUGGAAAAUUUUAUUUGAACAGGGAGUUCUUUUUAUUAUACUUAAUGGAGUCUUAAAAGUUUAAUAAAAAGAGUCCAAUACCGGUUGGUUUUGAACGUGGAUUAAGCCGUUAGAGUUUAAGGGCAGAACCACGUAAAAAUUCUUGUCUGUGGUUUGUUAAUUCUUCUGGGUUGAUAAUUUAUUUCUCACGUUGCAUCUAAUCUCAUUCAUAUUACAUUUUAUUGUUGGUAGGAAAAGUAUACUAAUCUAGACACUAUCUUCUGUCUUUAUAACAAAAGUAAAAUUGACUCUAAAGCAGACACUUUUAUUUGUCUGUUUUAAGUUUAGCAGCAAGUUCAGCAGCAGGAAAAUAAAAUUAGUCAUUGUUAGUGUGCUUAUUUAUAGAAUUACAUCCACAUCUGUAAUUCUACUGAGAUUUAAUGAAUGUUUAUUUUGCCGAUUAAAAAACAAAGGAAAAAGAAUAAAAGUAAUAAGAUGUUCGAAACAUUUGAUUGUAUUAUUAUAUUUUUGUGAGCCAAGGUGAAAGCAAAGCCACCUAGUGGUAGUUGUUUUAUUUAUAAUAUGGUAAUAACAACCAUGAACUGAUAGUUGAUUUAUUUAUUAUAUGCUAAUAACAGCUAUCAGCUAGUGGUUGAUUUAUUUAUUAUAUUCUAAUAAACAGCCAUCAACUAGUAUAUAGUUUCUUGAUCAACUGUUCAUAGGAAGAUUACUGAUCGUUCAUUUAGGCGUUGGGGGGACUAAUUUGAACACCAUAGAUAACUAAACCCGUCUCCAUAGUCGUGUUUUCACUCCCGUCGAGAGCAAAUUUGAAAUCUCCAGAGUCAAAGCUAUUCAAGAAUUCCCCAGCUUUGAGUGAAAUCGGUGUGUUCCUCGGACAAUCCAUCAACCUAUAUCCAUUCACUUGCGUGGACCCAUCCGGAGGAGUAAGUGUAAGACUCACCGGACUUUCUAUGUUAAGGUUGUCUUUCAGCAGCACCACAAAAGACACCUCAUAAGUUCAUUUUUCAAGAGUUUCUGUCGGAUAUUUUCCAUCAACAUGUAGGACUAAGCUACCAAUUAAUUCAGCACUGGCAUCACUGAAAAAAAAUGAUAGUAGAAUUAAAGUCAGAAACUUUUGAUAUAAGGAGCUUAAAUUCAUUAAG
rnacentral:lncRNA from 1 species